GGGUUAUGGCCUGGUGGCCUUUUUGAGUUGUCUGCUCCUGCUUUUCUCACAUCUUCUGAGCUCAUUUUCUGGGUGUCUGCAUUGUUCCUCCAAUCUUCAUCUCCUGCCAUUUUUGAACCUCAUUCUUUAUUCUUCUUGUUUUUCACAAACACAAAGUUGGGAACUUUGUAAAAUCUGAAGUUGGGAUUUGAUUAUAUGGUCUAUAACUUGUAGUGUGUGACUUUGUGUAAUUGGGGAAAGAGGGAGGGCGGUUCUGCCACCUUCUUUUGAAUAUUGAUGGGUUUUUGGGGUGAUGAGAUUGGAGUUGGACAUGUGUCAAUUUAGAGAGGAUUUUGUGGUGACAUGUUACAUGCUGAUGCAUUGGCUUUUGUGGACAUCUGUCAUAUUUGAGGAAAUUUAGGUGUAUUUCCUUGAAGGUUUAACCGACUGGACUCACCACCAUAAUAUUUUAUGUUCCAUUAAAUGAUUAUUUUUGUUUUCCUGUAGUAGAGGUUGGUUAUAUUUGUUCAUCUUGAGAUUUGGCUAAACAUCCUCGCAUAAUUUUAGGUUUUUGCUAAAAUCUAGUUUUUUCUUGUUCUCUACUCAAUUUGACAGGACCAGCUCAAACUAAGUUAUUAUUUCUUUUAAAACGGUUAUUCUGUCUAUUUUUUGUCACGGCAAGUUAAUAGGGAAUUACUCUAAGACACAAAUACAUCAGCAACCUUCUAGCAAAUACUCCCUCCAUCCUAGAAAGUGUGUCGCUUUCAGAACUUGCAAUUAUUAUCAACAGUGCAAGACUUUUAAAUGAUUUGCAUUUAAGUUCCCGCAAUAUCCGCUUGACUUUCAAUGUAUUCAUAUGUGGUUAAAUGAUAAAAGGGCCACAAGUUGGGAUAAAACAUGUGGGACCCAAAAGAAUGAAAUGUUUCCACACUACUUUAGAGGAAAGUGUCAUGCACGAGUGUUAUUUGUAUUUCACGUGGGAGUCACGAACUAUUAAGUGCAUGUUGGUACUUGGUAGGUGAGAAGAAAUGUGUCACAUUGGACCCACUAAAAGAUAAGAAAAGGCUGUCACAUUGAAGGGUAUGGAGCGGAAAUGUGCGAAAGUUUUCAUUGCCAAUUUUAGUAAGUGACAAUCAUUUUUGGACAGAUAAAAAAAAAGUAUGACACUAUCAAUAGGAUGGAGGGAGUACUUCUUUUAUCCUUUGAUCCUUUUUUUUUUUACCUUUGUAUAUUAACCUUCUUGUGCUCCCGAACAUUGCCCACCAAAAUCAUGUAUUCUGUUUUUUGAUAUCUAUACAAUAAUAAAGGGAGGGAGGUAGCAAUUGGAAUACAUAUGUUGUGUCAUUUUUUUAACUUCCAAUUUUUUUCUUAAAAAUUUGAUUUUUAUCCUAACCACCUAAUCACAUUGCUAAUAUAAUCUCCCAUAACUCCCUUAAAUAUUGCAACUAUCAAAUUAGCUAUAAUUGGAUUAAAGAAAAAAUUACUAAUAAAUUGUAAAUUUUUCAAUGAAGAAUUUAUAUAAAAUUUAAUUUUGUAAAAAAUAAUAUUAAUAUAUUCAUAAAAAUUAAUAAUUAUUUCUAAUCUGCACACACAUUGGGUGUGCUCUAAGCACUAGUAUAAAUACUUCUAUUCCGAUCAAGACUAAGAGUUUUUUCUUAGACUUUUUUUUAGUGUAAGUGAGAGGUCUCAAAUUCGUAAUCUCUCACUUACACUUCGUCUCCCAUAUCACCGAAGCCAUCCCGCCCUUGAUUAAGUCUAAGAGUUAGCUUUGAACAAGCUACUCUUUUCUAUAUUUCAACCAUCCUUUUUAAUACUUAAUUUACUUCUUGUUUUAGUUAAAAACUUCUUGUGAAAUUGUAAGCCACAGUCUACUAGUGAUUUUUUUUUUUUUUUUAGCGGAUCUUUAUAGUACAUUAUAGUUUAAUCUAUGGUACCAAUUCCCCUGGUGAUGCCUGGAGAAAUUUGAGGAAAUGUGCAGGGACGCAACCUGCAAUUUUAAGUUGAGGGGGCGAAACAUUGACACCUAAAUACUGACUCAUUGUUUUUUUUUUUAUUAAGCAUACAUGGAUAAUUUCAAUGACAAUGCAUGCAUUCUGUACACCCCACUAGUUGAAACUCUACUUGAACUGACUACCAUCAUUUCUUGCUCUAUUUUCUUCUUUCUUAUAACUUCUUAUGUUACUUAUAAGACAAAUCAAUUUGUUUCCUUCUAUUUGGAUUUGAAAAAUAUUUUUCUGUUCAAAUCCUAGUCACUAUGAAUAAAGGGAGUGGAUAAAUCUUAGUACAAGCAAAUUGAGAGCAUUUGAAGGUAUAUUGACUAUUGAUCAUGUUUUAUUUCUAUUUUUCAUGUAUUUUGAUAGGUGUCGAGCCUGUGCAAUAAUAAAGGCCUACUCAAUGAAAAUAUAGAUUUACAUACUGCAGUAAGCAGGGUCAAUUACACAGGGACUGAGGAAAAUUUGCUCUUUUUCAAGUUAAAGCGGAGUGGGGGGAUUUUCAAGAUUUAACGACUAGUAAAAAAUCACAGAGAUAAUAAAACAUGCAAAAGAGAUUGAGAAAGACAAUUAAUGGGGAAAACUCUAGCCAAGGUUACACUUCAGAGAUGGUUCAAGUAAUUGAUCCUUGAUGCAAUUAUAAUUCCAAUAUUCAUUAAUAAACAGGUUUUUAACUGUCGAUACGAUUUGACAGUCAGUUUCUCCUUACUGUUUCGAUAAUCAAGGUACGACCAUUGACUAUUUUCCUAAUUUAGGAAUAAUUCUAGGUACGACCAUAGGAUUUUAAUUCCUCAAUUGCAUUAGAAACUAGAGAAACCUUGUUCUAAUCAAUAAACACGCUACGAGAAUUUAUUUAAAUUAGAUUGUACGUUUCCCCAAUACAAACCCAACUAUGCUAGUUGCUACCAGGAUUAGAACAGUCAAACAAUUACGGAUUCAACUAUUUCAAUUAGCAAAUAGAUUACGUGUAUAAUUAAAUAUUGCACACCUAUUCAAUCACACACACUAAUCAUACUCUAUAAAGCAGAAAACGUACAAAUAUCAAAGAAUAGAGGAGAUAAAUAAAAUCAAUUAGAUCUCACAGUGAUAGCUGAACCAAAUUCUCGGUGUUCCUGGACUAGAAAAGAAACUUAGUUGCGCAUGGACAAUUGAAACAAUUCACAGCAGUUUUCCAAAGCCAGCCACAUAAGUCUUUCAUAAGAGAAAUACUAGAGAAACAAAAGAUUAAAAGAAAGAGCCCUGCGGCUCCCUUCUAGGUAUCAAUCAUGCGGGAUGCCGGCUUCCCCUACUAUAAGUACUACCAAUUUGGUUUCUUCCUUGGUCAAUCGAGACCAGAAUUUUAAUUGACUAAGGUAACUCUAAGAAUAAUGCCAAUUGUUUCCUAAUAAGACAUCUAAUAAAAAGUGAUAGUUUCCUAAUCUUCAACCAAUACUCUCCGUAGACUCCAUCUUGAUUUGGAAAACUUGCGCUUGACAAUCAACUCCAAGAAAAUCACUCAUUUUUAAUACUUUUUACUCCAAUGCCCUACAAUUAACAUAAAACACCAAAUAUAAGUAGAAUCCGACAAUUAAAAUAAUAUUUGGCUAAAAUCAAGGAGAAAAUAAUUAUAAAUUUUGCAACAAAUUAUGACCUAUCAAUUUUCCCCACACCUAAACCAUGCUUGUCCUCAAGCAUGAGAACACAAAUCAAGCAAUCAAAUUCAAACAAUGGCUAUUACUCGAAUCAUCUAUUGCCAAGAUACAAUUAAAACAUAUUGCCGAGUAUUAGUGGCAAUUUUCAAAAAAUAUCUCUCUAAUUAGCUUUCAACAUCAAAGACUCUUUCAAUUUAUGACUAGCUAAUCUAAGAAUAUAAAAUAUUCAGUCAGCAUAUCAGCAAAUGGUUCAACUAUUAAGCAAAAUCUCAACAUUAAAAUUCAUGGAUCAUCGGGCUAACAAUUCAUUCAAACACUUCCACAUUUUUCACUAUUAACACAUUUUUUUUUGUUUUCUAAAAUAUUCCCAUACUUGAUUGAUUUUGACGAGCGCGGGGUAUACAUAUAACAUUAAGCUCAUCCUAAUCAAGUUUUACAUUUAUAAACUCCUAAAUACCCCCCACGCGAUUUAUCACAAGUAUACGAAUCGUGAGCGAGUAUAGGGUAUUAAGGGUCGAUCCCACAAGGAAGAUUGCAAUUACCAGCACUACUAAAGCUUCUCUAUUAUUUAGAUUAUCAAUGAAUUAUAACAAGUAAAACCUACUGAACUUAUGCAAGAAAAUAACAAAUGAAAGCUCCUUAGGUUGUGGUAUCCCUAACUACUCAUGCAAGUGUUAUAUUUGGAUCAUUGAGUACUACUAUCUAGGCUAGUUAUGGUGUAAUUUCCUUAUGCAUUUGAAUCCUACUUUCGUAGUGAAUCAAUUAUACUUAUAACUAAUCCAUACCUAUUCUCAUGGUUAUAAAAUUAACUACAAGUUCAUUUCUUCAGUGAAAUUACAUGAAAUGAAUCACUAAAAACCACAUAGGUGCACCUCUACUUUCGUGAGUGUACUCCCUAUGUUUAGCACUUCUUGAACUAGUGUUAAAUCUCAAUUUUCAUUGCAGAAACAAUACCUUAGAUAAUCACAAUCAAUGGUAUCAGAUUAAUCAUGAUUUAAAGAGCCAAAGUGCUAAAUAACUUGCUCAAAUCAUAGCAAUCAAAUAACCAAAUAAUAAACACUAACAAUCGUAGAAAGUUCAACCAAACCUAAGGCAUAAACUUUAGAGACACAUAAAUAACAUAAAAUCUAGACUUGUAUAUUAACCAAACAAUAGAAUCAAGUACAAAAGAUAAAGAGUUUGGAAGGAAUGUAACCCUUGUCACAUGAGUUCAUUUCCUUGCCUUCUUCAUCCUUUAUCUUCCUCUUCAUGUAGCUAACAUACAAGAAAGGAUAAACUGUCUAAAACUAAAACUAUCCUACACUAAGAAAAAUGGAAGAGCUACAUUUUGCAGUCCAAGUUCUCUCCCGUAUGUUCCUCUAUUCUUCUUCAAUCUUGCAAGUUUUGGCUAUAUAAAGAUGAAAGAAGUCAAGAAAUGAGGCCUUUCACUUCCCUUUUACAGCUGGUGAUGUUUCUCACAUGUCUAGCAUUACAUAUGAUUUAGUGAAGGUGAAAUUGAGUUUUCCGCGUAAAGAGCAGCCUUUACUGACCACAAUCCAGCCAGAAAUCCGGCUAAGUUCCGGCCGGAUUGCUACAGUGACAUUUUGGUGCACUUUUGUUCAAUUUCCAGCUCUGCUCCGAUUUUGCAUCAAUUUCAACUGAACUUUUCUUGAUGAUACAAGCUGAUUUAGCUCUUGACCAAAACAUGAAACUUGUAGCCCUUUGAGUUAGCUUUCCAAUGCAUCAAGAAUCACCUCAUUUGGAUCUGUGUAGGUUGAUAAAUGGCCGAAAUACCCUUGACUGCUCAUUGCCCUGUUUCAGCUUCGACCAAUGGAAAUUAGCUACUGUAAUUCGGCUUUUUGACCUGGAAAACCUUCAAACUGGAUUCAGAUGUUUUCACCAAAGUUGUAUAUCUAUCUCUUAUCUUCAAAUUGGUUCAAGAAUCAUCUUAAUCCGAUCACUGUAGCUCAAGUUAUAGUCGAAAUACGAAAAUGUGUCAAAACUGUCAAAAUACACAAAAUCCAAAUAAAAAGUGGUAAAAACCUCAUUUAAUCACUUAUAAGUAUUUUUCACCAUUUAUAGCCAAAAUCAUUCUUUUUCUUCCAAUAAUAUAACCAAAGUGACUAAAAAUAAUAUAAAAUGUCAUACAAUUAUUACGUAAAUUAUUCACUUAUCAGAACUCCCUAUUUAUACUUGUGAACAUCCAACAAGAAGAUGCAAAUUUCCUCUUCUCAUUUAAUGUCCAAUUGCCAGAAAAUCCAGUGAAGUACAGGACCAAAUCUGGCUUAAAAAACAAGCAUGAUUUGCCGCACUCAAUUUCGACAUCCUACUACAAAAUUGGACUUUGCAUUUCACAAGCUUCUAGUAGGCAUAAUUGAUAGGUUUGGAUCUUGUGUAAUAAUAAAUUCCUAUCCACAAAAUAUAUGAUAGAGUAUAAUUGUAAGUAGAGUCGUCUUCAUAGGGAUUAGGGGAUAUUCAUUUUUUUUAAGUGAGAAUUAAGUAGGGGUUUUGGAAAAUCAACAUAAACAAAAUACCAAUUUAAGAAAAUCAGUUAAAUGAAAGAAAUUUAAAUUAAUUCAAUAAUGUGCAAACUCUAGCCAAGGAAAAACUUGGAAAGUGGUUCAUAAAACUGUUCAUUGAUACAAUAAUAAUUUCUUCUAUUCGCUAAUAAAUAGGUUAUAAUUACCAAAUAAGCGUUGGCAAUCUGCUUUUCCUUACUGUGUCAAUAGUUUAGGUACGUCCGUUAACUACUUCCCUAAUCAAGAAAUAACCCUAAGUAUGUCCAUAAAAUUUAAUUUCUUGAAUUAGAAACUACAAAAGUUUUAUUCUGAUCAACAAACACGCUACUGAGAUUUAUUGAAUUUAGAUAAUAUAUUUCUCUAAUAUGAUAUCAAUCAUGUUGGUCACCAUUAAUUUAAGACAAUUAAAUAAUUACGGAUUUAACUGUCCUAACUAGCAUUAGAUUCUUGAUAUUCAAAUAAGAAAACAACCAUAAAAAUUUAAAUCAGAAAACGUACAAAUAAUAAUGAAUAAAAGAUUUAAAUAAAAACUAUUAGAUCUCAUAGUUAUAACUGAAUCAAACCCCCGUUAUCUCUUGACUAGAAUAGAAAAUUAGUUGCUCAUCGUUGAGAAAAUCCCAUGCAAAAGUUUGAACAAUUUCAAUAGUCAUGCCACUACCGAGAAAAGCAAAAAACAAAAAUCCGUGGUUUUUCUCCUUUUCCAAGUAAAGAGUCACGACCCUCCAGGAAUUGUUUCUUGCUCCGGAAGAACUAAUCAAGCAGGAAGCCAGCCGACUCCAAUUCCUCUAUUUUCUCCUACUUUAUAGCUACUACUAAUAAUAAAGCAUAUUUUCUAAUUAGAAAAAGAAAAAAUUCCCGAGCCUUUUGUAUUUGAUAGUAGGUUCUAAAUGCGCCCACAUCAAAUUGGUUCAUGAUCUGCUGGAAAUUGCCCCUUCAACUACUUUUUGCUUCACUUUUCUACAAUUAACAUUAAUAACCAAAUAUAAGUAGAAUCUACCUAAUAAUGUAAUGUUUGGCAAAUAUCAAGAACAAUAUUUACAAAUUAUUAACAAUUACGCACCCUAUCAAUAAUAAAUGCCUAUGGCCUAGUAUGGCUCUUUGCCAACGAAGUCAGUAAUGACUUUUGACAAUACCAACUGGGAUAAAUUUGUUAUCUAAGUUGCAGUUGCAGAAGUAGAGAGGAUGAGGCUGGAGGAGGAGGAAAAAGAAAGGAAACUCAGGUGAUAUAUUUCUGCUUUCUUGAAGCUUCUUUGUGAAAAGAAAAGAAAGGCAUCAUUGAUCGAGAAUGAUUCAACUGGGGUCAUUGGAUUGCAGCUUCUUUCUGAUAAAAUUGUUGGGGAUAAUAUAAAAGAAAAUGGCUAAAAAAUUACAAAGCAAAUGACGUGAAAAGACUUCAAAUUGUGAAUCAAUAUCACUUUCAUUUGGCCUUUAUUUAUCUAGAAUUUAGUGCUCAAAGAUUUUGGACAAAUAUCCUUUAGGAUCAUUUGAAGGGUAUUGGCCUUUAACUCUUGCACAAAGUUAGACAAAUCAACUUGAACUAUGUUGUGUUUUUGAGAAAAUUCUAAUAGUAAGAAAAUAAUCUUCUGCAGCAAUUCAUCCCCAUUCGACCUUUAUAGAGUUGAUAUUGAGAAUGAUCAAGAGUUGCAACCUUUCUCCACUAAUGUCUGACUUUCCUUGAAUUAUGUUGGAUAAAAAUGCUCCUCAACAUCAAUGCAAGUGUGCAAACAAUUUUUGAAUGUUUAGACUCCAUUUGGUUAACAAUUAAUUGUCAAAUAUGAAAAGAUGCUAAAUAAACUUGAACAACUUCUGAUCAUUAUAAGUAUCAGUCAAUGAUGGAUCUUAUGUCAGAUUUUAAGAUCGGCCCCAUCAUGCAAAUGAUCAAAUUUUGAAAAAAUUUUAACAAAAAUUGAUGUCAAUUUCACAAAAGGGAAAAUAUCAUUGAGAAAGAAGACUGGCUCGAACCACACAUUAUUGUCCAAGGAACUUCCUUCAGCAAUGCGGCCUCCCCCGCCCCCCUCCCCCAAGGUUUGAUUGAAGAAAAUUGCACUGAUCAUCAAGAAAAAGAGAUGCCACGUUCCAAGAAAGCAAAAAGAAAGCCUAGAUAUCCUGAUGGACCAUCAACAUCAAUUAUCAAUACUAUUCCAGAGAAACUGAAGAACAGAAUUUUGGAAGUUGGGAGGUCAGAGGAAAGCAUUGAAUUUGUGUUUCAGAAGGUGUUAACACAGACUGAUGUGAACACGCAUUUCAGCAGGCUGCUGGUGCCAUUUGAGCAGAUCAUGAAUGGGUUUCUGACUGACGAAGAGCAGGCUUGUUUUCACGAUCCUAAAGCUUGAAAGUGAUGCCAUUUUGUUGAUCCAUUCCUUGAUGAAGGCAGAAUGAUCCUGGGACAUUGGGAGAUGUGUACAAAAAAAAUGGUAAUACAAGUUACAACUUUGCAUUGAUCACUCAUUGGACUAAGGUUGUGCAGAAGAAUGAACGUAGACAAGGAAUGGCAGUGCACCUGUGGGCAUUUAGGUGGGAUUUACAGCUUGGAUUUGCCUUAAUUUAGUUUGAUUAAGAUUUGUUUAUUUCUAAAUUUGCACUUAGGUUAAUUGUUCAUUAGAGUCUUGUGAAUUAAGUGUUGACUUUUCAACGCCCACCACGGUUGAAUUGGUGGCAAAAUUUUGCAUCCCACAUCGACAAAGGCUUGAGGAAAGUCUUCUUUGGUUUCCUAUAAAUAAAGGAGCCUUAUGAAGGUUUAAACUCGCACCACUCAAGAGAGUUAUAUGGGCUAUUAGCUUCUUGAGUCAUCUAGCCCAUUCAGUUAAAUAUUUUAGGCUCUCUUGUUUUGAGUUUAGAAAUAUUUUCUAAACUCUUUUGUAAGUGCCUAUUGGCCUAGGAACCACUUUCCUACGGCUUUUAUAUUUCUUUUUCAUAGUAGAAAUAUUGCUCCUCCCUCACCUGUGGACGUAGGUCAAUUUGACCGAACCACGUAAAUCUUUUGUGUCUUUUAUUUGCUUUGUUAUCCGUCUUUAUAUGGUCGAUUUUACCGCCUAAUUAUUAUAUGGCUGGUAUCUACCGCCUAUCUAUUAUAUGGUCGGUUAUACCGCCUAAUUUGUGCUAACUUGAGUUUGUCUAUUUCCUGGCCCGGUCCUAACAAACUGGUAUCAGAGUUGGUUGUUAUAUUUUGCAAGACAGGUUCAUCUGGUGGGGCCCGUCCAUCCUGUGGGGCCCAUUCAUCCUGUGGGGUCCGUUUAUUUGUGGGGCCCACUCACCUUGUGGGGUCCGUUCAUCCCUGUGGGGGCCGCUUAUCUCGUGGGGCCCGCUCACCCUGUGGGGCCCGCUCACGAGACUUGCAUAUUUGUUUGACCAGUUUUUGAGACAAACUUCAGGUUACAGAUUUUGUGGCAACAAUGACGAUAACAAAGACGGUUGUCGAGAAAUUCGACAGGAAUGUCAACUUCGGCAUGUGGCAGCUCAAGAUGAAGGCCAUUCUUGUUCAAGACGGAGUUGAUUUGGCAAUUCAAGGAAUUGAGAAAAAGCCAGAAGAUGUGACAGAUGCAAAUUUUGCUGAGAUGGAUAAGAAGGCAAGAUCCAGUAUUAUCCUAAAUCUCUCCGAUGAGGUAUUGCGUGAGGUAGCAACGGAAACUUCGGCCAAGGCUAUGUGGGAUAAAUUAAAAGCCUUGUAUAUGAAGAAGACAGUCGAGAAUCGACUAUAUUUGAAGCAGAGUUUGUACAUGCUUCGGAUGUUUGAAGGUACAUCUAUACUCUCCCAUCUUGAUAAAUUUGAUUCCAUUAUUAUGGAUUUGGAGAAUAUAGAUUCGAAAAUUGAUGAUGAAGAUCAGGCCCUAUUACUUUUAUGCUCCCUUCCCCAGUCCUUUAAACAUUUCCGUGAUACUAUGAUAUAUGGAAAGGAAACAAUUUCGUAUCGGAAAAUUAAAUCUGCAUUAAAAUUUAAAGAGCAGAUAGAUAGGGAUAUUACUGGGGAAACUAGUGGGAGUCAAGCCGAUGGCUUGUUUGUUCGGGGUAGAUCUGAAAAGAGAAACACAGAAAAUAGAAGUAGAUCCAAGUCCAGACAUAAAAAUGUGGUGUGCAAUUAUUGUAAAAAGAAGGGCCAUGUUAUCUCUGAUUGCUUUAAAUUGAAAAAUAAAGAAAAGCAAAAGGGGAAAUUUGUUGAGAGAAAUACUGAAUCCGCUGAAACUAGUAUAGCAGCUGAUGAGAAUGAUGGAACCAUUUUCUGUGCAACGGAAAAUAAUUUUAGGUCUAACAAUGAGUGGAUUUUAGAUUCGGAUUGUUCAUAUCAUAUGUGUCCUAAUAGGGACUGGUUUUUAACAUAUGAAUCAACUGAAGGUGGAGUUGUCUUAAUGGGCAACAACGCCGUUUGUAAAGUUGUUGGCAAAGGUACAAUCCGAAUUAAAAUGUACGAUGGUAUUGUGAGGACGCUCACAAAUGUUAGACAUGUUCCAGAUUUGAAGAAAAAUCUCAUCUCUUUGGGCACUCUUGAGUCUAUCGGGUGCAGGUAUUCAGGUGGAGAUGGAGUUCUCAAAAUCACUCGAGGAGCUCUUGUUGUUAUGAAGGCACACAGAUCUGGUACUUUGUAUAUUUUGCAGGGAUCUACUGUGACAGGUGCUGCUGCUGUUUCAACAUCAUCUUUGUCAAAUACAGACAUCACCAAAUUAUGGCAUAUGCGUUUGGGGCACAUGAGCGAAAAAGCCUUAGGCAUACUGAGCAAAAGAGGACUUCUUUGUGGACAAAGUACCGGUCUAUUGGAAUUCUGUGAACAUUGUAUUUUUGGGAAGCAGAAAAGAGUCAGUUUCAGUUCACCAGCAAUUCACAAGACAAAAGGUACUCUUGAUUACAUUCAUUCAAAUCUAUGGGGUCCUUCUCGUGCUCCUUCUAAAGGUGGUGCCAGGUACAUGUUGACUUUCAUUGAUGAUUAUUCAAGAAAAGUUUGGGUCUAUUUUCUUAAGCACAAAAAUGAUGUUUUCCUAACUUUCAAGCAAUGGAAAGUUUUGAUUGAGAAACAAACAGGAAAACAUGUUAAGCGGUUGAGAACAGAUAAUGGCAUGAAAUUUUGUGGAGGUGAAUUUAAUGAAUUUUGCAAAAAUGAAGGAAUUGUUCGGCAUCACACCGUCAGGAUGGCGCCUCAACAAAAUGGUGUGGUCGAACGUAUGAACAGAACGCUUUUGGAGAGAGCAAGAUGUAUGAUCUCCAAUGCAGGGUUGACAAACGACUUUUGGGCAGAGGCGAUCAAUAUGGCCUGUUAUAUUGUCAACCGUUCUCCUUCUGCAUCUCUUGAUUUCAAAACUCCUGAGAAAGUUUGGUCAGGUACUCCUGCUGAUUACUCAAAUUUAAAAGUUUUUGGGUGUCCAGCAUACAUGCACGUGAAUGAUGGAAAAUUGGAGCCUAGGGCUAAAAAGUGCAUUUUUCUUGGGUAUGCUUCUGGGGUGAAAGGAUACAGAUUAUGGUGUCCUGAUCCCAAAUCCCCAAAAUUUGUAAUCAGUAGAGAUGUUACUUUUGAUGAAUUGUCUAUGUUAUCUUCCAAGAAAAAGUCUUCUAGUCCUUGUACUACUGAUAGUACACAGAAGCAGGUGGAGCUUGAUAUUGGCAGUUCUGGUCCUUCUCAAUCAAAAUCUUCUAUUCAGCAAGUGCCAGUAGAUGCACUUGAAUCUACUGAUGAAGAUAGUUCAGAAGAAGAAGAGUAUUCCAUAGCCAGAGAUAGAGCAAGGAGAGACAUUCGACCACCACAAAGAUAUGCAAAUUUAGUUGCAUAUGCUUUGUCUGUUGCAGAAGAAACUGAUGCAGCUGGUGAGCCUUCCACCUAUUCAGAAGCAGUUUCUUGUGAUGAUUCUGCAAAGUGGUUGAUUGCAAUGAAUGAAGAAAUUGAAUCUCUUCAUCAGAAUGAAACUUGGGUUCUUGUAAAGCCGCCGUCAGCUAAGAAAAUUAUUGGUUGCAAGUGGGUCUUCAAGAAAAAGGAAGGUAUUCCAGGGGUUGAAGAUGCAAGGUAUAAAGCACGAUUGGUUGCAAAGGGCUAUAGUCAGGUACAAGGUGUUGACUUUAAUGAUAUAUUCUCACCUGUUGUUAAACAUAGCUCUAUUUUGCUUGCUUUAGUUGCCAUGUAUAAUUUGGAGUUAGAACAGCUCAACGUUAAAACAGCUUUCUUACAUGGCGAACUUGAAGAACAAAUUUAUAUGAGACAACCCCAGGGCUUUGAGAUUGAAGGUAAAGAAGACCAUGUUUGCUUGUUGAAGAAAUCCUUAUAUGGAUUGAAACAGUCUCCAAGACAAUGGUAUAAGAGGUUUGAUUCCUUUAUGUUGGGUCAUGGUUAUUUGAGGAGCAUGUAUGAUAGCUGUGUUUAUUUCCGGAAGUUAAAUGAUGGUUCUUUCAUUUAUUUGCUGCUUUAUGUUGAUGACAUGCUCAUUGCUGCCAAGAAUUUGUCAGAAAUUCACACCUUGAAACUGCAGUUAAAUAGUGAAUUUGAAAUGAAAGAUUUGGGAGCAGCUAAGAAAAUUCUUGGCAUGGAUAUCAAUCGAGAUCGAGGAGUAGGGAAGUUAUUUCUGACCCAGAAAAAUUACCUUGAAAAAAGUUUUGGAACGUUUUGGCAUGAAAGAUGCUAAACCAGUAUCUACUCCUCUUGCUAGCCAUUUUCGGCUAUCUGCUGCUCAAUCACCAAAAUCAGAUGAAAAGGAAGAUUAUAUGGCACGGGUUCCUUAUUCCAGUGCAGUCGGCAGUAUUAUGUAUGCAAUGGUUUGUACUCGUCCAGAUAUCUCACAAGCAGUCAGUGUUGUUAGCAGAUAUAUGUCUUGCCCUGGUAAAACACAUUGGCAAGCUGUGAAGUGGAUUCUCAGAUACUUGCGAGGUACUUCAAAUGCAUGUUUGAAGUUUGGAAGAAAUAAUAAUACUUUGGUUGGUGUUGUAGACUCAGACUACGCUGGGGAUCUUGACAGGAGAAGAUCACUUUCAGGCUAUGUAUUUUGCAUUGGCGGUUGUGCUGUUAGUUGGAAAGUUACUCUACAAUCUGUCGUAACUUUGUCUACUACAGAAGCAGAAUAUAUGGCUGUGACCGAGGCAAUCAAAGAAGCCUUGUGGUUAAAGAGUUUAUUUAGCGAGUUAAGUCUAUAUCAAGGUGUUACUGAUAUUCACUGUGAUAGUCAAAGUGCCAUACACUUGACUAAAGAUCAGAUGUAUCAUGAGAGGACGAAACACAUUGAUGUGAAGUAUCACUUCAUUCGGGAUAUCAUUGCUGAGGGAAAAGUCCUUAUUCAGAAAAUCAAUACUAAGGACAAUCCAGCCGAUAUGUUUACGAAACCUCUUCCAGUUUACAAGUUCAAGCAGUGCUUGGAUUUGGUUGGUGUUCAUUGUUGGUGAUUUAAGCCCAUUGGGGCUUAUGUGAAGAAGGUGGAGUAGUUUUUGGGUGGAAUCCAAAAUUAUGCCAAGGUGGAGAUUUGUUGACUUUUCAACGCCCACCACGGUUGAAUUGGUGGCAAAAUUUUGCAUUCCACAUCGACAAAGGCUUGAGGAAAGUCUUCUUUGGUUUCCUAUAAAUAAAGGAGCCUUAUGAAGGUUUAAACUCGCACCACUCAAGAGAGUUAUAUGGGCUAUUAGUUUCUUGAGUCAUCUAGCCCAUUCAGUUAAAUAUUUUAGCCUCUCUUGUUUUGAGUUUAGGAAUAUUUUCUAAACUCUUUUGUAAGUGCCUAUUGGCCUAGGAACCACUUUCCUACGGCUUUUGUAUUUCUUCUUCAUAGUAGAAAUAUUGCUCCUCCCUCACCUGUGGACGUAGGUCAAUUUGACCGAACUACGUAAAUCUUUUGUGUCUUUUAUUUGCUUUGUUAUCCGUCUUUAUAUGGUCGGUUUUACCGCCUAAUUAUUAUAUGGCUGGUAUCUACCGCCUAUCUAUUAUAUGGUCGGUUAUACCGCCUAAUUUGUGCUAACUUGAGUUUGUCUAUUUCCUGGUCCGGUCCUAACAUUAAGGAUAUUUAGUUUGUUACAGUAUUGUCUAUUAGUCUUCGUUCACUCAUUUUAAUUAAACAUAUUAAUUCUUGCUUUUGUAUUGGUCAAAGAAUGUUAAUUUCAUUUGUAAAGAGUUUGAACAAAAUUGAUGCAAAUGAAGUAGAUAAUCAAUAGUUUGAUAUUUGGUUCUUAGCACUUUUAAAUUGGUUGUUUUGGCCUUGCUUUCGUCACUGUUCUUAAAUAGAGCUCAGUAUAGUAAUCCCCCUGUAAGUAUAGUUAUGAAAGGCCGAGCAUUAUUAGUCAGCUCCCCUUUAGCAUACAAAGCAUACUAGUGUGAAUACCCGUGCUACGCAGGUGCUGACAUUAUUGAAAAAAUGAAAAUAAAAGGGUGAAUUAAAAAAGGUUAAAAAAUUGUGCUAAUACAAUUAAAAUAUAAUAUCUGUCUACCAAUAGUUUGAAAUAUAACAGAAUGUAUAUAUUAUUCAAAAAUUACCUUUUUUUGGAAGAUAGAUCCUGAAAAAAUAAUAAAAAUUUAUAUUAGAAAAUGAAUGAUAUAUGAAUAAAAAUGAAUGUAAUUAAAUAUUGUUAAAAUAAAAUACUUACAAAUAUUAUGCAUUCAAUUUGAUAAUCUUGCAUGAAGGUGCGAACACUCUUCACACCAAUCAACAUUUAGUACGAAAACCAAAAUUGGUGAUUUAAUUAAUUCUGUUGAAUUUUGUGGAAUGCUUACUACAAAUGAAAAUGCACGAUCUUUGCAUGAAUUGAUUCGUUGGUUGAACAACCUAUCACCAUUGUCCUGAGAAUUAAGUAUGUACGAAAUUUAAAAUUAGUGUAUUUUUUUUACAUAGUUUAUAAAUAGCAUUAUAAAAAAUAAAUAUAUAUCAAGAAAUUCUACCUUUCUUUGUAAGUCUCUGAGAUAAGAAGCAUCACAACCAAAUACGAAUCGUCCAUGUGUAUUCUGUAGAUUAAGAUGCAUGUUGCCACUGGAAUCUUUGAUUUGUAUGUUAAUAUUGUACCUGUUUGAUAAAUAAAAUGUUAUAUAUAAUACAGAAAAAUUUGUUGAAAUUAAAGGUACAUGAAAUUAAUUACCUAACAACAGUAUCAACUACGUCAUUACAGUGCAUACACACUAUUUUUGAAAAAUGACCUUCACAUAGUUGUCCACAAUUUUUGCAUAACUUAUAGAACAUGUUUUCUAUGUUAAUGCUCUGAAUUUAAGCAAGUUUUCGAAAAUAUUUAACCUAGUAAGAAUAAAAGAAGGUAUAAGUUAUGAUUAUAAAUUUAAAAAAUUUGUGUAGUAAUUAAAUAUUUAUGCUGUUCGUUAUGCGGAAAUGGCGGUCCAUAGAGCAGAGGAGGUUGCGGAUCAAGAUUAUUCAGAAGAGUGUCAGAUUGAGCUCAAUAAGGCACAGGCAGAGUUGCGGCAUGCAAUGUCAAUUAAAGAGCAAUUUUGGAGGCAAAAGGCAAGGGUUAAAUGGCUUCGUCAUGGAGAUAGAAAUUCAAGGUACUUUCAUGCGGUAGUAAGGUAGAGACGCGUUCAAGGAAUGAUACACCGUAUAAAAAAGUCCAACGCCGUUUGGGUAGACACGGAUGAUGAUAUAUCAACUGAGGCAACAGAAUAUUUCAAUAAUCUCUUCACGGGUUCUUUGGAGUCAUCUUCCGAUAUGCUACACCUAAUUCCGCCGAUGGUUUCGGGAGAGGAUAAUAAGAGGCUGGAAGCAGUGCCUACGAUCAAGGAAGUAUACGAAGUCGUCAAGUUAAUGGAUGGAAAAAGUGCUGCUGGUCCAGAUGGUUUCACAGGAAAAUUUUUUACAUUUGCUUGGGAGGUGAUCGGCCAAGAUGUCUACAAUGCAGUACUCAGUUUUUUCUGUGGGGCGGAUUUGCUCCGUUUCAUCACCUCUACUUCAAUUGUUCUAAUUCCAAAGAAGCCAAAUCCUCAGGAAUUUUCUCAUUUUAGGCCCAUCAGUCUAUGUAAUUUUUUCAAUAAAUUAUUAUCCCGGAUUUUGGCGGACAGAGUGGCUGUUUUAUUGCCAAAAAUUAUUUCCCCCCAGCAGACAGGUUUUGUGAAGGGCCGCAAUAUAACGGAAAAUUUUCUCCUAGCUCAAGAGGUGGUAUCGAGUAUGGGAAAAAAGAAUAGAGGUGGGAAUGUUUUAAUGAAACUCGACAUGUUCAAGGCGUAUGACUGGGUGUCAUGGGGUCAUAUUAUUAAUGUUCUGAGGAAGUUUGGAUUUGGGGAAAUAUUUAUUGACCUAGUAUGGCGAUUGCUUUCUAAUGUCUGGUUCUCAAUCAUUAUAAAUGGCUCCUCCUACGGUUUCUUUAAAUCUUCGAGAGGGUUUCGUCAGGGUGACCCAUUAUCACCUGCAUUAUUCAUUAUUGGGGCCGAGGUGUUGUCUAGAGGAUUAAAUAAUCUCAUCAUGCAGUCGGGCUUCGUGGGAUUCAAAGUUCCAUAUGGGUGUCCUUCUAUAACUCAUUUGGCGUUCGCGGAUGAUGUUCUCAUAUUUGCAAAUGGCUCUUCCUUUUCUCUGAAGGCUAUCAUGCAGGUGUUAAAGGCAUAUCAAAGGUGUUCGAGACAGCUAAUAAAUGUGCAAAAAAGCUACUACUUGGUACAUCCAUCGAUGCCAUUGGCGAGAAGAAGGCAAAUUGAACGUAUCACCAGGUUUGCCUGGCACUCAUUUCCGAUACGUUAUUUAGGGUUCCCGCUAUACUUUGGAAGAUGUAAAUCAUCAUACUAUGGAGGAGUUUGUCAGUCUAUUCUAGGGAGGAUUUUGUCAUGGAAAUCAAGAUUACUUUCCUUUGGAGGCAAAAUAGUUCUAAUCAAACAUGUGUUGGCAUCAAUGCCAAUGCAUCUGCUAUCAGCUGCAGUGCUCCCGGGUAAGUUGUUCAAAACUAUAGAAAAUGCCUGCUCAGCCUUCCUGUGGGGGUCCUCACCCGCGGACUCGAAGUACCAUUGGAUACGAUGGUCUCAUUUGUGUUAUCUGGUUGACGAGGGAGGAGUCGGAUUUCGGAGACUAUGGGACGUAUACAAAGCUUUUUCAUGCAAGCUUUGGUGGAAUUUCCGAACAGGAUCAUCGUUGUGGGCAAUAUUCUUGAAAGCAAAGUAUUGCAAAAGCCUUCAUCCUUGUCAGGUAGAACUCAAAUUAACGGACUCGGCAAUCUGGCGGAGGAUGGUCAACGUCAGUCGACAAGUGGAGCUCUCAAUGUUAUGGGACAGGUCGUGUCACUUUUGGUACGACAACUGGUUGGGAAGUGGUGCGUUGUUCCUACAAGCACAAGUUAUCCCAAAUUUGACUUUCCACAAUUUCGUCAUCAAUGGUCACUGGGAUUUGAAUUCCUUAGGUCUUACAAUGCCAAAGGAGAAAAUGUCCUCCAUUAUGAAACACAUACCACGGGAAGAAGGGAGUGAAGUUGAAGUCAUUUGGAUGCACACCACAUCUGGUAAAUUCUCUCUACAAUCGGCUUUCGAAGACAUCAGGCAGGCCCGCAACAAGUCGAUGGUUUUUGCUUCGAUUUGGCAUCCUCGAAUUCCUUGGAAAGUCUCAUUCUUCAUGUUACGACUAUUUCUAGGAAGACUACCGCUACCAGAUAGGUUAUGUAAACUUGGUUUUCAUUUACCGUCAAAGUGCUUGUGUUGUUCUUCGGCAUCUGCAGAGUCUAUCGAGCAUUUAUUUGCCAAUGGACAAAUAGCAUCGGAAGUUUGGAACUAUUUUGGAGGUUUAUGUGGAUUCAGCUGUUCAGGGUCUUCUUUGCCGUCCAGCAUAGUAGGGUGGUGGUUGCGGUUACAUGAUACUGAGACACGACAGCUUAUUGACCGUAUUCUACCUAAUAUAGUUUGUUGGCAGAUUUGGAAGGCAAGGAAUAAAGCAAUGUUUGAGGGUGUCCAGAUGCGAUCGUUUGUUAUUUGUCAUCUCAUUUUCUCGGAAAUUCAGUCUAUCGUGGGGAUCCACUUCAAACAAGUGUUUCGAUUCCAAUCGUUUUGUCAUUUGUAUGAUUGAUCGAACGUGUCUGUCGGUACGGUUGCAUACAAAUUUGUUCGAUGGGAGACAAAGAAGACAGGACAGCUCAUACUUAAUACGGAUGGAUGUUCUAAGGGUAAUCCAGGAGUGGGUGGAGGUGGAGGAGUUCUUCGGGAUCCAACUGGUUUACCACUGAUUGCCUUUUCGACUUUUUGGAGAAACUACAUCUCUCCGUGCAGAAGAUUGGGCCCUCCUUAUCGGUCUUCAAACAUGUAAACAUAGGGGAUUUGAAAAUAUAAGUGUGCAAUCAGAUUCGCUGCUCUUAGUUGGGAUCAUUCAAUGUCGCACUCAAUGUCCGUGGCAGAUUCGAAGCGAGAUCAGGCAGAUUUGGAAGCUCUUGCAGGAGCCUGUUCAUUUUUCACACUGCUAUCGAGAGGCUAACAUAGUUGCUGAUGCGUUGUCUAAUGUGGGUGUUUCUCACCCACAUCAAAAGGUCAAGGUAUAUGACAGCUUUACUAUGUUCCCAAGGGAAGCUCGUGGGGCAAUUUGCCUUGACAAAUUAGGUUUACCGUCAAUUCGGAAAAUAAGACGUACGUAACACGAGUUUAUGUUUUGUAAUUUUUCUCAUCAAUAAAAUAAAAAGUUGUUCAAAAAAAAUAAAUUAAAUAAAGUAAGUUUACCGUAUGCAUGAUUGUAUAUUCGGAUAUCCAUAUUCUCUUUGAAUUUUCUAUCAACAAUGUUUGUGAUGUUGUAAAAUUGUUUGACCUCAACUACGUAGCUAACUUUUGAACACAUGUAUCAUUUUCAAACCUUCAAUUUUUUGAAACACAUGUUGAUAAGAGUAUGAAACAACAUUAAAAGUUUGAUGUAGUGUUACUGAUGGAACUCACCAACUGCACAAGUAUCGAGUAAAAUCUAAAUUGUGAUUGAUAUACAAUUUGCUAAGUCCAAUUAUACAAAGUGAUGGUCCUGCAUAGUAUGGUUAUAUUCGCUAAAAAACUAUUCAAAUUAUAUAGAGUAUAAGUAAAAGCAUUUGAUUUACCUUUGAAAUUUUGUACGCAUAUACCACAUGCUAAUAAAAUAUUAUUUUUUGUAGCAGACUAAUAUUAUAGGAUUUGUAGUAUAUUCAAUAACUUGAUACUCAAAUCACCGAUGAGACAAAAUUUGUCUAAAUAAGCUUUAUAGUGUCCUAACUCCUUACAAAAGAAAAAAGCGCUAAAUAGUCCUAAUUGGCAUCGCAAGUUACGGCAAUGUGCCAGUGGCAUCUAGGCCUAAUUUUUUUUUUGGUCAAAAUCUAGUCCUAAUUGGUUCUACUAUUUCUUGAUCAUGUUGCAUGUUUCCGAAUUAAAAUUGUAUUAAAAUAGCAUAUGAAUGAGCAUUUAUCUUCAAUUAAGGAGUAAAAAUGAUUAAAGUAUAAACAACAAACUAUAAACGGUUUAUGAAGUAGAUUAUAGGAAAGUUUUAAAUUUGACUGGUGAUAGGGUUGGUUUUAACCCACUACUUUUUAUGUAUUAAAAUAAAUACAAAAAUCCAGACAACCCACUACUUGUUUCAUUCUUGGGAUUUUUUUUUAGGAUUAAAUAUAGUUAGCCCCUUAACUUUACAUUUAGCUGCACUUUACCCCCUCAACUUUACAUUUAGUUGUAUAUUUGUGAUUUUUUUGAAACAUGAUUGUAAUUUACAAAGCUCAUUUGUAGGGGUGGUUAUAGGGUUAGUGUGGUGGCAAAUAUUUAUUAAUUAUAAAAAUGUAACAUUGUAUUAAAAUAGCAUACGAAUGAGCAUUUAUCUUUAAUUAAGGAGUAAAAAGGAUUUAAAGUAUAAAUAACAAACUAUAAACAGUUUAUAAAGUAGAUAGUGCGAAUGUUUUAAAUUUUAAAUUUGAUUGGUGAUAUGGUUGGUUAUAACCUACUAUUUUUUAUGUAUUAAAAUAAAUACAAAAAUCUAGAAAAAAGAAUGAGAAGUUUGGAAGCCAUUGAGAGGGUCUCUGCUAAAAACCCCUUCUGCAAUACAUAUAGAUAUAGAUAUAGAUACUCCUACUUUUGUUCUUUUUUUUUUUGUCUUGCUUUCUACAAUCUCCUAUCAUUUAACAUGUUUAGAAUAAUUCUUUUAACUGUUGCUCAAUCUUCUAUUUCUUGCCUUAUUUAUUUUGUCAGCCUUUAUAUUGCACUUUCUUUUAAAAAAAAAUUUUCCCCAGCGAAACAAGAGGGAGUUAGCUCUAAGUUCCAUUGAUUAAACAAGAAAUGGUAGAUAGAAGGCGAUAAAAACCAUUCCCUUCUUUAAAAUACAAGAGUGGAUCUAUUUCAACUAAAUUUUAAAAAAGGGAAUCCUAAUCUAUCAGUACUUUUAAACAAAAUUCUGCCAGAACUCUUAAGCUGGCCUCCAAAAAUACACAUGGGAUCUUCAAUGCUACUUUUCUAGUAGUAACUCAAUUCCACUUCUAUAUUUAUGCUAAGUAUCCUGUUUAUUUAACUUGUCAUGCAGUGUUUAUUUAAGUUUUUUCUACUCUCACAUGAUAAAUGGGAUUAUUACUAAAUUUGGAACUAAAUAGUGGCAUAGAGGAUCCCAACCUCCGAGGAUGCUUUCAGUCAACAAUAGAUACAUAGCAUGUUUGCAGGCUUGUUGGUUUGUCGUCUGCAAUGACAAAUAGAAACAGACUUAGGCGUUAGACCAACUAAUAUUGGUAGUAAUAUUACUGGUUUCUCUUUUUGUUUGAUGCAGCUAAAUUUGUUUACCAAGGAUCUUCUUCAAAGACAAAAAAAGAUGUGAAAAGCGCUCGGCAAAAUUGUAAAAAACUUCAAGGGACGUUUUUGAAAUUAUCUUUUCUCAUAUGGGGUUACGUGCAUAGUUGUCAAAAUCGCGAUUCGGAUCGUACGAUCCGGAUAACCAAAAUCGAUCCGGAUCGUAUGCAGAGUCGCAAAUCAUAUUAAUUUUUUGCAGGAUCGCAUAGAAUCGUAGCAGGAUCGUGCAGGAUCGUGCAGGAUCGUGUAGGAUCGUAGGAUCGUAGGAUCGGUAGGAUCGUACGAUCCUACAAUUUUUUUGUAAAUUUGUGAAAUACGAAGCUCCAUUUUGCAAAUAAAUGAAAAUAUUUGUGGUAUAUUUGUAAUUUAUCAAAGAAUUGCAACCUUUAAUUGCAAUUAAGAGCUUUUAGUAGGAUCUUACGAUUCUAUGAUCCGAUCCUAUGAAACUAAAAUCGAUCCUACGUAGGAUCCCGAUUUUACAAACCUUGGUUACGUGCCAAAUAAUACUUACUGCCCUGAGCUUCUAUACCAAUUUUAGACAACAAAAAAAAAGAGCAAUUUAGGUGCAUUAAAAUAUUUUUCAUUUUAAGCCUAGAAGAUUUUAAGUUUAUUUUAUGCCAAAUUAUUUAAGUUAUAAAGUAAAAAUUUGUGUCCGAUGGUGGGUUUCUGUUUUCAUCUGAAUUGACACAGCAACAUUGAGUUAUUCUAUUGGGUUAUUAUCACUUUACCCCUUUAAAGUAUAUCACUACAAUCAGUUUAUCCCCUAACGUUAUCUUUUAGUCAUUUUACCCUCAUAAAUAAUUCAACUCAGCAUGUUAAGAAAUUUUGGAUAAAAAAUCCUUUUAUUUUAUAGCAUUACUACAUUGUUGUUAUCACUUUAUUCAUUUAAAUUAUAAUGAUACAAUCACUUUAGUUCCUAACAUUAUUUUCUAGACAUUUUACCUCAUCGUUAAUCUAACUAGUAUGGUCAAAAAAUUUUAAAUAUGUUUACCCUCUUUUUUAUAUAUAAUUAAAAAUAAAAAAAUUGGAAUGGUUAUUCUUCCUUUAAAUUUCACUUUAAGAGAUCAAAAAACAUAAAAAUAAAGAGUUUUCUCAAAUUUCUUUUUUUCACAUUUAUUAAUACUAGAAAAAGAAAAAGAGAUAGGAAAGAAGGAGACAAAAAAUUAGAUUUUGCCAAAAAAAGAAAAUAAAGAAAAAUCUAACAUUAUCGUAUUACUUUAAGAUUAUCGAGAUUAUGAUUGGAAUUUGAUGGUAAAAAAAAAGUGAAAUAAUUUUAAAAUAAUAAAAGUAUUUAAUUCUUUUUAUUUGUAAUUUUUUAAAAAAGAAUUGAGCUCUCUCUCUCUCCCUCUCCCCCCUCUCUAUCUUUUUAUUUUUUUUCAAUAUUAAUAAGAUUGCCAAGAAGAAAGAAAUUAAUACUUUGACUUUGUUUUCUUGAUACUAAAAAGGAGAAGAGUCACUCUAAAUUUUUUAUUAUUUUUAUUACGCAAAGAGGAGGGUAUUUUUUCUAAAGUUUUUUAACUUAUUAAGUUGAUUUAAUGGUAGGACAAAUUGUCUAAAAAAUAACUCUAGGGGGUAAAUUAAUAAUGAAACUAUAUUUUAUGGGGGUAAAGUGAUGAUAAUUUUAAGGAUUAAACAUGUUUGUUCACUUUAAUUAACAAAUUCCGUUAAGUUUGACCGUUAGUUUUGUGAGUAAAGUGACUAAAAGAUAACGUUAAGGGGGAAAUUGAUAGUUACACCAAAUGUUAAGACGGUAAAGUGAUAAUAACCCUAUUCUAUUUGUACAAGAUUGCAGAUAAAACUUUAAUUUGAACUCUAUAAUUCAAAUUAUAAACCGUCUACUGGUUAUGAAGUUCAAAUGUUUACCUAAAACAUGGGAUUAAUUCUCAUUUCAACUCAUAUGAGAUCCUCAGCGCCACUUUCCAGUAACAAUUCAGUACCAACUUCUAUAUUUAUACCAAGUGUUCUAUUAUUUAAGUUAUCAUGUACUGUUUAUUUAACUUUUCUUUACUCUCACGUGAUAAAUGGAAUUGACACUGAAUUUGGCACCAGAUAGUAGCGCAGAACAUCCCAACUGCAUUUCAACUACCUAUUGGUCCUUCCUCAACCCCUUGUACAAUUCCCUCAACAAUAAUUAUGCGUACUUUGUUCCACUCAUGUGAAACUGUAAACCUGCGAGCAUUUUCCGCUUGAAAAUUAAAUUGCUUGACUAUGAAAGGAGGAACUUAAACAAAAUUAGUAUCCAACUCCAUCCAAAUCAAAUAAACCGUUUCCAAAUAGGAAGACAAAAUAAAAUACAAAAAAGAAGGAAGAGUUCUUAGAGUCUUCCUUCAUUGCUAAAUGCAAAUUUGAAUCUUGGACAUGAUUGUUGGGGGUAGGAAAAGUACGAAAAGGGGUGACAUGGAUUAAAAAGAUUACAAAAGAAGGGUAAAGUUAAUUCUAAAAAUUGCACAAAAAAAUAUGUAGUUGAAAAAGCAGCCGCAAUUAUACAGGGUGAUCUACUAAUAACAACACUGCGUCGGCUUAUGGUGAACCUUAGUAAAAUUGCUCGGUUUAGCCCUAAAUUAUGGUACAAAAAAGAGUUAUACUUAGUAAAAUCUUCAUCUACAGAUGGUGAACCUUUUCUGGUUGUCACACGAGACAAAAUCCCCAAUUAUGAGGACGAACAAGGUUUUGAAUUGGAUAAACCGAUCUAUGGUACAACCGAAUUUCAGGUGUUUGAAUUGGUUUCCACAACAGGAGGAGGAAAAGAAAUUACAUCCCGUUGGAAAGAAGUCAAGAAUUUGGGAAGCAGAUCAAUUUUUCUUGGCCAUAGUUCUUCAAUGUGCCUGGAAAACAACAAAUUGGGCCCCGGAAUCAAGUCCGGUCAUAUAUAUUUCACAGACGAUGCAUGGGAAGCAUAUCUUGAAAUUCCUGAAGGCGGCGGCAAGGACAUGGGAGUCUACAACUUGGAAAAAGGAGUAACUGCGCCCUUGUAUGAUGCCCCCUUGCGGCUUAGCCGAACCUGCCCAUCUCUUUGGAUUACACCAAAUUUUUAACAUUUGUAUCAUUACCCUGUGAUCUGUUCAUGUGAAUCUCGAAGGAUGUAUUUUCUCCCUCGUAGAUUUACUGCUCUCCAUAUCUUUCCUAGUUCAGGACCUUGUGCAGAAGUUCUACUGAUAACUGUUUGUUUUUCUAAUAUAAAAACGCUUUUUAUUGCUCUUGUUGGGAAUUAAUAUUAUUCAGCGCAUGUUAAUUCUACACUUUAUGAAUUACCUUGUAAUAAUCAUUUCCAUUAACAGUCUUCAGCAAUGAUAUUCAUCUUUUAGUCCUCGAGGACAAGGACUUUGUAAGGGAGGGGCAGAUGAUACAAUGAGAAUUCAUCAUUUUGGGUAUUAAUAUCUCGGAAAAACUCUUUUAAUAUCCGGAUUCCAAAUUGCAUUUCACUUCAGUAUAGAAAGAGUCAGUUGCUGGAUUAAUUAGAGUGAUGUCAGCAGGGAAUUAGUUUGUUGAUCUGGCAGGAGUUAAUUGAGAAUAAGUGAAUAACUGCUAUAUUAGCAGAAAAAGAGUAGAAAAAGGGUCAGUUGUGAAUUCUGUAUCUUGAUUCAUUCAUCUUCUUCUGAUUCUCGAAUUGUGUUCUUCAUUCAUCACGAUUCACUGUUCUCUGCGAGACAUUCACUGUUCUCUGCAUCACACUAGGCUACCACAUCAUUUUUUAUUUGAGAACCUGAUAGAGACUCAAAAAAACUUGGAGUGACGGCGAAGAAGAGCGGUAGAGAGAUAAGAGUAAUCAAGAUAGAAAUACAAGCAACAGGGCUAGGGUUAAGCGUCUACUUGUGGAUAGAGAAAAUGAUUCAACUGGGAGUUUGAGAGAGGUUGGAGUUUUGAAAAUUGAAGUGAAGAAUGAGAAAUUUUUCCACUGCAUGAUUAAGAGAGCAUUUGAAUAUUAAAGGCCAUUUGGUUCAAUUUUCAUAAUCACUAUCACUAUGGUAAGAUAAAUAUGAGAAUAACAAUCGACUUGAUAAAAAUUUAUGGAGUGCUUGGUAAAUUUGUAGCAAUGCAUUUUAGUAAUAGAAAACAAUAGAUAAGCAACAAUGCCGCUCUUUAACCUAGACGUGCUUAUAAAGCAUGAAAUAUGGAAUAUAAUAAAUAGGGCCCUUAAAUGAGCUGAGCUUAUUUGCGAGCUCAGCUUGUAUAAGUUCACGAUCGCCUCAUUUGUUUAACUAGAUUAGUUGACAAACGAUAACCUCGUCCCAGCUAUACCCCUAACACCCUUCUCCCUCGAAAAUUUAACUAGAUUAGUUGAGCCUAACCACAAAAUUAAACUCAAUUUAUUUGAACCAAUUGAGCCGAGCUUAGCUCAUGAACAGCUUGUUUGAAUUCAUUUUAUGCAUUUAUGGAUGAAGGUGUAGUCCUAAAUUUAAUUCAUAUUAAAGGCUCCAUUUGAUAAAUGAGUUUUUUAGGUAUUUAUUUAAAACUUUAUUGUAGUUUACUGUAUAAGUAGUAGAAAAAAUUUUUAAAAUGGAAAAUUUUUUUUUUCUUUUCUUUUUCUCUUUCUUUUUCUUUUUCUUUCUUUCUUUUCUCUUUUCUUUCCUCUCUUCUUCUUCUCCCUUCCCCCGCCACCCCGCUAGCCUUCCCAGCCAGACAGAAGUAGCAUAUGCAAAUUUUUUUCUUGCUUUUCUCUCUCUCCCCUUCUCCUCUUCUCCUUCCCUUCCCCCUCCCUCUCUCCCUCCCUCCGUCAGAAGUUGCUGCACCAGAAAUGGGAUUUUUUUUUUUUUGCUUUUUCUCUCCCCAUCUUUUCUCUUUCCCUCUCCACCUCUCCCUCCCCAGCCACCUUUCCCUUCCUCCGCUGGAAGUUGCAGCACCAGAAAUGGGAUUUUUUUUUUUGGCUUUUUCUCUCCACCUCUUCUCCCUUUCCCUCUCCCUCCUCCGCAACCUCUCCCUCCCUCCCUACGCCGGACGUUGCAACAAUAGAAACAGGAAUCUUUUUUAUUUUCUCUCCCUCUCUUCUCCCUCUCCUCUCUCCUUCCCUUCCCCUUUCGCCUUCCCCCCCUUCCCCUGGCUGUGAUCUGGUCUCGUGACUAGAUCGGGUAAAGGGGGAGAGAGAUGAUGGUGGUGGUGGGAAAGGGGAGGAGAGAGAGAGCAGGAGAGGGAGGAGAGGGGGAGAGAAAAGGCAAAAAAAAAAUUUUGCAUCUAUCGGCGCCGGAACAAGUGUCGAAAAUGUUGCCGGUCCGUCUUGGCCAGCGGCAAAGGUGGUGGUGGGUUGAGGUGGAAGAAGAAAGGCGGAAAGGAAUUUUUUUUGGUAUGUUUUGGGUUUUUUAAACUGUGUAGAUAAAAAGUUUUGAGAAGUUUUUGAAUUUACUGUAGUUAAAAUUGGUAAAAACUAGUAGCGCAAACUUGGGUAAAAACCCAUUUGCCAAACUGGCCCAAGGUUCUUCCACAAGUUCCCUAUGCAGCUGAACAAUGAAAUUGUUGAUCAAAUCAAUUACAUCGAAGAAUAUGUGGAUGAGAUAAUGUGUUUUUUUUUUUUUUUGCAUAACAAAAAUAUGAGUCUUAUCUUGAUUUCUUUGGUGUUUAAAGGUCAUUUUGUAAAAUGCAUUUAGACAACUUUUAUUCAGUAACACUGUUAUUGUGGAAUAGACUGAUAAAAUUUGUUAAUUUGUGAGUUGCAAUACGGCAUAGGAACCAAACUUGAACUCAUUCCAACUCGUCUUUUUCUUUUUUAUUAAAAGAGCUGAGACCAAGUUUAUAGCUCUAACGUGGAACUCUUUUUAAUGAGUCGAGCACAAAAAUGAUUUAAGCUUGGCUAAGAAAUAAGUCAAGCUUGAUAUUGAUUUAUUAAUUAAAUGAGUCUGAGCUUAAAAGCUAGACAUGUGGCUCGGGUUGGCUUGUUAAUAGCUCCGUGGUAAGAUUAUAAUAUCACUUUAUCCCUAUUAUGGUUUUUCAAUCGACCAUAUAAUUUCCCUAUAGCCUUAUAUAAAGUGGUUAGGCACUUCUUGUGUCUAGUAUAUGAAAAAAAGGACAUGACAAAAAUUUUAACUAACCUUGUAACUAGAGGAGAUUUUAGUCCAUUUACCAUUUUGUGCAAAUCCACAAGAGGUUAAAUAGAUAUUCUUGGAUAAUAGGGACUAUUUGGUAAUACGCAAAAAUAAAGAGGGCUGAAAUAGUAAUUUUUCACUGAUAUUAAAGGAAAUGAAGUAUCGACGCUGUUUGCUUAUUUUCCUGAAUCUGUUUUUAUGAUUAUAAUUAAAUUACAUUUCCACUUCUUUUCUAUUGCCUUUAUCCACGGAUGAAAUAAAGUGACAAAUUCGAGAGGGAAAUUUUGGCAUGAAUUGCUAAUUAGAUCAUCCCCUUGAUUUUAUUUGUCACAUAAUCCUUUUAUAGUUUAAAAAAUAUCUACUUAACUCCCUACCAUUUUGUACACAAAAUUGAAAUUGAUGGAAAGCCCUCUAGUAGCAGCUUUAGUUAAAAAUUCCAAUUAUAUCGUUGUCUAAUACUGAUCACUACGAGGUUCUAAGAGUGGGAUCUAAAAAAGGGGGAACGGAGUUGAUUUGAAUCCAGAUCAUUUAAUUUCUGAAGUCUCAGCCUUAAUAAUUAGACACUACGAGACUCUAAUCACAUUACAUAAAACUAUAAGGGAACACUUUUGAACCCUAAUGGAAUUGUGUAAUAUAAUGGGAAGCCACAAUGGCUAAAAAUUGAUUUGUCCAAAUUUUUAUGAAAAUUUUGAUGAGCAAUAAUAUUCUUGGAAAAUAGGAUGUAAUAGGCCGUUUUGAUAAACUUUGGCAAUCUGGACAUGAAGAUAAAAAUUAGGACUUAUGCGCUUUUUACAAACCAUUUCUCAAACAUUUUUUUGCUAAACAAAACCUCUAACCGAGAGCUCCUUUUCCCUCCCCUUCCACUUCUGUACUGCCUGAUCUUCAUUGCUUCCACCCAGAACCACAAUCACCCUACACCGCCUUAUGGACCAUGAAGAAAUCAAUGAAGAGCAUGCACCACCGCCCAAUCAAGAACUACAUGCACCGAUACCCAAGAAACCAGCUCCCAAGAAACACCCUGAUUUUGAGGUUGGCUACUGCCUUCUCUGUUCUGAAAAGAAGCAUACUGAAAAUGGCCUCAAAGAUCACAAUAAACGCAUUCACACCAGGUACCUCAAGAAUAAGUGCGUUACUUGCCAGAACGUCUUUUAACCCAGGCCUCAUUGCGACUGCACAGAAGGCCUGGGCCACCUGAUCAGUAACAUUUUCUCUGAUUCAUCCCCUGUGAGAAAAUUGAUCAAUCAUGUGAGGCGAAGGGGAUGGUUAAUAUUCUUGGGAGAAGCCAAGGACAAAGUUGCUGCUACGUUACACUUAAAGGAUAACUCCAUUCAGGCGCGUCUGAUUGCAACCUUUGCUUGUUACGCUUCGGGUUAUUAAUUGAUAAGGAGCACUGAAAAUUUUCAAGAAUCAAUUUUUAUCGAAAAGAUCUAAAAUUCUUGCUUUUAGUCCGUCGAAAUAUGCGUACAGAUGUUGAUUUCUUUAUGGUGAAUAUAAAGAAGAAUUUUCUACUUUUAAUCCAUAACAACAGAUGUUGAUUUCAUUAAGGUGAAUAUAAAAAAGAAAAUCUUGAUUAUUGAAGAAGCGCUGAGCUUCCCUGGACCGAGCUGGCCUGACGAGCUCGGUGUGCUAAUGGAAGAGCUGUCCCAAGCCUGCAAGACAAACAAGAAUGAACUAGCAAAGGGAGCCCGAGGGUUGUCACCGAGGGCACUCCGACGGUCAAGUUAGUUUUCCGGUGAGUCAAGUUCACGGGAGUCAACAGUCGAGAGUCCUUUGCCAAUUAGCGAGCGUACCUUUUUUCCCUGGUAUGCGUUACCUUUCAUACCUGCUAAGGGAGUCCGACCUCCGUACGUUUCGGGACUUGCCCGGCAUAGCCCUUAUCCCGCAAUGAGGGGGAUUCCCUCCGACCUCUGCGGGAUGGUGCCCUGCCCCUUCUGGAGCCCUAGCAUCAACGCGGCCCAGGACGGCUGCCAGGGGCCAGGGGCCGAGGCCCAACUCGGCCAUACUUGGGCUGCCACGUGUCUAGGCUCAGGACAUGACCUCUGCACUAGCCCCCUAGAUUAGGUAGGGCUGUCAGGCAGACCUAAUCUACCCUUGUCACGUGGGAGGCCAGCGCUGCGCACUACUCUGCCAAGGUCACCUCUGGUACAGUACUGUCACAGGGACGUUGUGCCCGCGUCCCUUCAGUUGUCAUGCCUCUUCAGUUUUCGUACCAGCAUUAAAUGCGUUCACAUGGGACGGUUCGAUUUCAAGCAACCGUUUUCCCCCCAUUUUUCCCCUUAUAAAUAGGGGUCACCAGAUUUCCAUCCGCUCCAUUUGCCACUUUUUCUUCCCCUUGUGCAUUUGCAUUUCCAUUUUCCAGCAACUUCCGGUUCCCCGUGCCCAGAUUCCGGCGAGUCUUCCAUCCUCCCCCUGCUUUGAUCAUCAGUAAGUCUCUUUGCGAUUCCUUUUCCUUUUUUCCUCCUUUCACAGUGUCUCUUCCCCUUCUGCCCCUUCCUGCUUUUUAUGUCGGGUUAUUCCGACGUUACUUCCACCGCGUCCACUGCGUCCUAGAGUCCGGCCCGUCGUAGAGCCACCAGGAUCUUCAUUUUUUCUUCCUCCUCGUCCUCAUCUUCGCCUUCGCCUUCUCCUCCUCCUCCUUCUUCCUCUUCUGUUUCUAACCCGGACCUGCUUGACCCCAUAGAUGUUAUAGUUCUUCUUCCGACCGUUCUUCUUCUGCCCAUUCCCCUUCAACCCGGGAGUUGGAGGAGGCGCCCGAGCUCGAUGCCUACCUCGAGCGGCGGGCCGGCUCCACCCCCUUCCCCAGGACCCCCAUGACUCUCCUGGUGGGGCCCAAGGGGGAGCUGGAGAGGAUAGGGACUCCUCCGAGGGGACCCCUGACCCUGAGCAGGGAGAUGAUCCCGAAUUCAGCUACGGCUACACCGACCACGAGGAGGUCACCAUCUCGCCGGAGGCGGUGGCCGAGCUGGUCAGGUCCUACUCUAUCCCCCCGGCCUUCGAGCCAAGGGCUGCCGGGCCCCGCGACCGGGCCAGCCGACCUCCCCCCGGCUUCGUAGCCGUCUACAAUGAGCAGCUGAUCGGGGGGCUCCGCCUACCAAUCCCUUCGGCCCUGGGCGAGAUCCUAAGCUAUUGGGGGUUCAAGAUCACCCACGUCCAUCCUAACUCGAUCAGGAUCAUCAUAGGAUUUCUGAUCUAUUGCAAACUCUGCUUCAUUCCUUACUCCCUCUCCCUCUUCUGAGCUGCGUUCGUCCUCAAGGCAGCCCUUACCGGGUGGUAUUACUUCUCCCGCCGGACCGAGAACCAAGGUCGGGGGGACAAGGGCUGCCAGGACUUGUUCCAUAAAUUCCCUACUUCCAUCAAGAACUGGAAAGGGGAUUUCUUCUUUGUCAAGCCCACUGGUUUCGACGCCACCGUGUGGAAGGUCGGGGAGGUCAAGACUGACCCCUACCCGGAGGACCUGGACUCUGAAACCCUCAUCCAGCUGCUGAGCUCUAAGGUGAAGCUCUUUGCCACCAAGUUCUCCAGCAAGCAGAUCUCUGCGGCCGGGCUGAUGGGGACGUUGUCCGGGUCCCCUGGCGAGGUGGUGGCUUCCCCUAUCGACCUCGACGCCUGUAACGCUGACCCUGACCUAGUAGCUCAUUGCAUUUGCAUACAUCUAUAUCUUCUUACCGUCCUGUCUUGGCUGAUCCAGCGAUGUUUUUUCUUUUUUUUUCUUUUCGCAGUGAGGAAGCUUUCCCAACUGCUAGGCGCACCCACUGAGGAGGCUACCCCCACUCCCCAACCAGAAGCUGCCAAGGAGGCCCUUGGGGCGGCCUCGACCCUGGGGGGUGACCAAGCCCCCCAGAAGGAAGUGCAGGAUACCUCCUCCCCCUCCAAGAAGGCCGCCAACAACAAGAAGAAGGCGGCCGGGCAGAAGAGGGCUCGAGGGGACGAGCCCUCCCAGUUCGGGAAGAAACUCGCGUUGGUCCCAGCACAGCCCCCUCCCCUCUCGCUAGUAUCGGGGGGGCCAGUCCACCUGGGCGUCGGUUCGGCCGAGGAACAUGCCCGGGAGUCGCCUCUACCGAGCUUGUGGCACUUCCGCCACAUAGCACCCCUGAAGUCGGGCCAGACCCCCACUAUGCACGACCCCCACCGCUUCUGUCCGUCCUGGGAGUUCUCCAUCAACGACCGGGCCCAGUUUUUCGAGGUGGCUCGCGAGCUGAUGGUGGGCUCGGUCCUCCCCCGCGAUAGGAGGUGGAUGGAGCUAGCCAACCCUCCCGAGCUCCUGGACGCGUAUUACACCGCCCAGACUCAAGUAAGUCUUCUAUCCCAUGGGCCAGUUGUACCUCUAUGUUUUGGCGUAACAUGCUGACCUGUUUUCCCUCCUGCUCAGGCCAACGCCGCUGGUGCCGCCCUGGCGACCCGCUUCUCCGAGCAGUCUCCCGACUUGGAGAAAUUGCGCAAGAAGAAUCGGGAGACAGAGCAGAGGCUUACCCAGGCCCUUAAGGAAGCGGACUCCCUUAAGGCCAAACUGGGCAAGGCCGAGAAAGGGUUGGAGACGACUCAAGUCCAGCUCGCCUCUGCCAGGUCGGAGCUUGACCAGGAGAAGGCCGGCGUGGCCAAGCUGAAGGAGGACCAUGCCAUCGAGCUCUCCGGCACCGUCAGCCGGGAGCGGAAGAAGGCUGUCCGGGAGUUUAUCUCUUCCGAGCAGUUUGAAAAGGACGUCGUCCUCCUCAACCAUCCCAUCCUCCAGGUCGGCUCUACGCGGGCCCUGAACCAGGUGAAGAGUCUCAACCUUCCUGGUUUCAACUUAGCAGAUUUCAAGGACUACAAUCCCGCAGCCGAGGAGAGGCUGGACUGGCUCUUCGACGGGUACCGCAAGGGGCAUGCCCUGAAGAGCUUGGUGGGCCGAACCGACGUUGGAGCAGAGCUGGCGGAGGUUCCCUUGGAGGAGGGCGAGUCUCCUGGUAGAGCUUCCGGGAAGGAGCCGGUGGCUUAGGGCAGCGACCACUCCAGAAACCCUUUCUGUCUCCUUAUAAGGAUGUGACCAUGCUCCAGUUGAAAAUGUUCUUGCAGGUCCAUCUGAGACGGAAAGGCUCCUCUGCUUCUGGGUUCCUGAAUAGCCUUCACCAUAUGCCUCCCCCUAUGCUUAAGGUGUACCUUCAGCUCCAACUGCAGGCGGGUCACCAGCACGAGGGUGUCUUUCCUUCGUAGCCCGGUAGGCUUUGUAAUAGACAGGCUGGAAACUUUGUAAUAGAUAGGCUUUGAAUGCAUAUACGAAAUUUGAAGGAGAUUUCCUUGCAACUCUUGCUCGUGCCCAACUCCAUCAACCAGAGCCAUGUGCCGAUCUCCUGGGUCGAGCACCAAACGUACAUCCUCAUUAAUCUGACAACCAAAUUAUCAAAGACAAUCAGAUUGGCGAAGCCGUGUGCCGUCCUCCCGGGCCGAGCACCACGCCGUCCUACCAAGGCAACGUGCCAGCCUCUCGGGGCUGAACACCAAAUCUUAAGGAUUUUUCCCGCCGACCUCUUGGGUCGAGCGUCUGGCCUUGAAGGUGUUCGCGCCGACCUCCUGGGUCGAGCGUCGAACCUUGGAUCCCAUUUGACCCCGAAUAGUCCAUUCCAUGCAGACCUCUCGUGGCCGAGCGUCAAGCUCUCAGAUUCCCAAGAUUUAACCCUUGCCGAUCUCCUGGGGUCAAGCAUCCAUCGGAAAGUUUUUAACACUGCCGACCUCUCGGGGUCGAGCAUCGCGCCUCGCCAUGGCGCCCGCCGAUGGCGACCGCCGACCUCCUAGGUCGGGCUCUCCCGCAUCAUCCUUCCAAGUUUUCCAGUCGCGCCGACCUCUUGGGGUCGAGCACUCCCGCAUCCAUUACUAACCCUUAGCCCCCCACUAGGACAUUUAGUGAGGGAACGCUAAGUGUGCUAGUGUAAAAUUCAAACUUAAAAAGCAAACAAGUACAAAUGAAAUUAAAACUUGAAAGUCGAGCUUUUAUUGAAUGAUGAAACUGAAAUUCGGAUUCCAAAGAACAGACAACCGAACACCCUGGUCUAACCUACGCUACAAACAGUCGCAGAUUGGAGAAGUGCCAAGUGCGGGGUACUCCGAUCCAUCCAUUUUCGCGAGCUUGCAGUAACCAGCUCGGCUCGCUUCAAGAACCUUGUAUGGGCCUUCCCAGUUCGGGUCGAGCUUGUUGGAGCCAUGAGCUCGGCUGACUGAGUUCUUCCUUAGGACAAGGUCCCCCGGCUGGUACUGUAUGGUCCUCACUCUGGCGUUAUGAUAGCGGGCGAGCUGGCUUUUGUACUUAGCCAUCCGUACCGCCGCUUCCUCACGCUUAGCCUCCAUCAUGUCCAAGUUGCACCUCAGCUCUUCCUCGUUUGAUGACGCAACGAAGUGCUGUGUUCGGGGCGAGGGGAGACCAAUCUCCGCGGGCACCACCGCUUCUACUUCGUAAGUCAGAGAGAACGGGGUCUCGUGGGUGGCCGUCUUGGGCGUAGUGCGGUAAGCCCAAAGGACACUAGGGAGUUCAUCCAGCCAAUUAGACAGGGCCAGUUCCAGCCUAGUUUUUAGUCCUAGGAGGAUGGUUCGGUUGGCAUUUUCCACCUGGCCGCUGGCCUGGGGAUGGCCGACCGAUGUAAAGUGCUGACUGAUCCCGAGCUCGGCGCACCAGCUCUUGAAGGGGUUAUCUGCGAAUUGGCGCCCGUUGUCUGAUAUUAAGACAUGCGAAAUUCCGAAGCGGCAGACUAUGUUCCUCCAGAAGAACUUCUGAAUUGCCCUCCCCGAGAUAGAGACCAGGGGCUCUGCUUCCAUCCAUUUCGUGAAAUAGUCUAUGGCCACCACGAAGUGCUCAUAUCUCCCCGGGGCUCGGGGGAAAGGACCCAAAAGGUCUAUCCCCCAUUGAGCGAAGGGCCAGGGACUGUGGAUGGGGAUCAUUUCCCGAGCUGGCUGGUGGCGCAGUGGGGCGUGCACCUGGCAACCUCGGCAUUUCUGUACCAGUUCCGCGGCAUCUUGGAAGACGGAGGGCCAAUAGUAGCCCAAGAGAAAGCACUUUUUGGCCAAUACCCGUGACCCCACAUGUGCCGCACAUAUCCCUUCAUGGAUCUCGCGAAGGAAGUGGUCACCUUCCUCGGGAGUCACGCACUUUAACUAGGGGGAUAAGUAUGACCUCUUGUAGAGGAUUCCCCCAGCGUAGGCUUACUUGGCAGCUCUGAGCUGGAUUCGGCUUGUCUCGAUUUUGUUCUCAGGGAGGGCACCCGAGCUGAGAAAGUUUACUAAGGGGGUCAUCCAGGUGGCCGAGCUGUCUAUAGCCAGAAUCUGGACCUGGUCGAUACUUUUCUGUUUUACCACCUCCACCAAAACUUCCUUGUUCAGGUGCGCAAACGAGGAGGAUUCCAGCUUUGAUAGGGCGUCUGCACGCUUGUUUUGCGAUCUUGGCACCCGCUCGAUUUUAAAGGUAUCGAACAGGGCUAUUGCCUUCUGCACUUUGGCCAGAUAUUUCUUCAUGACCUCCUCCUUGGCCUCGUAUUCCCCGCGAACUUGGAGGACGACGAGCUGAGAGUCGCUCCGAACUUUGAUCGCGGUUAUACCCAUCUGAUGGGCUAUCCGCAACCCCGGCAAUAGGGCCUCAUACUCAGCCUCAUUGUUAGAUGCGGGGAAGUCAAACCGGAGAGCAUAGGUCAGUUCUUCCCCGGUUGGCGAGAUGAGCAGCAAACCUGCUCCGCUUCCUUCCUUGCUGGAAACCCCGUCUACGAACAGCACCCAUGGCUCAUUCGGCCCUGCAUCCUCACGCGGAGAGCUUAGCUCGGUUAGGGUCAAGCUGGCCCCCUCAGCAAAGAAAUCUGCCAAGACCUGGGCCUUGAUGGCUGUGCGAGGCUGAUAGCCGAUGUUAUGCUUGGCUAGAUCGAUGGCCCACUUGGUCAUCCGACCGGAGACCUCGGGUUUGGCGAGUAUCUGCCGUAAGGGUUGAUCGGUCACGACAAUGAUGCUGUGGGCCUGGAAAUAAGGUCGAAACUUGCGGGCAGCGUGCACCAAGGCCAGGGCCAGCUUCUCGGCCGGCGUGUAUCGCGUUUCCGGCCCUUGUAAAGCAUGGCUGACAUAGUAUAUAGGCCUCUGAACCCCCCUGUCCUCCCGCACCAAAACCGCGCUAACGGUUUCGUUGCAAGCAGACAGGUAUAAGAACAGGGUCUCCCCCUGCUCCGGGGCGGUCAAGGUGGGGAGCUCUGCUAAGUAUGCCUUCAGGUCGGCGAAGGCUCUCUGGCACUCCUCCGUCCAUUGGAAGUCUUUAGGCGCUUUUGGGACACGGAAGAAGGGCAGCCCCCGGACCGCAGAGCGCGAGAGGAACCUGUUCAGGGCGGCCAUCCUUCCUGUGAGCCGCUGGACCUCCUUCACGCUCCUUGGGGGGGCCAUGUCCAUGAUAGUUUGGAACAUAUCCGAGUUGGCCCGGAUCCUGUCCCGAGAAACCAGGAAUCCCAGGAACCUUCCCGACCUGACCCCGAAGGUACACUUCUUCGGAUUCAACCGCAUCCGACUCUCUCGCAGGAUACCCAAGAUUUCCCUCAGGUCGGGGACGAGCUGCCGAUCAGUUCGGCUCUUGACGAUCAUGUCAUUCACGUAGACUUCCAUGCUUCUGCCGAUCUGAUUCUGGAACAGUUUGUUGACCAAGCGCUGGUAUGUAACUCCCGCGUUCUUCAAGCCAAACGGCAUAGUCCGGUAGCAGUAGAUUCCUUCCUCUGUGAUGAAGGAGGUCUUUUCCCGGUCCUCCUCAAUCAUUUUUAUCAGGUGGUACCCCUAAAAGGCAUCAAAAAAGCAUAAAACGUCAAAUCCCACAAUAGAAUCUACUAACUUGUCGAUUCUCGGUAGAGGGAAACAGUCCUUUAGGCAAGAUUUGUUGAGAUCCGUGAAAUCCACGCACAUCCUCCAAGUCUGGUCCUCCUUCUUUACCAGUACCGGGUUGGCUAACCAGGUCGGGUAGUAGACCUUCAGGAUGAUCUGGGACUCCAGCAGUUUCCCGACCUCCUUCUUGAUCACCUCAUUACUUUCUGGGGCGAAACUCCUCUUUUUCUGCUUUACUGGUUUGAAGCGGGGAUCCACGUUGAGGUGGUGGACUGCCAGGUCGGUUGGGAUCCCGGGCAUGUCAUCAACUGACUAGGCGAAGACCUGGGAGUAUUCCCUCAAUAGGGCCUUCAAAUCCCUCUUCUCCUCAGGGGGUAGCAGCUUGCCAAUGCGGAUUAGCUGGUCGGGCCGGUCCUCCCUCAAGGGGAAUUCCUCUAUCUCAUCUUGGGUGCCCAACUGCCGAACUUCCUCCCCUGGAAUGUAGGGUUCCAGGCAGGUCGUCUGGGCGACCACCUUCUCCCGUCCUUGAAGCAUGGCCAGAUAGCAAGCUCGGGCCACGUCUGGAUCACCGCGUACCUCGGCUAUUCCUCCCGGAGUGGGGAAUUUGACGCUGAGGUGGAGCGUUGAGGGGAUAGCUUGGAGAGCGUUCAAUGCAGGCCGACCCAGGAACACGUUGUACGGAGAAUGUUGCUUCAUCACGACGAAGUUGACAGGGAUGGUCCGACAUUUGGGGGCCUGCCCUAUCGUGACCAUCAGGGUGAUCAUCCCCUCCGGGUUGAUGGGGGGUCCGGUGAAACCCAUCAGUGGUGUCCGAACUGGGGUCAGCUGCCCGUCCUCCAAGCCGAGCUCCUUGAACACCCGAUAGAACAUGAUGUCCACCGCGCUACCUUGGUCGACGUACACCUUUUUUACCCGGUAGUUGUUGGUGACAAUGUUUAUCACGAUGGCCUCAUGGUUCCUAGACGCUAGGGGAACCGCAUCCCUUGAUCCGAAAGUGAUCUCCUCGUCCAUGCGCAGCCGCUUCAAGGAGUCGUCAUCCUCGGGGGGAGGUCGCCCGUUCUUCCGAGCUGUGUGACUGUCCCCCCCGGUGGGGCCUCCAGUGAUGGUGUUUAUCACUCCAGUCAGGUUCUGGGCGUCCUGGUCGGGGGAGGGGCCCCGACACUCGUCACGCCGCUCAGGGCGAUCGCGCCGCUGGCCUUCACCCCGAUCUCAGCGGUAGGUGCGUCCGGGCUCCUGGCCGGAACGACCUUGCCGCACGAACCGUCCCAGGAAACCGCGUUGGAUCAAAUUUUCGAUCUUCUUCCGCAUGGCCCAGCAUCCCUCCGUGUCGUGUCCCACGUCGCGGUGAAAGGCGCAGUACCGGUUGUGGUUUCUUUUGUUCCGAGGUGUCCCCAUCUUGGGCGGCCGAUCUCCCAGCCCUUCCACCUCCAUAAUAGCCAAGAUCUGGGCUCUAUACCGUGUCAGGGGGGUGUAACAUUUCUCCGGGAGUGGCGGCGGAGCAGGGGCUUUCUCCCUCGAGAGCCGGUCAUAAACGUUUUUCUUGGCCGGAACAUCCUUGCCCUCUAGGGAGUUUGUCCGCCCCUUCCGAUCUCCGAGCUCCCGAUCUGACUCUUUCUUCAGACGGCUUGCCUCCUCCGCAUUAGCGGCCGCAUGCGCCCGGGUCAAGAGUUCAUCCAGAUUUUUAGGUGGCUUCCCAGCCAGCUUGUAGAAGAGCUCCUCUACCCUGAGCUCAUUCACGAAGGCGGCCAUGAUCACCUUUUCGUCUUUGUCCCUGAUUUGUAGACUCUCCGCGUUGAAGCGGGUCAUGAAAUUCCUCAGGGACUCGUCAGGCCUCUGCCUGAUAGCCAUCAGGUGGGUCGCAUUCUUUGAGUAAGUUUUCGAGGAAACGAACUGGGCUACGAACUGUCUGGCCAGUUCAGGGAAAUUCCGGAUAGACCCUGGGGCCAGGCCUUGGAACCAAAGCCAAGUCUUCCCCUUUAAGAACAUGGGAAAGGUCUUGCAGCGGAUCUCAUCCGCGGCUGUUUGCAAACGCAUGUGCGUCAGGAAGACCGAAAGGUGGUCUUUCGGGUCGGUUGAAGCAUCAUACAUUUCAAUGCUCGGGAUCUUGAACCUCCGGGGUAGGAGGUAAUCCUCUAUCUCCCGGGGGAAGGGCGAGGUGGAGUAGUUGUUCUCGUACAACUGCGGCCGCAAGAUCUGCUCGAGCUCGUCUUGGACAGGCUUCCACUGGGGGAGGUCGCGCGGCCGGCUCUUGACAGACCGAGCAGGGGAACGCUCCAGCCCAUUCCGCGUGGGCUUCCGUGGGAAGGGGUCUCCAGGACGGCUCCUCGCGGACCGAUCGCAGGAGUACCUCUCGCUGUCCCCGACCACCGAGGCUCGGAGGCAAGAUGGAGUCUGCGGCCGUUUCCUUCUGGGGGGCUGAUCGCGCGACUCAUCCUCCGAGGGGUCAGGGAGUGGUUCUCUCUCUUUCCCAUUCGCCUUGGAGGUCUGUGCGCCACUGGUUUCACCCCCCUCUUUUGCUUGCCGAAUGAUGUCUUCCAGCAUAGGGAGGUUCUCCGUCACGAACUGGAAAAUCUGCUGCCUCCGUUCCCCUGACAGGGCUGAGCCCCCAGCGCCCGGAUUUGCCUCAGCCGCCAUCCGCCGGGAGCCCUCACCGGCUCCAGGGCCGGUGCUAUCCACGGUCCGCUUGGAACGAGUCCGUGCCAUCAACGCAACUGCACUUACCUCUCGUUUCCCACAGACGGCGCCAACUGAAGAAGCGCUGAGCUUCCCCGGACUGAACUGGCCUAACGAGCUCGGUGUGCUGAUGGAAGAGCUGGUCCCAAGCCUGCAAGACAAACAAGAAUGAACUAGCAAAGGGGGCCCGAGGGUUGUCCCCGAGGGCACUCUGACGGUCAAAUUAGUUUUCCGGUGAGUCAAGUUCACGGGAGUCAACAGUCGAGAGUCCUUUGCCAAUUAGCGAGCGUACCUUUUUUCCCUGGUAUGCGUUACCUUUCAUACCUACUAAGGGAGUCCGACCUCCGUACGUUUCGGGACUUGCCCGGCAUAGCCCUUAUCCCCCGAUGAGGAGGAUUCCCUCGGACCUCUGCGGGAUGGUGCCCUGCCCCUUCUGGAGCCCUAGCAUUAGCGCGGCCCAGGACGGCUGCCAAGGGCCUGGGGCCGAGGCCCAACUCAGCCAUACCUGGGCUGCCACGUGUCUAGACCCAGGACAGGGCCUCUGCAAUUAUGAUCUUUGGUUUUAAGGGCUUCAGGUGAUAAUCUGAUAUCAAUCUUCAAGAUUCAAUUUUUCUUGGUCUUUGUAAGAAAAAAUCUUAACUUUUAUGUUUGUCAUCCAUAUAUAUAUAUAUAUAUAUAUAUGUGCACAAACGUUGAUUUCUUUACUGUGAUCGAUUCUGCUCUGUUGCAUGUUGAAAUGUUGUUAAAGUUUGGUUGUUGGUUUUGGAAUUGGAUGAACGUUAGGGAGUUGUGCAUUGAUCAGGACUUAGCUGGAGAUAAUGGGAAGACUAAUAAUUGACUAAUGAUAGUUAACGUUCUGUAGAUUGUUUGUGGGUUGUCCAAUUUGCUUAUGGUUGAUCUUUUCCGUUAUUUCAAGUGCCUAAGUUCCUUCUUAGAUAAUGCUAGAACUGCACAUCAUAGAUCUUCAAUUGGCAAUAGAAAUUUGGAAUUUUUGGAUGGUGAUGGUUUAGCUUAACACGGCCACGAGCAACAGAGAAGUAGUGAGUUUUCCGAGCUAUAAUUGGCUGUAUAACUGUGAAUGAUAUGUGUAAGGACAUGUGUCCUAAGGAUAUUGCGUUGUUAGUUAUGCUAUUGUGAUGCCAUUUUUUAUUAUAAUUAAUUUGUCUUGAAUGAUUAAUUAUGAACGCAUUUGCAUGUUUUUUUUUGUUUUUUGGGCCAAGAUAGGAUUUAUUAAUGCAAUGGUUUCUCUUUUUUUCUUUUUUGUUUUCCCCUUGAAACAAGUUUGUUAGAAUUAGUUAACUUCGAUACAAUCUUUUCUUUUGUAGUUGCUGGUUAAUGACCAUAAGGAUCUGGUUUUAUUAAGAGAACUAGUUCCUAUGCACUGGUCAUUUUGCAUUCAGUGGUACAAUUAAAUACUGCAACAUAAAAUUUAAAAAUCCAAAUAUUCAUUUAAAUUGAUAAACUAUUUUUUUGAUUAACUAUUUAAAUAUAGUUGGAGAAUGAAAAAAGAAUAUACUACAUGUAGAACUUAAAAUGAGCCAAAUUUUGAAAAGGAUAUGCAAUAUACUAAACAAAAUGAGAGUUAGGUAAGAGCACUAAACAAAAUUCAGGGAGUUAUACUGACUAAAACCUCAAAAAAUCGAAAUUGUUCACCGAUGUAUUGUUUUAAUGAUGCAUGUGCAGCUUCGAUGGCUUCUUCUUUUAAUUUCCCUCAAUUAUCCGGUAUAAUAGUGAAUUAUGAAGACAAGGGAUCAUAUUGAUGCGCGAUGAUAAAUCUCGGACCACAUCAGCAACACCUAAAAGAUGAAGGACUGAAUGAUAAUUUUCUCAAAUCUUCUAUAACUAGGUAAUUUCAUUCUUUCUUUUUUUUUCGUGUAAAGAUUUCUAGCCAAAUUACGUACACACGUCCCAUUGCAGCUCAAUUUGCAGGUAUCGUGGAACCAUUUUAUCACAAAAAUCAGGAAUUAAACUACAAAGGUUUCUCUCCUGAACUAAUGAUUGCACUGUACAAAAAAAAUGUUUAUCCAAUGUUAGUUUGGGCCAUUUUGGUUGAUGCGAUGGAUGAUAUCAAGAAGGUUACCACUCCUCAUCAUUGAAAUUUGUGUAAACACUAAGAAAAUUUACCAAUUCUGAAAGAUUUUAAUUGGUCCAAAUUUUGCAUCUCCAUAUAGUUGUGACCAAGUCUUGAUUGACUUAAAUGUAUAGUUGUUGUAUGAGUUUGUUAAUUACCUUUCGCCCCAAAAACUAAUUUCGAUAGAAGUGUGCAACAAAUUUAAUUUAGAUAUUAAGUUCCUGCUCUCAAUUUUUUUUUGCCAUUACGAAUCAAGAUUCACUUAAAAAAAUAAAAAACAAACAACUAUAUAUUAUUCAAACAAAAGAUGUAGCUAGUAUUACAAAAGAUUCUACGAACCUAUGACAAUAACAGAUUUUGGUCCAAAAAUUUUGUUUCAAAAUUUUCAUCUCCACAGUUGUGCCAAAUUCUUGUUGACCUUUUUAAAGGUUUAAUUGUUGUAUGUGUUUGUUAAUUACCAUUCUCCCCAAGAACCAAUUUGGAUAGAAGUGUGCAACAAAUUUAAUUCAGUUAUAAAUGACGUCUCUCAAUUUUGUUCCUGUUACAAAUCAAGAUUCACUUAAAAAAAACAAAUAGCAAACGACUAUAUAUAAUUCAAACAAAACAUGUAGCUAGUAUUGCAAAAGAUUCUACAAACCUAUUACAAUAGAGAAAUUGUCUCUAUUUGUGUGGACGAGUAUCAUGAGGGCCAGUAGUAUUAGUACUGACCCUAGCAACAUCCCUAGCACUUGCUUCAGCCUUUUUCUUAGCAUACAAAGUGAAGUAAAAGAUAGAACCAGCCCAAUCAGAGCCAUAGUAGUAGGACUAUACGGCGGAUUUCUCCUUUGAUGCAAAACACCACCAGGGCUAUGGCCCGGUGGCCUUUUUGAGUUGUCUUUUUUUUUUUUCCGGAAACGUUAGAGAUGAAUUUUAUAACAAACCAAACUUUACAAUAUUUGAGCAAUGGUUCAACCACCUAUACAAAGUGCACCAUGACACUAAGGAGAAACGAAAAUUCUCUCCUCAUCCAUAAAUAUACUUAGAGCAUAAUGGCUAAUGCGUUUACAUAGAGUCAUAUUACUAGACUUUCCUACUUCAAAAAAGCACAUUUGAAACAGAUUAGCUAGAGCAAGUAUGUCUUCCACCAAUGUGACUAUGUUCGGGUUGUCUCCUUUCCCACUUUCCAGCAAGGCAAUCAGAUGUGUAUUGACGUUUAUGACUUUGAUCCUUUGCCAGCCAAGCUGUCUUGCUUUCAUUAGUGCCAGUCUCACUGCUACAGCUUCAUCUUGGAUGUGCAUUAGCGAGCUUCUGUCCACUAACGCCCAUUCAGCUUUGAUUCUUCGUCCAUUCUGCUUGGCCAUGAUGCCAAUUCCCAUCUUGUGUCCUCUACUGAUUUCUGUGUUGCAAUCUGAAGUUCCAUCAGGUCUCUUCCCUCCAUUCCUUCCUCCCCUUGACUUGCAUUUGCUGCAUCUGUUUCAGAUGUACUUCUAGCUUCCUUCCCUGUACCAGCUUCCUCAAACUCCAUCCACUCAGUACUGCCCUUUUGCACUACUCUUAUUCCAUCCCUCUCUUUUCCUUCAAAUUCCAGCUCAUUCCUAUCUUUCCAUAGUUGCCAAAGUAUGUUAGCAGUCAAAGCUAUAUGCUGUUUUCCUUCGUUCCUACUCCUAGCUUGAGUUCAAGCUGCCCACCACUGCUUAAAGCAACCUGUUUGGUUCUGGAUCCCAUCCCAUUGUACUGAUGCAAGCUUCCAUACCUUCUGAGCCUGUGGACAGUGUAACAUAAUGUGUUCCACUGUUUCUAUCUUAUCUCCACAUCUUGAACAGAAUGGUGAUCCUUGUUUCGUUCUCCUGAAUAUUGUUUCCCUUGCUGUUAAUGUAUUAGUGAUACACCUCCAUAUGAAUAGCUUAAUCUUAUGCUUGAUAUUCAGCCCCCAAAGAGUUUUCCAAAUUUGCUUGUUGGAGUCAUCAUAACUAGAACCUGAUUCCCCUUUUGCUCCUUCUUCCUUCUUCCUCUCUUCCUUCAACAGAAUUUGAUAGCAAGGCUUAACUGAGUACUCCCCGUGCUUACUGUGUAUCCAAAAAUGCUUGUCUCCAGUCCUUGAAAGGCUAAUAGGUAUCUUCAAAAUGUUCUCAGCAUCCUCUCUAUUGAAUCUUCUGAAAAUUACACUUCUAUUCCACCUAAAGUUUGAGAUCAACUCUUCCACUUUUUGCUCCUCCCCACUGUCUGGCACCCUUGUUGUUGGCUUUCCAUUUGGAUUGUUUGGUAUCCAUUCAUCCUUCCAUAUUUUUAUGCUUUUCCCUAAGCCAACUCUCUUCAAUAUGCCCCCCCUUAAAUACUUGUCUUGCUGACAUUAUGCUUUGCCAGAACCAUGAGGAAUUUUUGGGGAUCUCACAGUUCAGUAUGUAUUCCUUGGGAUAAUAUUUAGCCUUCAGUGUUUUACUGACCAAAAGGUUUGGGAAUCGUAUCAUCCUCCAGAUCUGCUUUCCCAAUAAUGCUUUGUUGAAGCAUUGCAAGUUCCUGAACCUGAAGCCUCCAUCCAGUUUUGUCUUUAUCAUUUUGUCCCAAGAGCACCAAUGUACCUUGCUUCUCCCUUCUAAUUCACCGCAACAGUACUUAGCCAUCAACCUUGUGAUUUCUUUGAACAAACUAACUAGUAACCUGAAGCAUGACAUAGCAUAAGUUGGCAUAGCCAUUGUAACAGCUUUCAGCAUCACCUCCAUGCCUGCUGCACUCAAAAACUUGUUCUUCCAACUGUUUAGUCUAGUCUUGAUGCUGUCCUUUAUAAAUCCAAAGACCCGACUUUUUGUCCUUGUAACCACCAUUUGAAGUCCCAAGUAUUUCCCUUGAUUCACUGCCCUUACACUUGCUAGUGGUUCAUAGGUUUCCACCUUGUCGUUUUCCUUAGUGUUUUUGCUGAAGCAUAUAGAGGAUUUCUCCAGAUUGAUUACCUGGCCAGACCCUCUUUCAUACUGAUCCAGAAUAUAUCUUAGCUUCCUUGUUUCUUCUCCCGCAGCUUUACAAAAUACCAGGGUGUCAUCAGCAAAGAGAAGAUGUGUGAUAGCUGGCCCUUGUUUGCUAAUCUUUAGUCCACUUAGUAAUCCCUGCCUUGCUGCUUCCCUUAGCAUAUUUGAGAGACCUUCAGAGCACAAUAGGAACAGGUAAGGUGACAGUGGGUCACCUUGCCUAAUGUCUCUAGAUGGUAUCACAUGCUCCUUGUUCUCUCCAUUUAUAUUGAAGGAAUAAGACAAUGAGGUAAUACACUCCAUAGUCCACUCCACCCACAGCUUACUGAAUCCCAUUUUUUCCGUCAUAGCUCUCAGAUAACCCCACUCUACCCUAUCAUAAGAUUUGGACAUGUCCAGUUUAAUUGUAGUAUAUCCAUCCUUGCCUUGUCUCUUGUUUUGAAGAAAAUGUAGGCAUUCAUGUGAUAUAAUUAUUUUGUCCAGAAUCUAUCUGUUAGGAAUGAAGGCAGAUUGGUUUUUGCUAAUACAAUGUUCAAGGAUAGAUUUUAGUCUAUUGGCUAGAAUUUUGGACAUGCCUUUGUAGAGAACAUUGCAAAGACUGAUUGGCCUGUAGUGUUUCAAAUCAGUAGGUAAUUCUACCUUAGGAAUGAGAGAAAUGAUGGUAUAGUUUAAAGAUUUAAGCAUAUGACCAGACUAAAAGAAUGACUUGAUAGCUUUCACCACCUCAUCCUUAAUGAUGGUCCAAAAUUUUUGUAAAAAGAGUGGUGUCGUCCCAUCAGGCCCUGGUGCCUUAUUGGGAUUCAUAGAGAAAAUUGCUACCUUUAUUUCGUUUUCCUCCAUAGGUCUAGUCAGAUUACCAUUCAUCUGGUCAGUAAUGGUACUAGGCAUGGCAUCCAAAAUCUCAUCUAAACACUCUAUCCUAGUCGACUUAAAGAGAUGCUUAUAAUAAUUAGCUACCUCAUCUGCAAUCUUUCAUCAGUUGUAGUCCACGAACCAUCCUCUCUCUGCAAGUUUCCUAUCUUAUUUCUUUUCCUCCUCCCCUUCACCACUGCAUGGAAGUAUAUGGUAUUUUUGUCUCCUUCCUGAAGCCAGCUUAGUCUAGCUUUCUGACUCCAAUAUUGCUCCUCUUCUUUGUAAGUUCCCACCAAUUGAUUUUUCAGUGCUCCAACUCUCCCCUUCCUACCUUCAUUUUCUGAACUUUUCUCUACCAUCAGUUGUUGCUUCAAGUUUGAUAUCCGUUUUCUAGAGUUCUCAAUGAACCCAUUUCUCUACUUCAGCAAUGCAACUCCACACCUCUUAAUCUUAUUCACCACCCUAAACAUCCUAGAUCCUCUAACAUCCUCCUCUCAGGCUUUCUUUAUCACUUCUCCAAUUCCUUCUCUCUGAGUCCAUCUUUUGUCAAAAAAGAAUUUUUUCCUCUUCUUAUGUUCCCCCGGCAUUGUAUCCAAAAUCAACAUACUAUGGUCAGAGCCUAAGCUUUCUAUAUGAGUACAUUUAGUAUGUUCAAACAGAUUAUGCCAUCCUCCACUGCUAAGACCCCUAUCCAACCUUUGUUUUAUCUCACCAGUUUUCCACUGAUUACACCAAGUCCAGGGAUUGCCUUCGAAUCCAAUAUCUAUCAUCUGGGUCUCCUGAAUGAAGUUCUUGAAAUCAUGGAAACUCCAUUCCUCCCUCAUUCUACCACCCCACUUCUCCUCAUUUGAGCAAACAUCAUUAAAGUCCCCCAUAAUUAACCAGUUAUCACCCCACAAAAACUUCCUUCUACUAAUAACUUCCCACUAUUUUUUGCUCACUUGGUUGUCACAGUUGGCAUAAAUCCCUAUUCGCCACCACUCCUGUUUCACUUCUUCAUCUUCAAUCAACACUUCAAUAGUGAAAGCUGAGUGUUUAAUGUCCUUAACUUUAGUCUCCUCAUUCCACAUCAGAGUCAUACCCCCAGAUCUAUUCAUAGCAUCUAUCACGUAGCAAUGAUCAAAAUUCAGAAUUCUUUAAGCUUCUUUAUUUACUUAGUUUUGUUCUUAGUCUUACUCAGAAAUCUCAUGUUCAGCGAGAGAAGGCUGUUAACCUCCUUCAGGUGGGGAAUUGUCAAGGGGCUCCCUGCACCUUGGCAAUUCCACACCAUAGCUCUCAUUGAUCCUUUGGGGACCAGUGUGGGCUGAUCCCUUCCCCCUUAUGCAACUCAUUGUAAAUCUCCACAGUCGCUCCCCACUUAUAUUUUUUGUCUAUAUGAUCCGGUACCUCUACUUCUUCCAUGACUUUAUCUCUAAGCUGAAACUUCCUUUUUGUUCCAUUAACCUCCUUCAGUAGAGCUCUCAACUCUCUAGGUCCAGCUUUCACUCUCUUGAAUCUCUUUCCUUGUUGUUUGAGCUCUCCCUGGUUUUCUUUGUUAUUGCUCUCAUUAGUUUCCAUACUCAUUAUCUCCUCACCAGUAUUAGACCUUCCUUUCAUCCCUUCUUUGAUUCCUCCAGUCCCCCCUGAUGGGCGUAGGGUAUACAUAUAACAUUAAACUCAUCCUAAUCAAGUUUUACAUUUAUAAACCCCUAAAUACCCCACACGCGAUUUAUCGCAAGUAUAUGAAUCGUGAGCGAGUAUAGGGUAUUAAGGGUCGAUCCCACAAGGAAGAUUGCAAUUACUGGCACUACUAAACUUUCUCUAUUAUUUAGACUAUCAAUGUAUUAUAAGAAAUGAAUCCUACUGAACUUUUGUAAAAUAACAAAUGGAAACUCAGGUUAUGGUAUCCCUAACUACUUGUGCAAUUGCCACUUUUGGAUCAUUGAGUACUACUAUCUAGGCUAGUUAUGGUGUAAUUUUCUCAUGCAUAUGAAUCUUACUUUUGUAGUGAAUCAAUUAUACUCAUAACUAAUCCAACCUAUUCUCAUGGUUAUGAAAUUAGCUACAAGUUCAUUUUUUUCAAUGAAAUUACAUGAAAUUAAUCACCUAAAACCAUUUAGGUGCACUUCUACUUUCAUGAGUGUACUUCCUAUGUUUAGCACUUCUUGAACUAGUGUUAAAUCUCAAUUUUCAUUGUAGAAAUAAUACCUUAAAUAAUCAUAAUUAAUAGUACUAGAUUAAUCAUGAUUUCGAAAAGCUAAAGUGCUAAAUAAUUUGUUCGAAAUAAUGGCAUCAAAUAGCCAAAUAAUAAACACUAGCAAUCAUAGAAAGUUAUUUAUACUUUAAAUCCUUUUUACUUCUUAAUUAAAGACAAAUGCUCAUUCAUAUGCUAUUUUAAUACAAUGUUACAUUUUUAUAAUUAAGAAAUAUUUGUCACCACACUAACCCUAUAACCACCCCUACAAAUGAGCUUUGCAAAUUACAAUCACGUUUCAAAAAAAAUCACAAAUGUGCAACUAAAUGUAAAGUUGAGGGGAUAAAGUGUUGUUAAAUGUAAAGUUAAGGGGUUUACUAUAUUUAACUCUAAAAAAAAUCCCAAGAACGAAACAAGUAGUGGGUUAUAAAUUUUUGUCUAGAUUUUUGUAUUUAUUUUAAUACAUAAAAAGUAGUGGGUUAUAACAACCGUUUAUAGUUUGUUAUUUAUAUUUUAAAUCCUUUUUACUCCUUCAUUAAAGACAAAUGCUCAUUCACAUGCUAUUUUAAUACAAUUUUAAUUUGGAAGCAUACAACAUGAUCAAGAAACAGCAGAACCAAUUAGGACCAGGUUUUGACCCAAAACAAAAUUAGGUCUAGAUGCCACUGGCACGUUGUCGUAACUUGCAUUGCCAAUUAGGACUAUUUAGCGUUUUUUUUUUUUGCAAAGAGUUAGGAUACUGUAAAGCUUAUUUAGGCAAAUUUUGCCUCAUCGGUGAUUUGAGUAUCAAGUUAUUGAAUAUACUACAAAUCCUAUAAUAUCAGUCUGCUAUAAAAAUUAAUAUUUUACUAGCAUGUGGUAUUUGCGUAUGAAAUUUCAGAGGUAAAUCAAAUGCUUUUACUUAUACUCUAUAUAAUUUGAAUAGUUUUUUAGCGAAUAUAAUCAUACUAUACAGGACCAUCACUUUGUUCAAUUGGAACUAGCAAAUUGUAUAUCAAUUACAAUUUAGAUUUUGCUCUGCGCAGUUGGUGAGUUCCAUCAGUAACACUACAUCAAACUUUUAAUGUUGUUUCAUACUCUUAUCAACAUGUAUUUCAAAAAACUGUAGGUUUGAAAAUGAUACAUGUACUCGAAAGUUAAUUACGUGGUUGAGAUCAAUCAAUUUUACAACAUCACAAGCAUUGUUGAUAGCAAAUUCAAAGAGAAUAUGGAUAUCUGAAUAUACAAUCAUGCAUACGGUAAACUUACUUUAUUUAAUUUAAUUACUGUACAAAUUUUUUAAAUUUAUAAUCAUAACAUAUACAUUCUUUCAUUCUUACUAGAUUAAAUAUUUUUGAAUACUUGCUUACAUUCAAAGCAUUAACAUAGAAAACAUGUUCUAUGAUCUAUGCAAUAAUUGCGGACAACUAUGUGAAGGUCAUUUUUCAAAAACAGUAUGUAUGUAUUGUAAUUACGUGGUCGACAUUGUUGUUAGGUAAUUAAUUUCAUGUACCUGUACUUUUAACAAAUUUUUCUGUAUUGUAUAUAAUAUUUUAUUUGUCAAACAGGUAUAAUGUUAACAUACAAAUCAAAGAUUCCAGUAGCAACAUGCAUCUUAAUCUACAUGACAGACAUGCACGAUUCGUAUUUGGUUGUGAUGCUUCUUAUCUCAGAGAAUUACAAAGGAAGGUAGAAUUUCUUGAUAUAUGUUUAUUUUUUAUGAUGCUAUUUAUAAGCUAUGUAAAAAAACAUACACUAAUUUUGAAUUUCGCACGUACUUAAUUCUCAGGACAAUGGUGAUAAGUUGUUCAACCAACGAAUCAAUUCAUGCAAAGAUCGUGCAUUUUCAUUUGUAGUACGCAUUCCACAAAAUUCAACAGAAUUAAUUAAAUCACCGAUUUUGGCUUUCGUACUAAAAGUUGAUUGGUGUGAAGAGUCUUCGCACCUUCAUGCAAGAUUUUCAAAUCGAAUGCAUAAUAUUUGUAAGUAUUUCAUUUUAACAACAUUUAAUUACAUUUAUUUUUAUUCAUAUAUCAUUUAUUUUCUAAUAUAAAUUUCUAUUAUUUUUUCAGGAUCUAUCUUUUGAAAAAGAUAAUUUUUGAAUAAUAUACACAUUCUAUCAUAUUUCAAACUAUAAUUAGACAGCUAUUAUAUUUUAAUUGUAUUGGUAUAAUUUUUUAACCUUUUUUAAUUCACCAUUUUAUUUUCAUUUUUUUCAAUAAUAUCAGCACCGUGCGUAGCACGGAUAUUCACACUAGUUGUCAUGUAUACUCAUUUGACAAACUGUGGGUCCUUUUUUCCUCCCAAUAGUGCAAUUCUUUCUUUUAAUCAGGGGCAAAUUACAUUUUAACCCCUGUGAUUUAGUGUUUUUUAUAUAACCUCCCUAUAGUUUCAAAAGCAAUGUAUAACCCUCUCAUGGUUUGGAUUAAAGUGUCAAAGUAACCAAAAUAUUCAUUCGUAACGGAACUUCUGAAAAUGACAAAAUUACCCUUAUAAAUAUAGGAUACACUAACCCUUGUGAUUUUUAUAUUUUACCAUGUAACUCCCUUACGGUUUUCAAAAUAUACACAUAACCCCCUUUGGUUAAUAAAUAAAUUUCAACUUUACAUAAGGGUAUUUUUGACAUUUUAGGUAACUUCAUUAUGAAUGAUCAUUUGGGUCACUUUGAUGCUUUAAUUCAAACCAUGAAGAGAUUAUAUAUAAUUUUUGAAACCAUAGGGAGUUAUCUAAAAAAUCACUAAACCGUAGGGGGAUAAAGUGGAAUUUGCCCUUUAAUCAAUAGUGCAAAUUACUACAAACCGCGUGACCGAUUAUACUAAAUAAUUUUGUUAACAACAAAUUCGUACACACAGAACGACAAUAUGUAUGCCACCAUAUGACACAUGUACAUGUACAUAAUUAAUAGUGGCAAAUUAGUUCAUGUUUUUAUCGUAUUAUUAUGUGAGAGUAUGGUUGUAUAAUAGUGGGUAUAAAUUUAUAUCAUUUGCAAGGACAAAUGAGUGCAUUCAUAUUAUAAUAUCUUUUCAAUAUAGGAUUGUAUAAUAAUGAGAGUAUAAAUUUGUAUCAUUUUUAAGAUGAAUUAAUCUAAAAUUUUUUCAUCCCAUUUCUUAGUUAUCCUGACUAAUAUCAUCAAGGAUGGAUCCAAUCCCUUAAUGAACCAAAUGAACCUUUAAAAGCCGGAUGACUAAGUGGUAUGAAGAAACGUGUAUAACAUCCAACUUUUCUCCAAGUUCCAUUCGUAAUCGGACAGGAUUUCCCGACAUUCGAGUAUUCAACUGCACAUCCACCCAAAUUUCAGAUCCUAUUAGGAUAUGGAAAUUCGCCAAUCCAAUACCAAUAGCCAUGUAUAUAUAUAUAGUUGAUAUUUAGGCAUAUUGCCAAGCCUUUAACCUUAAAAUUGCCCUACAACCCUAAUUCAUCAUCCCAGCUGCCGAACCUCUGCAAACUAAAUCAUACUCAUCCAAUGGCAAACUGGUCUGAUCUACAACAUGAUAUGUUGGGAUUGAUAGCCCAACACCUCGACAAGAUUGAAGAUUAUGUCGCUUUUGGCGCAGUUUGCAAGUCAUGGCGAGCAGCGGCCAGUGAGAAAAAUUUCAAGGGCCUGCGACUAUGGCAACAGAUUCCCUGCCUCAUGCUUGCUGCGAAGGAUGAUUUCAAUCGGGAGUUCUAUAGUUUGAUGGAGAAACAAGUCGUUGCUAAGGUGAGCUUGCCUCAACUUAAAGGCAAGAAGUGUUAUGAAUCUCUAGGAUGGUUGUUGACUAUUGGACAACAAGGGGAGAUGAGCCUGUUGAAUCCCUUCUCCGGUGUUGAAAUUGAGUUACCAAAUCAAAAUACUUUUCCUGAAUAUGAUGUGUAUGAGACGGAUCCUGAUAUCUUUGUCCGUAAGAUGGUUUUGUCAUUGAGGCCAAGUCGAGAGGCCCCAGAGGACGAUGACUUUGUGGUGAUGAUCAUCUGUGGAGGGGUUGGAUUCUUGGCUUUCUGGAGGCCAAAGGAUCUUAGGUGGAAUAGGAUUGAGACCAGAAACUCUUCCUAUGCGGAUGUCAUAUAUACCGAUGGCCAGUUUUACGCAAUUGAUCAUAUGGGCAAUGUCGUGGUUUGUGACGUUUUGGAGGCAAACCCUACUGAUCAGGCUCGAAUAAUUGCUCGGUUUAGCCUUGAAUUAUGGUACAAAAAAGAGUUAUACUUAGUAAAAUCUUCAUCUACAGAUGGUGAACCUUUUCUGGUUGUCACACGAGACAACAUCCCCAAUUAUGAGGACGAACAAGGUUUUGAAUUGGAUAAACCGAUCUAUGGUACAACCGAAUUUCAGGUGUUUGAAUUGGUUUCCACAACAGGAGGAGGAAAAGAAAUUACAUCCCGUUGGAAAGAAGUCAAGAAUUUGGGAAGCAGAUCAAUUUUUCUUGGCCAUAGUUCUUCAAUGUGCCUGGAAAACAACAAAUUGGCCCACGAAAUCAGGCCCGGUCAUAUAUAUUUCACGGACGACGCAUGGGAAGGAUAUCUUGAAAUUCCUGAAGGCGGCGGCAAGGACAUGGGAGUCUACAACUUGGAAAAAGGAGUAACUGCGCCCUUGUAUGAUGCCCCCUUGCGGUUUAGCCGAACCUGCCCAUCUAUUUGGAUUACACCAAAUUUUUAACAUUUGCGGCUUAGCCGAAUCCUGAAGUAUGUGUUUUCCUCCUCGGUGAUUUACUGCUCUCCAUAUCUUUCCUAGUUCAGGACCUGGUGCAGAAGUUGUACUGAUAACUGUUUGUUUUUCUAAUAUAAAACCACUUUUUAUUGUUCUUGUUGAGAAUUAAUAGUAUUCAGCACAUGUUAAUUCUACACUUUAUGAAUUCCCUUGUGAUAAUCAUUUCCAUUAAUAGUCCAUUGGGAUGGUCUGCAGCAGAGAUAUUCAUCUUUUAGUCCUCGAUGACAAGGACUUUGGAAGGGAGGAGCAGAUGAUACAAUGAGAAUUCAUCAUUUUGGUAUUAAUUUCUCGGAAAAGCUCUUGUAAUAUCCGGAUUCCAAACUGUAUUUCACUUUGGUAUAGAAGAGUCAGUUACUGGAUUAAUUAGAGUGAUGUCAGCAGGGAAUUAGUUUGUUGAUCUGGCAGGAGUUAAUUGAGAAUAAGUGAAUAACUGCUAUAUUAGGCGAAAAAGAGUAGAAAAAGGGUCAGUUGUGAAUUCUGUAUCUUGAUUCAUUCAUCUUCUUCUGAUUCUCGAACUGUGUUCUUCAUUUAUCACGAUUCCUGAAUCUCAAGUGCAAGACAUUCACUGUUCUCUGCAUCACACUAGGCUAUGAACCACAUCAUUUUUCAUUUGAGAACCUGAUAGAAAAGCGGAUAUAAAUCUGGAGUGACGGUGAAUAAAAGCGGUAGAGAGAUAAGAGUAAUCAAGAUAGAAAUACAAGCAACAGGGCUAGGGUUAAGCUUUUACUUGUGGAUAGAGAAAAUGAUCCAAUUGGGAGUUUGAGAGAGGUUGGAGUUUUGAAAAUUGAAGUGAAGAAUGAGAAAUCUUUCCACUACAUGAUUAAGAGAGCAUUUGAAUAUUAAAGACCAUUUGGUUCAAUUUUCAUAAUCACUAUCACUAUGGUAUGAUAAAUAUGAGAAUAACAAUCGACUUGAUAAAGAUCUAUGGAGUGUUUGGUAACUUUAUAGCAUUGCAUUUUAGUAAUAGCAAACAAUAGAUAAGUACAAAUGCCGCUCUUUAAUAAUUAAUCAUGAAGCUCAUAAAAAGGGUAUUUGAAGUGAAGGAUGAGAAAUCUUUCCACUGCAUGAUUAAGAGAGCAUUUGAAUAUUAAAGACCAUAUGGUUCAAUUUUCAUAACCACUAUCACUAUGGUAUGAUAAAUAUGAGAUUAACAAUCGACUUGAUAAAGAUCUAUGGAGUGUUUGGUAACUUUAUAGCAAUGCAUUUUAGUAAUAGAAAACAAUAGAUAAGUAAAAAUGCCGCUCUUUAAUAAUUAAUCAUGAAGCUCAUAAAAAGGGUUUAUGAAACCCGUCAACAGAAUAUGUUUGAUGUAAAACAAAUAUUUUAGUAUGGGUAUGACUAAAACUGACCUCCAUUUACAAUAAUUGACCUAGACGUGCUUAUAAAGCAUGAAAUAUGGAAUAUAAUAAAUAGGGCCCUUAAAUGAACUGAGCUUAUUUGCGAGCUCAGCUUAUAUAAGUUCAAGAUCCCCUCAUUUUUUUAACUAGAUUAGUCGAGCCUAACCACAAAAUUAAACUCAAUUUAUUUGAACCAAUUGAGCCGAGCUCAGCUCAUGAACAGCUUGUUUGAAUUCAUUUUAUGCAUUUAUGGAUCAAGGUGUAGUCCUACAUUUAAUUCAUAUUAAAGUUCCUAUUUGGUAAAUUAGUUUUUUAGGUGUUUAUUUAAAACUUUAUUGUAGUUUACUGUAAAAGUAGUAAGAAAAAUUUUUAAAAUGAAAAACUUUUUUUUUCUUUUCUUUCUUUCUUUUCUCAUUUCUUUCAUCUCUUCUUCUUCUCCCUUCCCCUUUCCCCCUCCUUCCCCCGCCUCCCCGCUACCCUUCCCAGCCAAACAGAAGUAGCAUAUGCAAAUUUUUUUCUUGCUUUUCUCUCUCUCCCUAUCCCUCUCCCCCUCUCCUUCCCUUCCCCCUUCCCCUCUCCCUCGCCACCUCUCCCUCCCUCCGUCAGAAGUUGCAACGCCAGAAACGGGAUUUUUUUUUUUUGCUUUUUCUCUCCCCUUCUUCUCCCUUUCCCUCUCCCCCUCUCCUUCCCCCGCCACCUCUCCCUUCCUCCGCUGGAAGUUGCAGCACCAGAAAUGAGAAUUUUUUUUUGGCUUUUUCUCUCCCUUCCUCCGCUGGCAAUUGCAGCGCCAGAAAUGGGAAUUUUUUUUUUGGCUUUUUCUCUCCACCUCUUCUCCCUUUCCCUCUAUAUCCCUCCCUCCGCCGGAAGUUGCAACAAUAGAAAUAGGAAUUUUUUUUCAUUUUCUCUCCCUCUUUUCUCCCUCUCCCUCUCCCCUCUCCUUCCCUUCCCCCUUCCCCCUUCCCCUGGCUGUGAUCUGGUCUCGCGACUAGAUCGGGUAAAGGGGGAGAGAGAUGAUGGUGGUGGUGGGAAAGGGGAGGAGAGAGAGAGCAGGAGAGGGAGGAGAGGGGGAGAGAACAAGAAAAAAAGUUGCAUCUACCGGUGCCAGAAGAAGUGCCGAAAAAGGUUGCCGGUUAGUCUUGGCCAGCAGCGAAGGUGGUGGUGGGUUGAGGUGGAAGAAGAAAGGAGGAAAGGAAUUUUUUUUGGUGUGUUUUGGGUUUUUUUAACUGUGCAGGUAAAAAGUUUUGAGAAGUUUGUGAGUUUACUGUAGUUAAAAUUGGUAAAAAACUAGUAGCAGACAAACUUAGGUAAAAUCCAUUUGCCAAACUGGCCCAAGGUUCUUCCACAAGUCCCGUAUCCAGCUGAACAAUGAAAUUGUUGAUCAAAUCAAUUACAUCGAAGAAUAUGUGGAUGAGAUAAUGUGUUUUUUUUUUUGCAUAACAAAAAUAUAAGUUUUAUCUUGAUUUCUUUGGUGUUUACAGGUCAUUUUGUAAAAUGCAUUUAGACAACUUUUAUUCAGUAACAUUGUUAUUGUGGAAUAGACUGAUAAAAUUUGUUAAUUUGUGAGUUGCAAUACGGCAUAGGAACCAAGCUUGAACUCAUUCCAACUCGCCUUUUUCUUUUUUAUUAAAAGAGCUGAGACCAAGUUUAUAGCUCUAACGUGGAACUCUUUUUAAUGAGUCGAGCACAAAAAUGAUUUAAGCUUGGUUAAGAAAUAAGUCAAGCUUGAUAUUGAUUUAUUAAUUAAAUGAGUCUGAGCUUAAAAGCUAGACAUGUGGCUCGGAUUGGCUUGUUAAUAGCUCCGUGGUAAGAUUAUAAUAUCACUUUAUCCCUAUUAUUUGGUUUUUCAAUCGACCAUAUAAUUUCCCUAUAGCCUUAUAUAAAGUGGUUAGGCACUUCUUGUGUCUAGUAUAUGAAAAAAAGGACAUGACAAAAAUUUUAACUGACCCUGUAACUAGAGGAGAUUUUAGUCCAUUUACCAUUUUGUGCAAAUCCACAAGAAGUUAAAUAGAUAUUCUUGGAUAAUAGGGACUAUUUGGUAAUACGCAAAAAUAAAGAGGGCUGAAAUAGUAAUUUUUCACUGAUAUUAAAGGAAAUGAAGUAUCGACGUUGUUUGCUUAUUUUCCUAAAUCUUUUUUUAUGAUUAUAAUUAAAUUGCAUUUCCACUUCUUUUCUAUUGCCUUUAUCCACGGAUGAAAUAAUGUGACAAAUUCGAGAGGGCAAUUUUGGCAUGAAUUGCUGAUUAGAUCAUCCCCUUGAUUUUAUUUAUCACAUAAUCCUUUUAUAGUUUAAAAAAUAUCUACUUAACUCCCAACCAUUUUGUACAAAAAAUUGCAAUUGAUGGAAAGCCCCCAAGUAGCAGCUUUAGUUAAAAAUUCCAAUUAUAUCGUUGUCUAAUACUGAUCACUAUGAGGUUUUAAGAGUGGGAUCUAAAGAAGGGGGAACAGAGUUGAUUUGAAUCCAAAUCAUUUAAUUUCUGAAGUCUCAGCCUUAAUAAUUAGACACUACGAGACUCUAAUCACAUUACAUAAAACUAUAAGGGAACACUUUCGAACCCUAAUGGAAUUGAGUAAUAUAAUGCGAAGCCACAAUGGCUAAAAAUUUAUUUGCCCAAAUUUUUAUGAAAAUUUUGAUAAGCAAUAAUAUUCUUGGAAAAUAGGAUGUAAUAGGCCGUUUUGAUAAACUUUGGCAAUCUGGACAUGAAGAUAAAAAUUAGGACUUAUGCGCUUUUUACAAACCAUUUCUCAUACAUUUUUCUGUUAAACAAAACCUCUAACCGAGAGCUCCUUUUCCCUCCCCUUCCACUUCUGUACUGCCUAAUCUUCAUUGCUUCCACCUAGAACCACAAUCACCCUACACCGCCUUAUGGACCAUGAAGAAAUCAAUGAAGAGCAUGAACCACUGCCCAAUCAAGAACUACCUGCACCGAUACCCAAGAAACCAGCUCCCAAGGAACAGCCUGAUUUUGAGGUUCGCUACUGCCUUCUCUGUUCUGAAAACAAGCAUACUGAAAAUGGCCUCAAAGAUCACAAUAAACGCAUUCACACCAGGUACCUCAAGAAUAAGUGCGUUACUUGCCAGAACGUCUUCGAAACCCAGGCCUCAUUGCGGCUGCACAGAAGGCCUGGGCCACCUGAUCAGUAACAUUUUCUCUGAUUCAUCCCCUGUGAGAAAAUUGAUCAAUCAUGUGAGGCGAAGGGGAUGGUUAAUAUUCUUGGGAGAAGCCAAGGACAAAGUUGCUGCUACGUUACACUUAAAGGAUAACUCCAUUCAGGCGCGUCUGAUUGCAACCUUUGCUUGUUACGCUUCGGGUUAUUAAUUGAUAAGGAGCACUGAAAUUUUUCAAGAAUCAAUUUUUAUCGGAAAGAUCUAAAAUUCUUGCUUUUAGUCCGUCGAAAUAUGCGUAUAGAUGUUGAUUUCUUUAUGGUGAAUAUAAAGAAGAAUUUUCUGCUUUUAAUCCAUAACAACUGUGCACAGAUGUUGAUUUCAUUAAGGUGAAUAUAAAAAAGAAAAUCUUGAUUAUGAUCUUUGGUUUUAAGGGCUUCAGGUGAUAAUCUGAUAUCAAUCUUCAAGAUUCAAUUUUUCUUGGUCUUUAUAAGAAAAAAUCUUAACUUUUAUGUUUGUCAUCCAUAUAUACAUAUAUAUAUAUGUGCACAAACGUUGAUUUCUUUACUGUGAUCGAUUCUGCUCUGUUGCAUGUUGAAAUGUUGUUAAAGUUUGGUUGUUGGUUUUGGAAUUGGAUGAACGUUAGGGAGUUGUGCAUUGAUCAGGACUCAGCUGGAGAUAAUGGGAAGACUAAUAAUUGACUAAUGAUAGUUAACGUUCUGUAGAUUGUUUGUGGGUUGUCCAAUUUGCUUAUGGUUGAUCUUUUCCGUUAUUUCAAGUGCCUAAGUUCCUUCUUAGAUAAUGCUAUAACUGCACAUCAUAGAUCUUCAAUUGGCAAUAGAAAUUUGGAAUUUUUGGAUGGUGAUGGUUUAGCUUAACACGGCCACGAGCAACAGAGAAGUAGUGAGUUUUCCGAGCUAUAAUUGGCUGUAUAACUGUGAAUGACUGGAUUUUUGGAGCCAAAAUUAGACACUAUUAUUCACAAAGAACACAGAAAGAUUGUAAGGACAUGUGUCCUAAGGAUAUUGGGUGGUUAGUUAUGCUAUUGUGAUGCCAUUUUUUAUUAUAAUUAAUUUGUCUUGAAUGAUUAAUUAUGAACGCAUUUGCAUGUUUUUUUGUUUUUUGGGCCAAGAUAGGAUUUAUUAAUGCAUGGUUUCUCUUUUUUUCUUUUUUGUUUUCCCCUUGAAACAAGUUUGUUAGAAUUAGUUAACUUCGAUACAAUAUUUUCUUUUGUAGUUGCUGGUUAAUGACCAUAAGGAUCUGGUUUUAUUAAGAGAACUAGUUCCUAUGCACUGGUCAUUUUGCAUUCAGUGGUACAAUUAAAUACUGCCAGAAAAUCCACUACAAGAAAUAUAUUUUUCAGUGACAAAAAUUUAUGUGACAACAAAAAUCUUGUCACAGAUAACCUAAUUCAGUGACGACAUUAGGUGUCAUCACAGAUGAGUACAACACAAGCAUAAUCAGUGACAACAUUGGAAGUUGUCAUUCUCAACUCGUCACGAAAUAGUUGACGCGCAUCUCAUUUGAUGCCGCGGGAAAUAAUUUUAUGACAACUCAAGUAAAGUCGUCACAAACGCUCUCUCUACAGUGACAACAUAACUUGUUGUCAUUGAAAGUCUACCCGGUUCCAAUUUUGUGACAACUUUUUGCAUCACUGUAUACUACAGUAUUUUCAUCAACUUUCACUAAUUCUACUAUGACACCCUAAUUUUAUUUUUUAGCCCCUAAUUCUUUUAUAUUAGCAAAAGCACCGAAGAUAUGACACCCUAAUUUUAUAAUUUAGCCCCUAUUCAUUAUGUAUUAACAAAAUGCAAAUGAUAUAAUAACAAACUAUUUUUAGAUAUUUGUAAUUUUUGCUAAGUUGACAUAAUAGACAUGUCUGAGCAUAAAAAAUUUUUCAUGAAUUGUUUAUUAUUACUUAUAACAACCCCCAAAAAUCAAUAACUGAAAUAAUUUGAAAAAGUGUAAUUGAAUAUAAUUUGUAGUCUAAUGUUAGCACUGUGAAAGAUUAGUAUAGCGUGUAAUACAUCAUAAGUAAUAAUUAUUUUCAUAUGGAAUGGGUAUAUACGAAAUUAAAAUUAUUCAGUAAAAUAUCUGUCGUGCAAUAAGAUUGAGAGUUGUAACACAUUUACCAGAAUAUUUGAUUACAUGUUUCUUUUAAUUUAUUAUAAAAACUAAGUAAUAGACAAAGAGUAGGAUAAGCAUGAGUAAGAAGUGCUAUACUGUAUAUAAGCAAUUCUAUAGUAUUUUCAUCAAAUUUCACUAAUUCUACUAUGGCACCCUAAUUUUAUUAUUUAGCCCCCAAUUCUUUUAUAUGAGCAAAAGCACAGAAGAUAUGACACCCUAAUUUUAUAAUUUAGCCCCUAUUCAUUACGUAUUAGCAAAAUGCAAAUGAUAUAAUAACAAACUAGUUUUAGAUAUUUGUAAUUUUUGCUAAGUUGACAUAAUAGACAUGUCUGAGCAUAAAAUUUUUUUCAUGAAUUGUUUAUUAUUACUUAUAACAACCCCCAAAAAUCAAUAACUGAAAUAAUUUGAAAAAGUGUAAUUGAAUAUAAUUUGUAGUCUAAUGUUAGUACUGUGAAAGAUUAGUAUAACGUGUAAUACAUCAUAAGUAAUAAUUAUUUUCAUAUGGAAUGGGUAUAUACGAAAUUAAAAUUAUUCAGUAAAAUAUCUGUCGUGCAAUAAGAUUGAGUGUUGUAACACAUUUAAUAGAAUAUUUGAUUACAUGUUUCUUUUAAUUUAUUAUAAAAACUAAGUAAUAGACAAAGAGUAGGAUAAGCAUGAGUAAGAAGUGCUAUACUGUAUAUAAGCAAUUCUAUGCAUGUUAAAUUUUUGAAACAUGUUUUAUUGUGUAAGUUUUAUUGUAAGGUAAUUUCUUAAAUAAUUUGUAUAUUGAGUUGUCCAAACCCAAAAAGAUGUAUAUAGACACAAACAAGCACACAUAUAUAUACAUGCACAAAAAAGAAACCAAUAUCAAAUAAUUUAUUUGAUAUUUAUAGAUGAGAUUAAGGAAAACAAAAGAGAUUAAGUAUGAAAAAAGAAACCUGAAAAAAAAAAUUUGACCAGGGAAAAAAAAAAGAAAAAAGAUGUAUGAAGCUAAAGGCGUGAAUCCUGGAAUCUCAAAGACGUGCUUAGAUUCCAAAAAAAAAAGAGCGCCAGUCUGAAAUCUGAAAGACGCGCGAGGCGGGUGGCUGAAAUCUCUACAAAACGACGUCGUUUUUGGUUGUUCACAGACAAACAAAAGUCUCGCCGCUUCUCUCUUCCAACACUUAGACAAAUUUUAUUCUCAGUCUUUCCUUUCUAUGGUGAACACCGAAAAACUCUGGACCUCAAACACCUUCUGCUUCCGCAAAAUGCUCCUCUAAAGCACCAUUGACGAGUGCCAAUCUUCAGGUCAAGCUCGCCGAAGAAGCGAAGUCAGAACACUUCCAAGCUCCCUCCUCGUUCCGCGACUUCAGCUUAGACUUUUCUCCGACCCCCUCUUCAGCUAAUUGUGCGGUAUGUGUUUUUUUUUUUGCUUUCAAAAGCUGCUCAGCCUUCUAUUGUAAAGACUAAUUUAUGAACUAGAUUGUUAAUUAGCAGUGGGGAAGGUAAUACUCUUGGCCAAAUCGCAUCCGAAACACUUGCGAUCUGGAGUAUGAACAGUGUUAGGGUUCAUCCAAGAAUUUUUUUUUCAUUUGUGGAUUUUUUCACUGUUUUCGAGAAAUUUGGACUGAUUAAACCAAAAAUUGCUUGCUUUAUAUUUUGAUGGAACCUUUUUGUGAUUAGGAUGGUCAGAACCGGCUUUCUUUGAGGAGCUAUGAAAUGCGAACAUUUUUUGACUGCAUUAAUUUGGUUGGAUGAAAGAGAAAUUAAACAAUUUGUCGUGCCAUUUAAUUGCUUCCUUAAGGGGAAGAGAACUUGACUGAUUUGCCUAAUUUAUUUGGCUGUUUUAAAUGUACUUUAUGCCAUACCAUGUAAUUUACUCUCUGGUUCUCUCUCUCUCUCUCUCUCUCUCUCUCUCUCGCUCUCUCUCUCUCUCUCUCUCUCUGUGGUAAUCAAGCAUGCACUUUACUAGAAUUUUGCACGUUUGGGAACUGGCCAGAAAACUAUUUUGGGGUUUCAAUUGCCGUUAACAUGUUGUUGUGCAAUGUGUGUUUAGUCAUACAAUGGUUAAUCUUUUGUAAUAGUUAAGAUUUUCAUAUCUGUAUUCCCCCUUUGUUCUUCAUUUCCUUGCCAUUUUCGAACCUACAUUUUAAUUUUCCCCUGUUUUUGUUAGCUCAUUAUCCAAUGGCUUCUGUCCUGCCCCCGAAAGGCUUCAUUUCCUUGCCAUUAUCCGAGGCAAUUUGGGCUUCUGAAAUGUUGCAUUUUCAGUUUGUAUCUUGAGAAAUUUCUGUGUACGGUUCUUCUUUUAUUGACUUUGUUCCAUAACAUCGUAGAGGUAUCUGGCUUUAACAUCUUUAAAUUUUAUCUAGGAGGGAGAAAAUAUAAAGAAGAAAGAACCUGAGAAGAUGUUACUACAUGGAGGGAUAUUUUUAGAGGGGAAAAGUUCAAAAUAAAAUUGACUCAAAUGAAAGAUGAACAAAUUUCCAUCAAGUGUAUCCAUUUAAUAAUUAUCAUUUUCACCCUAAAACUAAAUACUGGAGCAAUUUCUUUUCCAUCUCAGCAGAUUAAUUGUAUUUUUUUUUCUUUUGUGAGUUUAUAGCAACAGCAGAUAAUAUUCAAUCAUCAAUAAAUGAAUGUAGAAACAAAGGAUAACAUAACAUGUUGAAGUUCAGGUGCUGAAAUUGCAGCUACAUCAUUAAUUCUCAAUUAUUUUUAACUACAAAAAGGAAUUUUUUUCCUUUUUUUGUUGGAACCAAGACUCAAAAUAUGGCACAUGAUUUUCAAACUGCUCUGAAAAAGGUAAGAAAAAGAACUGCAUGACAUUUUAUAUGAAAUAUAUAACAGCAAAGUUUUAAUAUAUACCACAGCAAAACAGAGAAAAAGGAAUAAAUUCUUUGCUAUUCUAUUCUCUUAACUUGAUUAUUCAAUUUUUUGUUAUCAAGAUGUUAGAAUGCCAGCGAACAGAAAUUUUGCUUUUUCUUUUGACCUUUUGGGUUUAUAUGGCUGUAAAGAAUGGUUUAUUCUUUCCCCCAAAGGACCAAAAAAAUAAAAAAGAAAUGGUUAUUAAAACUUUUGGAGCCACUGGAGAAAGCCAUUGUUUCGUAAAAAUUGCAAAGACUAAAGGUAAAUCCAAAAUUUUUUACAAUGUAUGAUAAAAGUUCUCUAGUUUAUAUAUAUAAUACAUUCAGGGGUGGUUAUCUUUCAUUUCAUAGUCUUAUAGAUGGUCAAAAACCGAAAAGAACAAAUUCUAAUAAAAAAAAUGGUCUAUUUUAUAUAUAUGGUUAAUACAUCCAGUCUGUAUUAGAUUCUCUCAUAAGUGUAACCAAAUCCCCUCUCUAAUGGGGCCUUUAAUUCCCUAACCAAAGUCUCUGAAAAUAGAAAAUGACAAAUAGAGAGAAACAGAAAGGAAGCAAAAAGAAUAGGGAUUAUGCAGUUGUUGCAGUUCCAACUUGCACCAAGUGAUUGCUAGUGCAUUUGUUGGUAUUAACCAUCAGUUGGUAUUAACAUUUGUUGAUUGCUAGUGCAUUUGUUGAAGUCUCUCCUCUUUAAUUUCUAUUGAUUUCAUGGUUAAUUUCAUGGCUGCUUUAUAUAUGGCUUAUUUGGAUUUUAGGAAACUGCUUUCAUGGUUAAUUUCAUGUUCAUUUCGUGGCUGCUUUACAUAUUACUUUUCUUGAUAUAUGAUACUGAUUUCAUGGCUUUUCAUAUGAAUUUUCAUAUUACUUUUAUGGCUGCUUUUCAUAUGACUUGUAGCCUUAAUUUUUGAAAAGGCUAGUUAACAAAUUAUUCUCUUUAGUUUGAUAUUAGAAAGUAUUUUGUACUAAAGGCUGAUGUGUCUAUAUCUAGGACAUGGAUAAAACUUGGAUGAAGAUUAGCAAAAGGAAGGACAAGGCUUAUGAACUCGGAGUCAAAAAUUUCCUCAAGUUUGCAUAUUCUCAAAAAGUUGAAAAUCAGAAAAUCCCAUGCCCUUGUACACAAUGCAAUAAUUUUUGUAACCAAACUAAAACAGUUGUGGAGGAUCACUUAUUGACUCAAGGCAUUCGUAAAAGCUACACAAGAUGGAUACACCAUGGGGAACAAUUUCGACACCAAAAUUGUGGGGAUAGUACUAAACAUGGGGAUGGAGAGGAGGAUAGUGAUACUGAAGAUUUAAAUGACAUGUUGCACGACAUUGGGACAACACAAUGGGGGGACAAUUGGGUUGGUAGGGAAGAAUCAACGGAUGAUAGUCUAAAUGCGAAUCAUAGUGACACAAAUAACUUUCUCAAAUUGUUAGAAGAUGCAAAAAAGGAGCUGUAUCCAGGGAAUCAUUUUUACUCAAAGCUAUCCUUUGUAGUCACUUUGCUCCAUUUGAAAACAAUGAGCGGGUGGACUAUAAAGUCCUUCAAUGCAUUGCUGGAAAUUUUUAGGCAUGCACUACCUCCUGAAGCCACAGUUCCCAAGUCUUCUCAUUCGAGACUUGGGUUUUAAAUCUGAAAAAAUCCAUGCUUGUGUCAAUGAUUGUGUUCUCUUCCGCAAGGAAAAUGAAAAUUUUGACACUUGUCCAAACCUAAAUUGUAAAGAACCUCGCUACAAGAUGGCAGGUUCAAGAGUUCCACGCAAAGUUUUGUGUUACUUUCCUUUGAAGCCUAGGCUGCAACGAUUAUAUACCCACAAAGAAAUAGCUUCAGAUAUGAGAUGGCAUAAAGAAAAGUGUGUGCAUGAUGAUAACAUCAUGCGGCAUCCAGCAGACAGUGAAGCAUGGAAACACUUUGAUAGGUUGCAUCCGGACUUCGCCGUUGAUCCUAGAAAUGUGAGGUUAGGUCUUGCAACCGAUGGUUUCAAUCCUUUUGGGACCAUGAGUAGUGCUUAUAGCAUCUGGCCUAUUUAUCUAGUGCCAUACAAUCUGCCCCCUUGGAAGUGUAUGAGAGAUCCUUUCUUUUUCCUAUCAAUGCUAAUUCCUGGGCCUAAAUCCCCGGGAAAUGAGAUUGAUGUUUACAUGGAGCCUCUAAUAGAUGAACUGAAUGAAAUGUGGCUUGGUGUUGAAACAUAUGAUGCAUAUAUAUGUGUGGUUCACGAUCAUCUAGGCUCUCAAUGAUUUUAGGAUUUUAUUGUUGUUAUUGUUAUUGUUAUUGCAUAUAUAUUUGUGAACAUGCAGAUAUUUAUUGUGUUUGUAUUGUUAUUCUAUAUUUCACAGAAUAUACAUUCAAUGUCUUAUUUGCUAUAAUUUCACUUUAUUUUUGUGUUAAGCAAUUUACUUAGAUUGCUAUAAUUUCAAAUUAGAGUGACAUUAGUUUUUAUAAUAUGGUGCCUAUCUAGAAGUGUAGUUCCAGUUUUAACACCAGUGCUCAUUGCUUCAAUUUUGGUAACGUGUAGGUCCUAACACGAUUCCCAAGAAGAAGAAGCCAGUCAUUGCUGUGAAGAUGGUUUUUGAAUUGAAGACUACAAGGCCUAUCGUGCUCAUGUUUUGUUCUAGAUGGGAAUCGUGCUCAUAUUUUUGUAUAGAACUUUACUACUCUCUAUUGUGGAUGGGAAAUCACUAGUAUUGUAACUGAAUGGCUUAUUUUGGAUGGUGCAUGGUUUAUGACUCAUUUGAGGCAACAUUUAUAUAUAUAUAUAUAUAUGUAUUUGGGUUGAUCUUCUAUUGGAAAUGAAUGUUGGCUUUCUUUUCGUAUGUUGGCUUUUUUUUUCUCCUUGCUACUCAAUAAACGUUUUGUGAUUGUUGGCAGCUAUGUUGCGUAAUUAACAUUAGAUUAUUGCUUUUUACAAAAAAAUAAAUAACAAUAAAAAAGUUGUCACUGCCAAUAAGUUUCACUAGUGACACCAGAAAGUCGUCACUUUUUAUGGAUGGAAAACAAUGACAACAAAAGUCAUCACUGAACGGAAGCAUAAUGUGACAACUCCAAGGGUUGACUAUGACAAGAAUUUAGCCAGCUUAGUGACAAUAAAAGUUGUCACACAAUGUACAACAAUGAGUGACAACAAGAGUCAUCACAAAAGCGAAAUCGUUUGUGACGACUUUCAAUAGUCGUCACAUGGACCCCCUUUUGUGACAUAGAACUAGUGACAGCUCUGUGACAGCAGUAAAAGUCGUCACUGACUUUUUUUGUGACGACUUCUGAAUUUUUAGUGACGACUUUCGCCUGUCACAGAAACGCAAUUUUCUUGUAGUGAUCCAGUGAAGUACAGGACCAAAUCUGGCUUAAAAAACAAGCAUGAUUUGCCGCACUCAAUUUCGACAUCCUACUACAAAAUUGGACUUUGCAUUUCACAAGCUUUUAGUAGGCAUAAUUGAUAGGUUUGGAUCUUGUGUAAUAAUAAAUUCCUAUCCACAAAAAUAUUUGAUAGAGUAUAAUUGUAAGUAGAGUCGUCUCCAUAGGGAUUAGGGGAUAUUCAUUUUUUUUUAAGUGAGAAUUAAGUAGGGGUUUUGCAAAAUCAACAUAAACAAAAUACCAAUUUAAGAAAAUCAGUCAAAUGAAAGAAAUUUAAAUUAAUUCAAUAAUAUGCAAACUCUAGCCAAGGAAAAACUUAGAAAGUGGUUCAUAAAACUGUUCAUUGAUACAAUAAUAAUUUCUUCUAUUCGCUAAUAAAUAGGUUAUAAUUACCAAAUAAGCAUUGGCAAUCUACUUUUCCUUAUUGUGUCAAUAGUUAAGGUACGUCCGUUAACUACUUCCCUAAUCAAGAAAUAACCCUAAGUACGUCCAUAAGAUUUAAUUUCUUGAAUUAGAAACUAUAAAAGUUUUAUUCUGAUCAACAAACACGCUACUGAGAUUUAUUUAAUUUAGAUAAUAUAUUUCUCUAAUAUGAAAUCAAUCACGUUAGUUACCACUAAUUUAAGACAAUUAAAUAAUUAUGGAUUUAAUUGUCCUAACUAGCAUUAGAUUCUUGUUAUUCAAAUAAUAAAACAACCAUAAAAAAUUAAAUUAGAAAACGUACGAAUAAUAACGAAUAAAAGAUUUAAAUAAAAACUAUUAGAUCUCACAGUUGUAACUAAAUCAAACCCCCGUUAUCUCUUGAAUAGAAUAGAAAAUUAGUUGCUCAUCAUUGAUAAAAUCCCAUGCAAAAGUUUGAACAAUUUCAAUAGUCAUGCCACUACCGAGAAAAGCAAAAAACAAAAAUCCGUGGUUUUUCUCCUUUUUCAAGUAAAGAGUCGCGACCCUCCAGGAAUUGUUUCUUGCUCCGGAAGAACUAAUCAAGCAGGAAGCCAGCCGACUCCAAUUCUCUAUUUUCUCCUACUUUAUAGCUACUACUAAUAAUAAAGCAUAUUUUUCUAAUUAGAAAAAGAAAAAAUUCCCGAGCCUUUUGUAUUUGAUAGUAGGUUCUAAAUGCGCCCACAUCAAAUUGGUUCAUGAUCUGCUGGAAAAUUGCCCCUUCAACUACUUUUUGCUUCACUUUUCUGCAAUUAACAUUAAUAACCAAAUAUAAGUAGAAUCUACCUAAUAAUGUAAUGUUUGGCAAAUAUCAAGAACAAUAUUUACAAAUUAUUAACAAUUACGCACCCUAUCAAUAAUAAAUGACUAUGGCCUAGUAUGGCUCUUUGUCAACGAAGUCAGUAAUGAAUUCUGACAAUACCAACUGGGAUAAAUUUGUUACCUAAGUUGCAGUUGCAGAAGUAGAGGAUCAGGCUGGAGGAGGAGGAAACUCAGGUGAUAUAUUUCUGCUUUCUUGAAGCUUCUUUGUGAAAAGAAAAGAAAGGCAUCAUUGAUCAAGAAUGAUUCAACUGGGGUCAUUGGAUUGCAGCUUCUUUCUGAUAAAAUUAUUGGGGAUAAUAUAAAAGAAAAUGGCUAAAAAAUUACAAAGCAAAUGACGUGAAAAGACUUCAAAUUGUGAAUCAAUAUCACUUUCAUUUGGCCUUUAUUUAUCUAGAAUUUAGUGCUAAAAGAUGUUGGACAAAUAUCCUUUAGGAUCAUUUGAAGGGUAUUGGCCUUUAACUCUUGCACAAAGUUAGACAAAUCAACUUGAACUAUGUUGUGUUUUUGAGAAAAUUCUAAUAGUAAGAAAAUAAUCUUCUGCAGCAAUUCAUCCCCAUUAAACCUUUAUAGAGUUGAUAUUGAGAAUGAUCAAGAGUUGUGAUAGGUUGCAAUUUUGUCAUUUAUUUUAUUAUUAAUUUUCCCUAUUACCUGACUUGAUAUGGAUUAAUUAUUAGAUUCUACUCACUUUUCGUAAUUUGCAUUUAUUUCAGGGAGUAGAUCGAAAAUACCAUAAUAAGAGCCAAUUUGAUGAUUAUCAGGAAAGAGCUCAAAGGGCAGGCGUCCGGGGGUAUUUUUGGAACAAGGAGAUACAAGUCCUAUUUGAUAAUUCACGGAAGACAGUAUAAAAAGAAGAAAAAGGAACGCAGGCUGGACAUCUUCUUCCUCUCCGGAAGGAGAGCCGCCGCACACCAAGAUGAUAAUAGGACUUAGGUAGCAAAUUAGGAGGAACAGAGAAUGAGCACUAUGGUUUGAGCUUUGCUUUUGACUUUUCCGUUUCGUCUUCUUGUGAUUUCUCACAUUCGCAUGUACAGACCAAGUGAAAACAUUGAAUUCCUUCCUGUAGCUUGUCUUUCUUCUUGAUUGCUCCGAAUUGAAUUUCCCCAAUUUCAAGGGAUUGUGGUUGCGGCUCUCUUUACUAUUUCUUGUGAGUUUUUCACAUCCAACAUGAACUAAUUUCUCCGCUCUAGUCAAGGAACAACGGAGGUCUUGGUUGGCCUAAAUUUGUGAGAUCGAUUUAAUUUUAUCUUUUUCUUUUAUUUAUUGGUAUUUGCAUAUUCUUUGAUUGCAGUGCUUAUGGUUAUUUAAUUAAUUGACUGUCUUGGAUCCGGAUAAUUAAUCAAUUUAAUAAUCUAUUGUCAAUUGAGGUAUUGUAUCCGUAAUUGUUUAAUUGCCUCAAAAUAGUGACAACUGGCACAAUUAGACUUGUGUCAGGGGAAUACGCGGGCUAAUCUAAAAUAACCCUAGUAGUGCGUUAUUUGAUUAGAAUAGGGCUCCUCUAAUACGUAAGGCAAUUGGGGAAUUAAAUUCUAUGGGCGUACCUAGGAUUAUUUCUCAAUUAGAGCAGUGAUUAACGGGCGUACCUUAAUCAUCGACACAGUAAGGAGGGAUUGAUUGUCAUCGCUUGUUUGGCAGUUAUAACCUAUUUAUUAGUAAAUAAUUGGAAUUGCCUUUGCUUAUCGAUGAUCAAUUAGGUGAACCAUUGCUGAAGUUAUUCCUUGGCUAGAUCCUUAAUUAUCACUCAUUAGAUUUUAGUAAUUUGUUAUUUAAUUUCUAAUUGGCUAUUUUAUUUUUAUUUUUAUUAUUUUACUUUUAGUUGAAUUGCUUAAAUUGUCACCUCUGAUAUAAAAACACCCCCUUGUCACUGUGAAUUUGAAAAGAAACAAUUACUGCCAGUCCUUGUGGAUUCGACCCUGCUCACCACUAUCUACAGAAAUUACUUUUAAUUUGAGCAGGUAUUUAUUAUUGCACAGGUUUCGACAACCUGUCAAGUUGCAACCUUUCUCCACUAAUGUCUGACUUUCCUUGAAUUAUGUUGGAUGAAAAUGCUCCUCAACAUCAAUGCAAGUGGUCAAACAAUUUUUGAAUGUUUAGACACCAUUUGGAUAACAAUUAAUUGUCAAAUAUGAAAAGAUGCUAGAUAAACUUGAACAACUUCUGAUCAUUAUAAGUAUCAGUCAAUGAUGGAUCUUAUGUCAGAUCUUACGAUCGGCCCCAUCAUGCAAAUGAUCAAAUUUUGAAAAAUUUUUAACAAAAAUUGAUGUCAAUUUCACAAAAGGGAAAAGAUCAUUGAGAAAGAAGACUGGCACGAACCACACAUUAUUGUCCAAGGAGCUUCCUUCAGCAAUGCGGCCUCCCCCGGCCCUCCUCCCCCAAGGUUUGAUUGAAGAAAAUUGCACUGAUCAUCAAGAAAAAGAGAUGCCACGUUCCAAGAAAGCAGAAAGGAAGCCUAGAUAUCCUGAUGGACCAUCAACAUCAAUUAUCAAUACUAUUCCAGAGAAACUGAAGAACAGAAUUUUGGAAGUUGGGAGGUCAGAGGAAAGCAAUGAAUUUGUGUUUCAGAAGGUGUUAACACAGAUUGAUGUGAGCAUGCAUUUCAGCAAGCUGCUGGUGCCAUUUGAGCAGAUCAUGAAUGGGUUUCUGACUGAAGAAGAGCAGGCUUGUUUUCACGAUCCUAAAGCUUGAAAUUGAUGCCAUUUUGUUGAUCCAUUCCUUGAUGAAGGCAGAAUGAACCUGGGACAUUGGGAGAUGGGUACAAAAAAAUGGUAAUACGAGUUACAACUUUGCAUUGAUCACUCAAUGGACUAAGGUUGUGUAGAAGAAUGAACUUAGACAAGGAAUGGCAGUGCACCUGUGGGCAUUUAGGUGGGAUUUACAGCUUGGAUUUGCCUUAAUUUAGUUUGAUUAAGAUUUGUUUAUUUCUAAAUUUGCACUUAGGUUAAUUGUUCAUUAGAGUCUUGUGAAUUAAGGAUAUUUAGUUUGUUAGAGUAUUGUCUAUUAGUCUUCGUUCACUCAUUUUAAUUAAACAUAUUAAUUCUUGCUUUUGUAUUGGUCAAAGAAUGUUAAUUUCAUUUGUAAAGAGUUUGAACAAAAUUGAUGCAAAUGAAGUAGAUAAUCAAUAGUUUGAUAUUUGGUUCUCAGCACUUUUAAAUUGGUUGUUUUGGCCUUGCUUUCGUCACUGUUCUUAAAUAGAGCUCAGUAUAGUAAUCCCCCUGUAAGUAUAGUUAUGUUGCCCUUUGCCCCCAAGAUUAAAGGCCGAGCAUUAUUGGUCAGCUCCCCUUUAGCAUACAAAGCAUAUACUCCUACUUUUAUUCUUUUAUUUUUUUGUCUUGCUUUCUACAAUCUCCUAUCAUUUAACAUGUUUAGAAUAAUUCUUUUAACCGUUGCUCAAUCUUCUAUUUCUUGCACUAUUUAUUUUGUCAGCCUUUAUAUUGCACUUUCUUUUAAAAAAAAUUUCCCCAGCGAAACAAGAGGGAGUUAGCUCUAAGUUCUAUUGAUUAAACAAGAAAUGGUAGAUAGAAGGCGAUAAAAACCAAUACCUUCUUUAAAAUACAAGAGUGGAUCUAUUUCAACUAAAUUUUAAAAAAGGGAAUCCUAAUCUAUCAGUGCUCUUAAACAAAAUUCUGCCAGAACUCUUAAGCUGGCCUCCAAAAAUACACAUGGGAUCUUCAGUACUACUUUUCCAGUAGUAACUCAAUUCCGCUUCUAUAUUUAUGAUAAAAGUCCUGUUUAUUUAACUUAUCAUGCAGUGUUUAUUUAAGUUUUUUCUACUCUCAUAUGGUAAGUGGGAUUAUCACUAAAUUUGGAACUAAAUAGUGGCAUAGAGGAUCCCAACCUCCAAGGAUGCUUUCAGUCAACAAUAGAUACAUAGCAUGUUUGCAGGCCUGUUGGUUUGUCGUCUGCAAUGACAAACAGAAACAGACUUAGGCGUUAGACCAACUAAUAUUGGUAGUAAUAUAACUUGUUUCUCUUUUUGUUUGUUGCAGCUAAAUUUGUUUACCAAGGAUCUUCUUCAAAGACAAAAAAAGAUGUGAAAAGCGCUCUGCAAAAUUGUAAAAAACUUCAAGGGACGUUUUUGAAAUUAUCUUUUCUCAUAUGGGGUUACGUGCCAAAUAUACACGUACUGCCCUGAGCUUCUAUACCAGUUUUAGACAACAAAAAAAAAAGAGCAAUUUAGGUGCAUUAAAAUACUUUUUCAUUUUAAGCCUAGAAGAUUUUAAGUUUAUUUUAUGCCAAAUUAUUUAAGUUAUAAAGUAAAAAUUUGUGUCCGAUGGUGGGGUUCUGUUUUCAUCUGAAUUGACACAGUAACAUUGAGUUAUUCUAUUGGAUUAUUAUCACUUUACCCCCUUAAACUAUAUCACUACUAUCAGUUUAUCCCCUAAUGUUAUCUUUUAAUCAUUUUACCCCCAUAAAUAAUUCAACUCAACAUGUUAAAAAAUUUUGGAUAAAAAACCCUUUUAUUUUAUAGUAUUAGUACAUUGUUGUUAUCACUUUAUUCAUUUAAAUUAUAGUGAUACAAUCACUUUAGUUCCUAACAUUAUUUUCUAGACAUUUUACCUCAUUAUUAAUUUAACUAGUAUGGUCAAAAAAUUUUAAAUAUGUUUACCCUCUUUUUAUAUAUAAUGAAACAUAAAAAAGUUAGAAUGGUUAUUCUUCCUUUUUUUUUUCACUUUAAGAGAUCGAAAAACAUAAAAAUAAAAGAGUUUUCUCAAAUUUCUUUUUUCACAUUUAUUAAUACUAGAAAAAGAAAAAGAGAUACGAAAGAAGGAGACAAAAAAUUAGAUUUUGCAAAAAAAGAAAAUAAAGAAAAAUCUAACAUUAUUGUAUUACUUUAAGGUUAUUGAGAUUAGGAUUGGAAUUUGAUAGUAAAAAAAAAGUGAAAUAAUUUUAAAAUAAUAAAACUAUUUAAUUCUUUUUAUUUGUAAUUUUUUAAAAAAGAAUUAAGCUCUCUCUCUCCUUCUCCCCCAUCUCUAUCUCUUUAUUUUUUUCAAUAUUAAUAAGAUUGCCAAGAAGAAAGAAAUUAAUACUUUUGUUUUCUUGAUACUAAAAAAGAGAAGAGUCACUCUAAAUUUUUUAUUAUUUUUAUUACGCAAAGAGGAGGGUAUUUUUUCUAAAGUUUUUUAACUUAUUAAGUUGGUUUAAUGGUAGGACAAAUUGUCUAAAAAAUAAUUCUAGGGGGUAGAUUAAUAAUGAGACUAUAUUUUAUGGGAGUAAAGUGAUGAUAAUUUUAAGAAUUAAACAUGUCUUUUCACUUUAAUUAACAAAGGGUUAAUCACAUUUUAUCCCCUUAAAGAAUACCCCAUUUCUCAGUUUACCCCCUAACCUUUAAUUUUGCUCACUUAACCCCUUUUAGGACAAAAUUGCCCUUGCAUUAUUUUGACUAUUCAUUUAUCUUGCUUUCCUUUCUUUUAUUACUUUUUCUCUGUCUUCUUUAUUUAAUUAUUCUUCUUUCCCCAAAAAUCUUCACCUUAAUGAUUGAAAUUAAAAAAGAGGAAUUGCAGAGAUCUAUCUUCUCCUUAAAUGAUUAAAAAAAUAUUCAAAUCACUUUCCUAAAAUACAAUUUUUUUAGCCUUUCAAUUCUUUUAAUUUUGGAUUUUCCUCUUUCCUUUCUAGUUUCUCAUUUUAUUCUCAAGAAAAUAUCAUAAGAUGAAAAUUCCAUUUUAUUCACAUUUUAUUCUUUUAAAAUGUGAAUAAAAUGAGAAACUAGAAAGGAAAGAGGAAAACCCAAAAUUAAAAGAAUUGAAAGGCUAAAAAAAUUGUAUUUUAGGAGAGUGAUUUGAAUAUUUUUUUAAUCAUUUAAGGAGAAGAUAGAUCUCUGCAAUUUCUCUUUUUUAAUUUCAAUCAUUACGGUGAAGAUUUUUGUGGGAAAAUGAAGAAUUAAAUAAAGAAGAAAGAGAAAAAGAAAUAAAAGAAAGGAAAACAAGGUAAAUGAAAAAUUAAAAUAACGCGAGGGCAAUUUUGUCCUAAAGGGGGUUAAGUGAGCAAAAUUAAAGGUUAGGGGGUAAACUGAAAAAUGGGGUAUUCUUUGAGGGGAUAAAAUGUGAUUUUCAGUAAAGUUUGACCGUUAGUCUUGGGGGUAAAGUGACUAAAAGAUAACGUCAAGGGGGAAAUUGAUAGUUACGCCAAACGUUAAGACGGUAAAGUGAUAAUAAUCCUAUUCUAUUUGCACAAGAUUGUAGAUAAAACUUUAAUUUGAACUCUAUAAUUCAAAUUAUAAACCGUCUACUGGUUAUGAAGUUCAAAUGUUUACCUAAAACAUGGGAUUAAUUCUCAUUUGAACUCACAUGAGAUCCUCAGCGCCACUUUCCAGUAACAAUUCAGUACCAGCUUCUAUAUUUAUAUCAAGUGUUCUAUUAUUUAAGUUAUCAUGUACUGUUUAUUUAACUUUUCUUUACCAUCGCGUGAUAAAUGGAAUUGACACUGAAUUUGGCACCAGAUAGUAGCGCAGAACAUCCCAACUGCAUUUCAACUACCUAUUGGUCCUUCCUCAACCCCUUGUACAAAUUGCCUCAACAAUAAUUAUGCGUACUUUGUUCCACUCAUGUGAAACUGUAAACCUGCGAGCAUUUUCCGCUUGAAAAUUAAAUUGCUUGACUAUGAAAGGAGGAACUUAUACAAAACUAGUAUCCAACUCCAUCCAAAUCAAAUAAACAGUUUCCAAAUAGGAAGACAAAAUAAAAUACAAAAAAGAAGGAAGAGUUCUUAGAGUCUUCAUUGCUAAAUGCAAAUUUGAAUCUUGGACAUGAUUGUUGGGGGUAGGAAAAGUACGAAAAGGGGUGACAUGGAUUAAAAAGAUUACAAAAGAAGGGUAAAGUUAAUUCUGAAAAUUGCACAAAAAAUAUGUAGUUGAAAAAGCAGCCGCAAUUAUACAGGGUGAUCUACUAAUAACUACACUGUGUCGGCUUAUAGUGUCGCUACAAAUCACAAUUAGUUCACUAAUAACGUGUCGAGGACUUGUUUUGACAUACGAUUAGUAAUUCCAUACUUUUUUAAAUAUAGGAUAUAAGUCAUAUAACACAAUUUACAUUAAGUGAACGUACAACAUAUGCACUGCAUGGACUUUUUGAUGCUAGAAUGAAGUUCAAAACAUGGUUUGGGUUUUAUUUUUUUUGGGCCAUCUGCACUUAAUUGCCGAGUAGCAUGAUAUUUGUUUGUGGGUACAAUGUAUGCAGGCAUAAGACGCAAAAGUGUUACAUCUUAAAUUCACUCUGGCUCCUCCCAACACUUUGCAAGUUUAUUCAUUUCCAUCCUAACUUGGGUACUCUAGACCUCUUAACUUUAGUGAGGUGUACAUGAUUAUUUUUCACCUUUAAGACUAUAUGAUCUUUAUAUGAAAGAAUGCUAGACUUCUUUGGAAAAAGUAGAGUUUACAAGUAAAAUUACCCCAUAAAAACAAAACCAUACCGGGGUAGUGCGGCAAUAAAAAAAAAUCAUAAGGGAAACACAUUAGUUUAGCUUACUAAAUAUUAUUUUCAUCUAGACAUUGGAGUACACUAAAAUAUUUCAUCUGGCUUCAGUACGAAAAAUGAUCUCCAUCAUUUUAACACUUUAAUUCAUACUACGGUCUUUUUUUUUCAGAUAACUUUUGAAACUAUAUAAGGCCUAUUUGAAAAAGUGCUAGAUUAAUCAAGGAGAUAAAGUAAAAUUUACCAAUAAAAAUACCUAAUAAAAGUCCCGUUUGAUCCUUAUUCAAUACACCUGAUAACACCAUUGAAAUGGUUUCUUUUGGAAAUUUCGAAGAUAACACGAAAGAAUUACCCGAAAGAUCUUAUUUAUAAAAUUCAAAUUAAAAGAACAAUUUUAUGGGCAUCAAAAGAGACCGUGUUGCAUGGAAUAUUGAACACUCUGCGGAGCAUGUCCAAAACAGAGUUACACGAGUUUACCAUUAUCUUUUAACUGUCUUUAUUUUGCAGUAAACUUAGGUAGAAUCCACUUUUCUCCCCGUAAGAUGCUAAGCAUAAAACACUCAAGAGUGCAAAUGAUUUCUAUUAUCCAAAUUACAUGUUGCCCCAUAUUAACCGCCUUACACAACCCAUACUAGUAUAAAAUCCGCCUCUUCAUUGCUUUUCGACUCCAUGAGCUUUAGUUUCUUCAUUUUUUUUCCUUUCACUAUCAAAAAUUAUAUACAUACCGUCCCAGGAAUUCAUCUUGGAGACUUUAAAGUACAAUUGCUGAAUCAAUUUUUUUUCGCUUCCAAGAUGUUUUAGUCUUUUCAUUUUUUCUUUGGAUAUCAAUAGUUCAGGAAUCCCCUGUAGUAAGUAGAAUUGGUGAUUGAUCUUCAAGAAGACCUUCAAGAAUUUGAGCAGAAAAAAGAGAGGAACAACAGGGAUAGAGAUGGAUACAAGGGGUAUAAAGAGAAAAGUGAAUGAUCCUGAAGCCGGCGACAGAAUUCUUGAUCCCAAUGCACCAGCACCACCAGCAGCGGUACAAAUCCCUCCGAACUUCAAAACGGCCAUCACAAACUUGGGAGGUUCAGAGCCAGUGUUAUUGGCGGAAUUGACUUCAUCGGACAUUGCGGACAGAAUGAAUGAUGACUAUUUCUUGAUAUCAAUUCAAGAAAUCAAUAAGCACCCAAUUUUGACAGAAGCCCAGAGGAAUUCUCUUGAAAACGGAGAUGCGGAAGUGGGUGCAAUUUGUAUCCAACCAGCAACGGCUAAAUCCGAGAUAAGCAUCUCAAAACAUGACAAUUCCAACUAUGCAUUGAGUGGUUGGAAAGACCUUGUCGAGACUCACAAGCUGAUUCUGACUACAGCAACCCAGAUGCAAUUAUGGUCUUUCAAGAAGAUACAGCUGGGAUUUAUAAUGCUACUUGAAGAUGACAGUCAAGAGGUUGGAUUGACUAUGUGAAUUCAUAGUCUUGAUUUUGGUAUCAUUUUGCACUAAUUAAGGAAUCCUAGCUAGCUACUUCUUGUUGAUUAGUAUUCCUAAUUUUUGAACGAUUUUUUUUACCAACAGAUUCAACAUCAGACGAAGGCACGAGAAGUUCUUCCCGAUGACAUCAAGCAUCGCAUCAGUUCCAUUGGAGGUUCAGAACCACUUUUUGUGGUGGAAAAGAAAUUGGUCAAGACUGAUACGGAGCAUCUAUUUUCAAUACCGUUGAAAGGAAGGAAGAACGAAUUCUUGAAGGAAGAAGAACAGGAACCUUUCAGGAUCCUGUACAACAGAGCAACGAUUGAGGCGGUUUUGAUUGGAUCAUCAGCCGAUGAAGAAUUUAGGGUCAAUUUGAAGCAUCGGGGCGCGUAUUCCCUAGAUGGCGGUGACUGGAGCAAAUUUGUGAAGAAACACAGGCUCAAAGUGGGAAAGAAAGUGCGCUUGUGGACGUUUAGGCCUGCAAACGAAAGUGCUGGUUUAGACAUUGGAAACUAUCGUUCAGAGCCUGGAUUUGCAUGGGUUACAUUUCAGUGAGAGGAAGCAACACGAAUUCGCAUAUGCAUGUUGUUUUAGGCCUCAAGAUUGCUGUUUUCAUCUUUCAAAUUUGGUAUUGUUGGUGGGAUUUCUUGACUGUAAUCAGUAAUCAUUCUGAUAAAAAAAAAUCAGUAUCUGAAAAUUUUAGGCAUUCUUGUAGACAGAGCUUUCAAUCCUCAGGCGUUUUUGAAUCGGCUAAAAUUGUCAUGUAUACUCAUUUGACAAACUGUGAGUCCUUUCUUCCUCCCAAUAGUGCAAUUCUUUCUUUUAAUCAAUGGCAAAUUACAUUUUACCCCCUGUGAUUUAGUAUUUUUUUACAUAAUCUCCCUAUAGUUUCAAAAACAAUACAUAACCACCUUAUGAUUUGGAUUAAAGUAUCAAAGUGACGAAAAUAGUCAUUCGGAAUGGAACUUCUAAAAAUAUCAAAAUUACCCUUAUAAAUACAUGACACACUAAUCUCGUAUGUUUUUUAUAUUUUAUCAUAUAACUCCCUUAUGAUUUUCAAAAUAUACACAUAACCCCCUUGAUUAAUAAAUAAUUUUUAAUUUUACAUAAGGGUAUCUUUGACAUUUUAGGUAAUUUCAUUAUGAAUGAUCAUUUCCGUCACUUUGACACUUUAAUUCAAACCAUGAAGGGGUUAUGCAUAACUUUUGAAAUCAUAGGGGGGUUAUGUAAAAAAAUACUAAAUCGUAGGGGAAUAAAGUGGAAUGUGCCCUUUAAUCAAUAGUGCAAAUUACUACAUUCCACGUGACCAAUUAUACUAGAUAAUUUUGUUAACAACAAAUUCGUACACACAGAACAACAAUAUGUAUGCCACCAUAUGACACAUGUACAUGUACAGAAUUAAUAGUGGCAAAUUAGUCCAUGUUUUAAUCGUAUUAUUAUGUGAGAGUAUGGUUGUAUGAUAGUGGGUGUAAAUUUAUAUUAUUUGCAAGGACAAAUGAGUGCAUUCAUAUUAUAAUAUCUUUUCAAUAUAGGUUUAUAUAAUAAUGAGAAUAUAAAUUUGUAUCAUUUUUAAGAUAAAUUAAUCUAAAAUUUUUUCAUCCCAUUUCUUAGUUAUCCUGACUAAUAUCAUCAAGGAUGGAUCCAAUCCUUUAAUGAACCAAAUGAACCUUUAAAAGCCGGAUGACUAGGUGGUAUGAAGAAACGUGUAUAACAUCCAACUUUUCUCCAAGUUCCAUUCGUAAUCGGACAGGAUUUCCCGACAUUCGACUACACAUCCACCCAACUUUCAGAUCCUAUUAGGAUAUGGAAAUUCGCCAAUCCAAUACCAAGAUCCUAUUAUCUUUUUUGUAUAGGAUUAUAUAAUAAUGAGAGUAUAAAUUUGUAUCAUUUUUAAGAUAAAUUGAUCUAAAAUUUUAUCAUGACAUUUUUUAGUCAUCCCUGACUAAUACCAUCAAUCAUGGAUCCAAUCCUUCGAUGAACCAAAUGAAACUUUAAUAGCCGGAUGGCUAAGUGGCACUAAAAGUGGGUUGAAGAAACGUGUAUAACAUCCAACUUUUCUCCAAGUUCUAUUCGUAAUCGGACAGGAUUUCCCGACAUUCGACAACACAUCCACCCAACUUUCAGAUCCGAUUAGGAUAUGGAAAUUCGCCAAUCCAAUACCAAUAGCCAUGUGUAUAUAUAGUUGAUAUUUAGGCAUAUUGCCAAGCCUUUAACCUUAAAAUUGCCCUACAACCCUAAUCCAUCAUCCCAGCUGCCGAACCUCUGCAAACUAAAUCAUACUCAUCCAAUGGCAAACUGGUCCGAUCUACAACAUGAUAUGUUGGGAUUGAUAGCCCAACACCUCGACAAGAUUGAAGAUUAUGUGGCUUUUGGCGCAGUUUGCAAGUCAUGGCGAGCAGCGGCCAGUGAGAAAAAUUUCAAGGGCCUGCGACUAUGGCAACAGAUUCCCUGCCUCAUGCUUGCUGCGAAGGAUGAUUUCAAUCGGGAGUUCUAUAGUUUGAUGGAGAAACAAGUCGUUGCUAAGGUGAGCUUGCGUCAACUUAAAGGCAAGAAGUGUUAUGAAUCUCUAGGAUGGUUGUUGACUAUAGGACAACAAGGGGAGAUGAGCCUGUUGAAUCCCUUCUCUGGUGUUGAAAUUGAGUUACCAAAUCAAAAUACUUUUCCUGAAUAUGAUUUAUAUGAGAUGGAUCCUGAUAUCUUUGUACGUAGGAUGGUUUUGUCAUCGAGACCAAGUCGCGAGUCCCCAGAGGACGAUGACUUUGUGGUGAUGAUCAUCUGUGGAGGGGUUGGAUUCUUGGCUUUCUGGAGGCCAAAGGAUCUUAGGUGGAAUAGGAUCGAGACCAGAAACUCUCCCUAUGCGGAUGUCAUAUAUACCAAUGGCCAGUUCUACGCAAUUGAUCAUAUGGGCAAUGUAGUGGUUUGUGACGUUUUCGAGGCAAACCCUACUGAUCAGGCUAGAAUAAUUGCUCGGUUUAGCCCCGAAUUAUGGGACAAAAAAGAGUUAUACUUAGUAAAAUCUUCAUCUACAGAUGAUGAACCUUUUCUGGUUGUCACACGAGACAACAUCCCCAAUUAUGAGGACGAACAAGGCUUUGAAUUGGAUAAACCGAUCUAUGGCACAACCGAGUUCCAGGUGUUUGAAUUGGUUUCUACAGCAGGACGAGAAAAAGAGAUUACUUCCCGUUGGGAAGAAAUCAAGAAUUUGGGAAGCAGAUCAAUUUUUCUUGGCCAUAGUUCUUCAAUGUGCCUGCAAAACAACAAAUUGGCCCCCGGAAUCAAACCCGGUCAUAUAUAUUUCACGGACGAUGCAUGGGCAGCAUAUGUUGAAAUUCCUGAAGGCGGCGGCAAGGACAUGGGAGUCUACAACUUGGAAAAAGGAGUAACUGCGCCCUUGUAUGAUGCCCCCUUGCGGCUUAGCCGAACCUGCCCAACUAUUUGGAUUACACCAAAUUUUUAACAUUUGUAGCAUUACCCUGUAAUCUGUUCGUGCGAAUCUUGAAGUAUGUGUUUUACCCCUCAGUGAUUUACUGCUCUCCAUAUCUUCCCUAGUUCGGGACCUAGUGCAGAAGUUGUACUGGUAACUGUUUGUUUUUCUAAUAUAAAACCGCUUUUUAUUGUUCUUGUUGAGAAUUAAUGGUAUUCAGCACAUGUUAAUUCUACACUUUAUGAAUUACCUUGUAAUAAUCAUUUCCAUUAAUAGUCCAUUAAUAGUAUUCAGCAGAGAUAUUCAUCUUUUAGUCCUCGAGGACAAGGACUUUGUAAGGAGGGGCAGAUGAUACAAUGAGAAUUCAUCAUUUUGGGUAUUAAUUUCUCGGAAAAACUCUUGUAAUAUCCAGAUUCCAAAUUGCAUUUCCGCUCGGUAUAGAAAGAGUCAGUUACUAGCUUAAUUAGAGUGAUGUAAGCAGGGAAUUAGUUUGUUAAUCUUGCAGGAGUUAAUUGAGAAUAAGUGAAUAACUGCUAUAUUAGCAGAAAAAGAGUGGAGAAAGGGUCAGUUGUGAAUUCGGUAUCUUGAUUCAUUCAUCUUCUUCUGAUUCUCGAACUGUGUUCUUCAUUUAUCACGAUUCCUGAAUCUCAAGUGCUUCUGUGCAUCACACUAGGCUAUAAACCACAUCAUUUUUUAUUUCAGAACCUGAUAGAAAAGCGGAUAUAAACCUGGAGUGACGGUGAAUAAAAGCGGUAGAGAGAUAAGAGUAAUCAAGAUAGAAUUGCAAGCAAUGGGGCUAGGGUUAAGCUUUUACUUGUGGAUAGAGAAAAUGAUCCAAUUGGGAGUUUGAGAGAGGUUGGAGUUUUGAAAAUUGAAGUGAAAAAUGAGAAAUCUUUCCACUGCAUGAUUAAGAGAGCAUUUGAAUAUUAAAGACCAUUUGGUUCAAUUUUCAUAAUCACUAUCACUAUGGUAUGAUAAAUAUGAGAAUAACAAUCGACUUGAUAAAAAUCUAUGGAGUGCUUGGUAAAUUUGUAGCAAUGCAUUUUAGUAAUAGGAAACAAUAGAUAAGCAAAAAUGCUCUCUUUAACCUAAACGUGCUUAUAAAGCAUGAAAUAUGGAAUAUAAUAAAUAGGGCCCUUAAAUGAGCUGAGCUUGUUUGCGAACUCAGAUUGUAUAAGUUCAAGAUCGCCUCAUUUAUUUAACUAGAUUAGUCGAGCCUAACCACAAAAUUAAACUCAAUUUAUUUGAACCAAUUGAGCUGAGCUCAGCUCAUGAACAGCUUGUUUGAAUUCAUUUUAUGCAUUUAUGGAUCAAGCUGUAGUCCUACAUUUAAUUCAUAUUAAAGGCCCCAUUUGAUAAAUGAGUUUUUUAGAUGUUUAUUUAAAACUUUAUUGUAGUUUACUCUAUAAGUAGUAGGAAAAAAUUUUUAAAUAGAAAACUUUUUUUUCUUUUCUUUUUUCUCUUUGUUUUUCUUUUUCUUUCUUUCUGUUCUCUUUUCUUUCCUCUCUUCUUCUUCUCCCUUCCCCCUUCCCCCUCUUUCCCCCGCCACCCCGCUACCCUUCCCAGCCAGACAAAAGUAGCAUAUGCAAAUUUUUUUCUUGCUUUUCUCUCUCUCCCCUUCUCCUCCCUCUCCUUCUCUUCCCCCUCCCCCUCUCCCCCGCCACCUCUCCCUCCCUCCGUCAGAAUUGCAGCACCAGAAACAAGAUUUUUUUUUUUUUUUGCUUUUUCUCUCCCCUUCUUUUCUCUUUCCUAUCCACCUCUCCUCCCCUCUCCCUCCCCCGCCACUUUUCCCUUCCUCCGCUAGAGGUUGCAGCACCAGAAAAGGGAAUUUUUUUUUUGGCUUUUUCUCUCCACCUCUUCUCCCUUUUCCUCUCCCUCCCUCUGUUGGAAGUUGCAACAAUAGAAAUAGGAAUCUUUUUUUUAUUUUCUCUCCCUCUCUUCUCCCUCUCCCCUCCCCUUCCCUCUCCUUCCCUUCCCCCUUCUCUUGGCUGUGAUCUGGUCUCGCGACUAGAUCGGGUAAAGGGGGAGAGAGAUGGUGGUGGUGGUGGGAAAGGGGGAAGGGGAAGGGGAGGAGAGAGGGAGAGAAAAAGCAAAAAAAAAAAAAGUUGCAUCUACCGGCACUGGAACAAGUGCCGAAAAAGGUUGCCGGUCGGUCUUGGCCAGCGGCGAAGGUGGUGGUGGGUUGAGGUGGAAGAAGAAAGGAGGAAAGGAAUUUUUUUUGGUGUGUUUUGGGUAUUUUAAACUAUGUAGGUAAAAUGUUUUGAAAAGUUUUUUGAAUUUACUGUAGUUAAAAUUGGUAAAAAACUAGUAGCAGACAAACUUAGGUAAAACCCAUUUGCCAAACUGGCCCAAGGUUCUUCCACAAGUUUCGUAUGCAGCAGAACAAUGAAAUUGUUGAUCAAAUCAAUUACAUCGAAGAAUAUGUGGAUGAGAUAAUAUGUGUUUUUUUUUUUGCAUAACAAAAAUAUAAGUCUUAUCUUGAUUUCUUUGGUGCUUAAAGGUCAUUUUGUAAAAUGCAUUUAGACAACUUUUAUUCAGUAACAUUUUUAUUAUGGAAUAGAUUGGUAAAAUUUGUUAAUUUGUGAGUUGCAAUACGGCAUAAGAACCAAGCUUGAACUCAUUCCAACUCAUCUUUUUUCUUUUUUAUUAAAAGAGUUGAGACCAAGUUUAUAGCUCUAACGUGGAACUCUUUUUAAUGAGUCGAGCUCAAAAAUGAUUUAAGCUUGGUUAAGAAAUAAGUCAAGCUUGAUAUUGAUUUAUUGUCAGGCACAGCAAUUGAUCAAUUGAAAUUGGACCAAUUAAUUUGUUCCCAAAUUCGCGAACGUUGUCGUUUCACUUUGAGGCCAGUAGAAUUAGCAAUAAGUAGGACGACUUCGUGGGAAGCUGAAGUAAGUAGGACGACGUUGUGUGAAUUGCAUAACAAAAUUAGUUAACAAUUUAGUAAAUCGGUUACUUCAUCCUAUUUGUACGGAUUUGAUUGGUGGAAAAAGGCAUCAGACGAGAAUAACAGAAUUUCCCUCUUUUGCUACUUUCUCUCUCUAUUUCCCUCUCUCUCUCUCAAUUCUCUCUGCUCUUUCUUGCUCUCUUCGUCCCCAAUCUUCCCUUUCUUCCCCAAUUCCGAAAUUAAUUCACAAUCUAGACAGAAAUGGAUCCGGAGACCUGACAAGUGGUAUCAAAGCAGGCUGAAUCCUUGGAACAAUAUCCGAAUCCAUGGCAGAAAGUACCAGAUUCAAGACUUUGGAGGAGCAAAUCAAGAAGCAAGAGACCAGACUCCAGGAGGUAGUGGAAGGUCUGCAAAGCUCGUGGCUACAACAACAGCAAAUGCAGAUGGAAUUUCGUGCAGAAUUAGAAGAAAACAGUAAGAGAGUGGAGAAUUUAGUAGCUGAGAUAAAGCAGGAGCUCAGUGCCUUCAUAAGAGCAAUGAUCAGCAAGGAGAGAGCUGUUCCUGACGAUGAUAGGUAGAGAACGGAACAAGCACCACUCUUACCAACUCCUCCAAUGAACCAGAGACUACACAUUGGAUCAGACAAUAGUAAAACAGCAAGGAAAGAAACAAGUAAGAUUCUGGUACCAAAUCCUUCAAAAAUUGAUCUACCUAUGUUUACUGGUGAGAAUCCGAGGGAGUGGAUCCGAAAAUGUAAUAAAUACUGCCUAAAUUACCAGACUCCUGAAGAUCAAAAAGUAGAAGUUAUAGAAAUAUAUUUGGAAGAAAAGGCAGAUAACUGGUUCCAGGGGAUUAAGUUGGAACAACCUGGAAUGACUUGGAGCGUAUUUGAGGAAUUGUUGUAUAGAAGGUUUGAUAGUAGAAACGGAAGAGAUGUAGUGGAGGAAUUCAACAAGCUAAGACAGUCUGGCAAGAUAGAGGAGUACCAGGAAAGGUUUGAGGAGCUUAAAACUCUGAUGAUGGUUAGGAAUCCAUAUCUAGAUAAGGAGUAUUAUGUAUCUAGCUUUAUCAGUGGACUUAAGGAUGAAAUUAGAACUAUGAUAAAAAUGUUAAGACCUAUGAAUUUGUCAGAAGCAUUUGAAUUGGCUGCACUACAAGAAGAGGCAUUGAGGCUUCAGACAAGAACCUACAAGGAGGGAGGGAAGGCUGCAUCUGAGAAUAGGUUUGAAAUCUCUAGAAACUCUUCCCAACACUAGAUCCAGAGCUCUCAGUAUAGGGUGCCUCCCACCAGCAUCUUUAGGAAUACUCCUUUCAAAGGCAAACCACACUGACCACCUCAGGAUCUAAACCUAGAAGACUCUCAGCUGAAGAGUUACAAUACAGAAGGAACAAUGGACUUUGCUUUAAAUGUGGAGAGAAGUUUGGAUAGGGUCAUCAGUGCAAACCUAGCCAUUUGAACCUUUUAGUUACUGAUGAGGAAGAGGAAAUUGAGUUUGAAGAUGCUGUAGGGGAACAGGAUGAAUCCACAGGGAAUCCAGGACAAGUAAUGGAAAUGUCAUUACAUGCACUAUCUGAGGCUAUGAAGAGAAAAAUAGUAACGCUGAUAGGGAAGUGGGAUGGGGAGGAGAUGCUCAUAUUAGUUGACACAGGGAGCUCCGAUACUUAUAUCAGUAGUGAAAAGGUUAUUGCAUUUGAUAUUCCCUAUCAACUAGUGGAACCAUUCUCUGUGAUUAUAGGGAAUGGAGCAUUUGUGACUAGCAAAGCCAUAUGUCCCAAAGUAACCUGGGGGAUUAACCAGCAUCAGUUCUGCUUUGAUCUCAAGGUAAUGGACUUAAAUGGCUGGGAUAUGAUAUUAGGAGUAGACUAGAUGACUCACUUUAGGCCCAUCACGUUUGAUUUUCAUCAGUUGACUAUAUCCCUGUACAAUCAAGGUGAAGUAGUGCAACUGAGGGGACAAGUUGAGAACUGUAACUUGGAUCUUAUUAGAGGGAAGGACCUGAGACACUUCGUUGAAUACAAGAAGCAAAUGUGCUUAGCUCUGAGGAUGGAACAGCAGAAGUUGUUAGAGGAGCCUAUGGUGUUUGCUGAGGUUCAGCAGAUCAUUGAAGACUUUAAGGAUGUAUUCCAGACACCUACUGAGUUGCCACCCACUAGGGAGAUCGACCAUUGGAUCCCUCUAAAACAGGGAUCACAGGCUUUCAAGAUGAAGCCAUAUCGAUAUCCUCAUUCUCAAAAAGGUGAAAUUGAAAGGCAGGUAAAAGAAAUGCUGUUGCAUGGUAUAAUUAUACACAGUAAUAGUCCCUUUGCUCCCCAGUGUUACUGGUUAAGAAAAAGGAAGGAACAUGGCGUUUUUGUGUAGAUUACAGACGUUUGAAUGAAAUGACUAUUAAGGACAGGUAUCCUAUCCCAAAUGUAGAUGAACUCAUCAAUGAGUUGGCAGGAUCAAAGUACAAAACUAAGUUGGACCUCACCUCUGGUUACCACCAGAUCAGAGUCAAGCCUAAGGACACUCACAAAACUACUUUUCAAACGCAUUGUGGUCACUAUGAAUUUUUGGUCAUGCCCUUUGGACUGAUCAGUGCACCAGCAACUUUCUAAUCUCUUAUGAAUCAGAUAUUACAGCCAUAUUUGAGGAAAUUUGCCUUGGUAUUUUUUGAUGAUAUCUUGAUUUACAAUUCUACCAUUGAGUUGCAUUUGGAACAUCUGAGAAUAGUCUUAACUGUCUCGAGAAAGCAUAGACUAUUUGCAAAAAAAUCCAAAUGCUUGUUUGCACAGCAGAAGGUGGAUUAUCUUGGUCAUACUAUAACUGAAAAUGAAGUGUCCAUGGACCAGUCCAAGAUAGAGAGCAUCGUGAACUGGCCUACUCCUAAAAAUAUAAAAGAGUUAAGGGGAUUUUUGGGGCUGACUGGAUAUUAUAGAAGGUUUGUCAGGCACUAUGGGAUCAUCUGCAAACCUCUGACAGAACUACUCAGGAAGGACAACUUUGUUUGGAAUAAGGGAGCACAGAAGGCCUUUGACUAUGUGCCAGGCUCCUGUACUCAGACUACCAGAUUUUCGAAUGACCUUCACUAUUGAGAUUGAUGCUAGUAGUGGAGGGAUUGGGGCAGUGCUGAUGCAGGAAGGUCACCCUAUAGCCUUCCUCAGCAAGGCCUUAUCACCUAGGAACUUGGGAUUAUCAGCUUACGAAAAGGACUUGUUGGCACUAGUAAUGGCAGUGACCAGAUGGAGACAUUUUCUGCUAGGCUAUCACUUUGUCAUCAAGACAGAUCAUCAGUCCCUGAAGUACCUGCUAGAUUAGAAACUUACCACUACACUACAUCACAAAUGGUUGGCUAAAUUGCUUGGAUUAGAUUAUGAAAUCCAAUACAAGAAAGGAUCAACAAACAAGGUUGCGGAUGCACUGUCUAGACUAUAUAACAGGAAUUCAGAUGGAAUCACUUAGCAAGGAUCCUGCUUAGUCAUUACUUCUGUUACACCCUUAUGGAUUCAAGAGCUUCAAAGGAGUUAUGAUGUUGACCCUCAAUGUCAGAGUAUUAUAUCCCAACGAGUACUAGAUCCUACUUCUCAGUCACAGUAUGAGUGGGAUCAGGGGUUGCUAAAGUACAGUGGCAAGCUUUAUGUGGGAGCUACCAAUGGAUUAAGCGAGAAACUGAUUCAAGCUCUCCAUGCCUCUGCAAUUGGUGGACACUCGGGUCAGAAAGGAUGCUGGCAAAGGUUGAAGGCUCUAUUUUAUUGGCCUAACAUGAAGCAGGAUGUCAUCAAGUACAUUCAAGCCUGUGAUACAUGUCAAAGAUUUAAAUCUGAACAUGUCCCUUAUCCUGGUCUGCUACAACCCCUACCUGUACCUCACUUAGCCUGGACUCACCUUACUAUGGACUUCAUAGAAAGCCUCCUAGAAUCCCAAGGAUAUGAUACAGUGUUGGUCAUCAUUGAUCGACUGACCAAAGUAGGACAUUCCCUUGCUUUAGCUCACCCUUUCACAGCCAAACAAGUGGCUCAACUCUUCCUAGAAAACAUCUUCAAGCUACAUGGAAUCCCAGCGUCCAUUGUGACUGACAGAGAUAGAAUCUUCACUAGUGCAUUCUAGCAGGAGCUUUUCAUAUUAGCAGGAACAGAACUGAGGUAUAGCUCUGCUUACCAUCCUUAAUCAGAUGGGCAAAGCGAGAGGCUUAACCAGUGCAUGGAGACUUACCUCAGAUACAUGACUGGAGAGUUCCCUCACAACUGAAGUAGGUGGCUUCCUAUGGCAGAAUGGUGGUAUAACUCCUCCUAUCAUUCCAGCCUACAAGUAACUCCUUUUAAAGCACUAUAUGGCUAUAAGCCCCCUCCUUUAACCCUUGGUCCUUACCUUGACACCAUCAUCCCAGCAGCAUCUCAAUUACUUCAGGAAAAGUUGAGGAUUUCCGGUAGCAUCAAAGACCACCUUGCAAAAGCACAGCAACGAAUGAAACACUUUGCUGAUCAGAAGCCCAUAGAGAGGACCUUUGAAGUUGGUGAUUGGGUUUUCUUGAAACUGCAGCCUUAUAAGCAACAAUCAGUUGCCAUCAGGAAGUGCCUUCAAUUGUCUGCCAGAUUCUAUGGUCCAUUUUAGAUCGAAGCCAAGGUUGGCCCAGUUGCUUAUCGCCUCAAACUACUUGCUAGAGCACAUAUUCAUCUAGUCUUCCAUGUGUCGCUGCUCAAAAAGAAGAUUUGAUUCCUGCAGUCUGUGGCAACUACACUGCCUAAACCUGACAUAGAUGAUCAGUGCCCCUUGCAACCUGAACUCAUAUUGAAGAGGAGGGUGAUCAUGAGGAAUAGCCAGUCUGUGAUCCAGUACUUGAUCAAAUGGCGUCAGCUCAAUGAGGAGGAAGCUUCGUGGGAAGAUAAGGACUUCAUAUAGGCUCAGUUCCCUCAGUUCAAGUCUUGAGGACAAGACUAUUAAAAGAGGAAGGCAAUGUCAGGCACCACAAUUGAUCAAUUGAAAUUGGACCAAUUAAUUUGUUCCCAAAUUUGCAAACGUUGUCGUUUCACUUUGAGGCCAGUAGAAUUAGCAAAAAGUAGGAUGACGUCGUGGGAAGCUGAAGUAAGUAGGACGAUGUUGUGUGAAUUGCAUAACAGAAUUAGUUAACAAUUUAGUAAGUCAGUUUCUUCAUCCUAUUUGUACGGAUUUGAUUGGUGGAAAAAGGCAUCAGACGAGAAUAACAGAAUUUCCCUCUUUUGCUACUUUCUCUCUCUAUUUCCCUCUCUCUCUCAAUUCUCUCUGCUCUUUCUUGCUCUCUUCGUUCCUAAUCUUCCCCUUCUUCCCCAAUCUUCCCCAAUUUCGGAAUUAAUUCACAAUCUAGACAGAAAUGGAUCCAGAGGCCUGACAUUUAUUAAUUAAAUGAGUCUGAGCUUAAAAGCCAGAUAUGUGGCUCAGAUUGGCUUCUGUGGUAAGAUUAUAAUAUCACUUUAUCCUUGUUAUGGUUUUUCAAUCGACCAUAUAGUUUCCCUAUACCCUUAUAUAAAGUGGUUAGGCAUUCUUGUGUCUAGUAUGUGAAAAAAGGACGUGACAAAAAUUUUAACUAACCCUGUAACUAGAGGAGAUUUUAGUCCAUUUACCAUUUUGUGCAAAUCCACAAGAGGUUAAAUAGAUAUUCUUGGAUAAUAGGGACUAUUUGGUAAUACGCAAAAAUAAAAAGGGCUGAAAUAGUAAUUUUUCACUGAAAUUAAAGGAAAUGAAGUAUCGACGUUGUUUGCUUAUUUUCUUGAAUCUUUUUUAUGAUUAUAAUUAAAUUGCAUUUCCACUUCUUUUCUAUUGCCUUUAUCCACGAAUGAAAAAAUGUGACAAAUUCGAGAGGGCAAUUUUGCAUGAAUUGCUAAUUAGAUCAUCCCCUUGAUUUUAUUUAGGGCAAAAAAUCGCGGUGGUCCUCUAACUUUCAACUUUGCGCACUUUUAGUCCUCCAACUAAUAAUUGCGGAAAUGUAGUCCUCGAAUUAAAAAUUUGUAUCUUUAUAGUCCAUCUGUCCAAUUUGGACGUUAAGAUGGACGGGAGAGACAUCACGGACUACUCUCAUCACAUUUGUUGGGGGCAAUCUCAUCAGCACAGCAGAAGGACUUAUCUUAAAUUAAAAAUCUCCUUCUUCUCCAUUUUCAUUCCAAUUGACAUCUGAAGCUUGUAGGAUUGGUAAAUCCCCUUCUUCUCCAUUUUCAGUCCAAUUGACAGUACAUUUUUGGUCUCAAUUGAGCCGAAAAUGAGGAGAUUCAACACUCCAACUCUCCCUGUGUGCCCUUGCGGUAAAUCGACAAAGAUGGUGACUUCGUGGACAUCUCGAAAUCCUGGUAGGAGGUAUGCAGUAUACGCAGAUAGGGGUUGUGACUUUUGGGAUUGGAUCGAUGGGGAAAUGUGUCGUCGGUCAAUUGAGGUGAUACCCGGUCUUCUAAGAAGGGUGAAUGUAAUUGAGCAACAAAGGGAUGAAUUGCAAACUGUACUAACCAAAUUGGAGUCAAAAGCUGCAAAGUUGAAGGUGAAAGUGAAGGACAUGGAACAUGAAUUGGCGAGGCAAAAGCAUAUUAGGAAGUGGCUUCUAAGACUACUGGUACUCUCUUGGGUUUUAAUCUUAUUAAUGGUGGUUUGGCCUCAAGAUGAAAGAUGGACUUCUGGAAUGCUACAAAUUGAAGAAGCUCUAUGAAAAUUGUUGGCUGACCAAAUACAAUUUAGCAAGAUGCUGAUGGAGUAAUCUGACAUUAACAUAACUAUAAAAAUUGUGUUGUAAUCCUGCCAUAUUGUAUUGGCCUUUGAAUUGUAUUGUAUGCUUUAGGAAGAAUGGAAGUAAUAGAAUGAAUCUGAACUGGUGGUCCAUUGUGCUUGGCAGGCUGGCAGCCACACAUGAAGACGACAUUAGAAUAGGAAAAAUGAAUGAAUGCAGAUAGUAGAAACCAGAAUAAAACAAAAAGAAAAGACAAAAUGACCUGUUAUAUUCAUUCAUUCAUUUACUUGAUACCAUCCAACUGUGUGCUAAAAAUAAUAGUAGUAACCAGAAUAAAACAAAACAAAACAAAACAAAAUGCCCUGUUAUAUUCAUUCAUUCAUUUCCUUGAUACCAUCCAACAUAGCAGUCAAAAGGUAUACAAUAGUCAAGCUUGACCAUUUAACAAUUAGUAGGAAAAAACUAAUCAACUUAUACACGAAAAGCUAAGCAGUUGGACAAAACCAUUACUUGGUCAAAAGCUGUCUAUUACAAAAGAAAGACAAAAGACGUUUCCUAGUCAAAAGAGAUCCAACAAUAAAGUACUGUUGGUUUGCAAAACAGUGGCUGUUAUUGGAUUAAACAACUGUCUAUCCUCUUGUACCUCCAGUUUCCCUUCCUCUACCAGCUCUUCCUCUGCCCCUGCCACUCCAUUUUCCCUUCCAAUUCCCAACAGUGAAGGGAGGUUACUUACCCAAAUAUGCGUAGUUCAGAUUGAUAAAUCCUUUAUCAGCAACUGUUAAAGGCUAGUUUGUUGAAUUUUUCUACUUCUGCCUCUUAGGAGGUAGUUUCUGUGUUAAGGGAGUGCUACAAGAGGCCUGUUGUUCUUGAAAAUUAGCGCUAUGCUCGAAUGAUGAUUGGUGGUCUUGCUGAUCCACUUGCUAUUGAUAUGUCUCAUUCUGAUGCUAAUGCUCAUGUUGGUGUUCAGAUUCAAAUGCCUCAUGUUGGUGUUCAUUCUAGUGCUCAUAUGCCUCGUGAACUUGAGGAGAUUGUUGCUGCACAUUUCUUUUUUUCUUCCUUUGCUGGUCCUUUCUAACCUGUCAAUGGAAACAAAUAACAAAAAGUAAGAUUUUAAUCUGCCUUUUCAUGCAUACCACAAUUUCUGUACACUUACAGUCUACCUUUUAGAUGGCCUCGUAGAGGACUUUGGACUUCUAGGAUUUUCUGCACCCUGUGGAGUAUGUACACCAAUAUCAGUACCCUCUUCUACUUGAUUAGAUUGAGUAGACCCUUCUUUGCAGCAUGUAGCUACAUUGUGACCUGCCUUCCCACACUUUCUGCAAUGUAUAAUAAUUCUCCUUCUCAGUUUUCUACCAUGAUUUUUUCCCUCUAUGAUGUCUCUCCUUCGAGCCUUUCUUGGCCUCCCAGGUUAAGCAACAAUGAGUAGUGGGUCCAAUAUAGGCAUGGUGGAUGGGGGCCAUAGAAUUUCACCACUAAUUGGUUGGAAGACAUUACAAUAUAUCUUCAAAAAUAGAUCUGUACUGUAGCAACCUUCAAGUUCGUUAUAAGGAUUAUGAAUUGCUGCUAUUGCAUGACAGCAAGGAAUUCCACUUACUGCCCACAAUUUGCAGGUGCAAUGCCUUUUUUUUAGGUCUACAGCAUAUUGGUCUCCUUUAGGGCCCUUCACUUGAUAACCAACAGCAGCAUUCCAAAUAGGAUUCCAGUGAGUUGAACACUUCACUCUUUCAUCAACAAUUUCCCUGGGCAGUGGUCCAAUAGGACCUUUACAUUUCUCCAUGGCUGUCUUUCUUUGUUGAAUCCUAUCCAUAAUAUGCUCUCCGAUAGUCUCCAGUAGUGAAAUUACAGGCUGAUCUCUGGCUUCAAGGAUAUGAGCCUUGAAAGAUUCACAAAAGUUAUUGACCAACGUAUCACAUUUGGUAUGAGUUGGGAAAAAUGCCUUGCACCAAUGCCGAGGAUGAGGUGCCUUUUUCACCCAGCUGUGUGCUUCCUUGUCAUACGUCUCCAAGUUUGACAUUGCCUCAUUGAAGUGCUCAGGUGUAGUACAACAUGCAAUAUUCCAGAAUCUCUCCUUCAACACCUCUCCUGGAUGUUUUUUUCUUAAAAUUUCUAUAUAAAUGCUGCACACAAUAUCGGUGCUCACAGUUUGGAAGCACCUCAGCUAAUGCUCUGUCCAGUCCCUGCAAUAUAAAUAGAAAAAUAAACACCUUCAUCUAGAUGUUAGAAACCAGAUUACAAUGAUGUAGUGCAUAAUCUUUUGUUGGUCAGAUAUAAAAGUGUAGUGGUAUUGGUUUUGUAUAUCCAAAUCCUCACUCAACAACUUUAGAAACCAAGUCCAUUGUUCCGUAGCUUCUUUCUCCACAACUGCCCACACAAUUGGCCAAUAACCAUUGUUAGGGUCCACUCCAAGAGCAGUAAGUAAUUGUCCUGGAUAAGUGCCUUUCAGAUGGCAUCCAUCUAAGCCUAUAAUAGCCCUACAACCAUCCUUAAAGCCUUUCUUAAGUGGCCCAAGGCUGCAGUAUAGUCGCAUGAAUCUUGGAUUACCUGUAGGUAGGUUGAAUGGGGUAAACAUAACCUUCAUAGUACUUCCCUGAUGUGUCUUCUUUAUCUUAUUGCAAUAUUCCCAAAUCUUCUUGUAUUGUGCCUCUGCAGACCCCUUAAUAAGCUGUAUAGCCACCCAUUUAGAAAUCUCAACCUCAUAAUUCUCAUGAACAAUUUGCCUAAGCUCCCUAACAGGCAUCUUUGUGUUAGACCUGAUUCUCUCCAUAUACCUAUUGGAUAGCCACGUAGAAGUCAUGCUUUUAUUCUUCCAAGCGUGAUUGCAAUUCUCAUGCACAUCAUGCAUUGUCUUUACCACCAAAUCAGUUGUACCAAGUGCUCUCUCAAUUGAUGCAAAGACAAACCAAGGACACGGGUCUCUACAAAUAGCUCUCACCCUUUUGGUAUCAUUUUUACAUGUCCAGACUGGUUUACCUUUUUUGAUACCAUAUUUGGUCACUACUGUCUUGAAUUGUUGCCUUGACUCAAAUUUCAUCCCCAAUUCAAACUUGGGGUCUAUCAUGAAUUUAUCCCAUACAAAUCUCUUGUAUCUGCCUUCGAACUGGUUCUCAUCUUCUUCUGAUGAACUGUAAUCACUGCUUAAGUGAUCCGGUACAUAAUCUUCAUCCAAUGCAUUUGUCUUUCUCUGAGGACCUUCAUCUACAGGUUUCUCUCUUCUUCUUCUCACUUGUUUCUUUCCCUUUUUUGGCUGCUAUGGUUGCUAAUUGUUGGUUUUCUGCUGAACUGAGGGCUGUUGGGGUUGUUGCUCAGCUCCUACUUGGUUUUUAGACUAUUGAUGCUGCAAAGACCUCUCAGAUGUAUCAUGCUGUUGUUCACCUCUUGUAUCUAGUUGCUGCUGGUCUCCUUCUCUAAUGAGGUUAUAAAGAAGUUGUUCAUCUCCACAAUAAUCAUUAUCCCAACGAAAUCUCUCUAUUUCAGCAUCUGAUUCAGAUGCAACUUCACCAUCAUGUGUAGUGCCCUCAUGCGUAGUUCCAGGCCCCUCAUGUGUAGUUCCAGGCCCCUCAUGUAUAGUGCCCUCAUGUGUAGUUCCAAGCCCCUCAUGUGUAGUGCCCUGUUCAUUCCUUGGAUUUUCAGCAGUUGGUCCAUUGUCCCUUAAUGGUUCUGCUGAAGUCUGCCCAGUUUCAUUGUCAACAGUUUGCCAAGUUGACUGUGAUGCCCCACCUCUACUAGGUACCAUUUGUAAACAAGGUUCUGCAACCACCCUACCUUCAUCAUCUAGUUCUUCGAUUACCACACCACAUUUUUUCUGCUCUACUGAAUUACCCCUACCAACAGCCUCCAUCAAAACUUGAUCAAUUUCUUCAAUCGUUAAGUGGUUACAGUAAACCUCCAUCACUUUAUAUUCAUAAGCCAAGGUACAAAAUUUGUUUACAUCAGCAUCUGUACAUAAAUCCCUUAACCCAUUGUUAAGAUCUUCAGUUGGUUCAAGAUAGUAAUACAUUAUGGUUUCCUGAGCAUGACCUAGCUUCUCUACCAUUUGAUUCAGUUCAUGAAUUGACAUCCGUUCACAAUCAUAUAAGUCUACCUCGUCCACAUCACCACCAACAUAACUUAUGUAACUUCCCCAACGAAUCUUUCCCCCGUGAUGCAUUCUUAUAGUAAACCAUUCAGAUCCUGCAUCUACAUUAACAAUUACGAGUUAAUUUGGUAACUAAUUAAUUAACUCUUUAAUUUUGUAUAUAAAAGACCUUAAUCCCAAACCUAGGUCAAUAGGUACUACUAUAUACUAAACUAAUCAAUAUUAGAAAUUAAAUAAUUUGGCUAGCUCAACAAGACAAAGUAGUCAUGGCCCAGUAAUUUAAAAAAUAUGCUUCAGGACCACUAGUGCUUAUUCAUAGACAGAGACAGUGAACCCAAAUAUGGGACCACUUUCCUCUCAUAUUUGAGACAAAACACCCUCACAUUCAACCCCACAACCAAAAUAAAACUUCCUAUGUACUUAGCAAUCACUGUAACACAAAUAACCAUCAAUUGUUGCUCAUUUUUGCAAAACUUUGUACAGUUUAAGUGCACAUAUCGUAUACUAACUGGGGAUCGAAGUAGAUGCCCAUUUUCCUAAUGUUCCAUUCCACCAUUCCUCUGGGCAAACUUCAAACGCUUCUUAUCUUUUUCUCUGCUGCAAAUCUCGUCACUGGAAGGCGUAAUUUAGGGUUAAUUGGAGAAGAAGGAGUUCCACUAACAGUCCAAACUUUGACCCUUUUGGAGGGACUUUGUUGUUUUCGAGGGGACUUUGUUGUUUUUUUGUACGAGAUUGCCCCCAACAAAUGUUAUGAGAGUAGUCCGUGAUGUCUCGCCCGUCCAUCCGUCCAAUACCAUUUAGAAUACCAUUUUGGUGUGGAGGACUAAAAGUGCACAAAGUUGAAAGUUAGAGGAUCACCGCGAUUUUUUGCCCUUUUAUUUAUCACAUAAUCCUUUUAUAGUUUAAAAAAUAUCUACUUAACUCCCUAUCAUUUUGUACACAAAAUUGAAAUUGAUGGAAAGCCCUCAAGUAGCAGCUUUAGCUAAAAAUUCCAAUUAUAUCGUUGUCUAAUACUGAUCAUUAUGAGGUUCUAAGAGUGGGAUCUAAACAAGGGGGAACAGAGUUGAUUUGAAUCCAGAUCAUUUAAUUUCUGAAGUCUCAGCCUUAAUAAUUAGACACUACAAGACUCUAAUCACAUUACAUAAAACUAUAACACUACUACAAAAGUGUCCUUUUAUGACAUUCAAAAGCAUCAUUAUAGAUCUAUGUCAUGACGUUUAGGCUCUAAUGACGCUCUAUUAGAAGCAUCAUCCAUUCUAGCGUCACGAUAGGUUUAUGAUAGUUUUAAGUGUCCCAAUUUAUCAUUAUUAUGACACUAUUAAAUGUCAUUAUCUAUGCAUAUUAUGACACUUUCAAAUAACAAGAAAUGUUGGGGUACAAUAACAUAUCACGACGCUUUUUUAGUAUAAGUAGAUAGAAAUAUUAUGACACUUUUGAAGAGUAACUAGAUCAGGCUUUUAUGACAUUUUCUACUUGUCAAUGUAGCAUCCAAAUUAAAGUGUUCCAACUUCCUGCUGCAUAUCAUAUGACGGCAAAAACCACAUUUCAUCGUGCCACACAAGCAUCUCCAAUCCUAAAUUUUGAAGGAUUGUAACGUAGCUAGUACAAUAAUAUAAAAGAAGCAAUACAAUCAUCCAAACUUGAAUAAAAGUACAUCAUCCAAACAAUCCACACCAAAAGUGUCUACAAAUUACAUACUAAUUUAGAAUAAGGGGAGCCCUAAGGAUGGAUCAGAAAAUUUAUUAUUUGAGCCACCAGCACCAGUACCACUACUGCCACUGCCAUCGCCACCAAUGGAGGGCUGAGACGCCAUAGGUGGCUGCAUCUGAAGUGAGUGAUCAUCUUCAUCCAAAGACAUUCUUUCAUAUGCUACGUUAGUGAAAGAAGCAGCAAUAACAACCACAGGUCCAGAAGCAAUCAAAGCUCCCACAACAUUUCCUCCAACAACUUGACCGUAUCCACCAGCCAAAUAUAUGGUCAAAUUGGUGGCACCCGGUGGAGCUGGUGGUGGAAGGAAGGAGCCCGACAAUGAUAAAAUCUCGAACCGGCCAUGUAACGUCACGACUGAGCCGGCAGCAGCCGGUUGCCUCAAGCUCCAAUUGUUGACUGUGCCACUACUACUCAAUAUGUAAAUACCUCUUUGCCUUUUUCUAACAUAUGUUGCAACUAAUUCAAACACAUCACAGCCGCUGCUGACCUCUAAUAUUUGUGCUCGGAGAGUGUUGGCGCUCUGUUGAGUGAUUGUCACUGAGGUUUAGGCUUGUUUUUAGAGCUAGGUGGCCGGCCUCUUGGCCGACGAGCCACAACAUCGCCUGAGCUUGUGUUUGAUGUGACCAGCUCUAGACCAGCUUGGUGAGAUUCAUUGUUGUUCUCGCCGAAAAAUUGGUUCCGAUUGCUGUCGUCUUCGGUGUUGGCCACUGUCAUCUUCGAGGAAAACGCACCCUUCUUGGCAAUUGAAGGAAAGAACGAGAAGAAAGAGAAAAAUAUGGAAUAAAUUAAAUGAGAAAAAGAAAAGAAAGAAUGCGAUGAGGGAUUGGAGAUAUGGCCUCAUCAAUAUUGUCUUCACUCAAUAUAUAUCAUGCAUAAAUACUUAAUGAACAAACAAUAAUAUCACAUGACAAGAGUUGCCAAGCUACUGCUUCAUCAGGCAAUGGUCUGAGACAAAAAUAGCUAAAUAUCUCAAACAGAAAAUGCAUGUUCAAACUAAAGAUCCGAAGAGAAAACAUAAAGACACAUUCAACCAUGUUGCAGAAUUUCAGUUCUCUAUUCAACUCAAGAUUAGUUUAUAAAAUAAAUUUCAAGAAAAGAAGGCAGAGCCUUGGCAAAAAUAAAGGGCAUGUUGCUUGGAAGAAUUGAGUAAACUAGAGAGCAAAUCCAUUUGGCAAGCAAUGAAAAACUUGUUUAGUCAAUUUAUCAAACAUGUGGUGGGUCACAGAUUCUACCAAACUGAUGCUAAAGAAGGCUAUAACAUUUACUUGGAAUCUUUCGACAGCAUCCAAAAAACAAUUAUCUUUCGACGGCAUCCAUUUAGACCUAAAGUUAAAAUUAUCUCUUAAAUACAAGAAAUCAAAAAGAAAACAAUCUUGAUGUUAACAAAAAAUUGAAUCAUUGAUAUUCAAUAAACUAAACAAACAUCUUAAUCAUUGUACCUCCAUCGGUGGGAUGAAUCCUAGUUGCUUCCUUCUCGAAAAAUUAGCAGAUUGGCAAGAAAAUUGGCUAAAUUUGCCCUAAAUUGAGAGAAACAAGAGAGGGAGGGAAAGGUCACAGUACAAAAAGAGAGAAAAUGCAGCGGGUGAGGAGAGAUGUGGUAAGUAAGAAAAGGGAGAAAAUAUUAGAAUUUUGGGUGAAAAUCAUCACGCGCUAAAACAUAGAGCCAAUUUUCAAAAUUAAGAAUGAUACGGUGUAGUUUUGUCUAUUUUUGGCACCUUUUUAAUGACACUCUUUACUGACUGUCAUGUUAACACCCUAUUAUGACGUUUAGGAAAAAAUGUCAUAAUACAAGUGUCACUAAAAGCUAUUUUUCUAGUAGUGUAAGGGAACACUUUUGAACCCUAAUGGAAUUGAGUAAUAUAAUGCGAAGCCACAAUGGCUAAAAAUUGAUUUGUCCAAAUUUUUAUGAAAAUUUUGAUAAGCAAUAAUAUUAUUGGAAAAUAGGAUGUAAUAAGCCGUUUUGAUAAACUUUGGCAAUCUGGACAUGAAGAUAAAAAUUAGAACUUAUGCCCUCUUUACAAACCAUUUCUCAUAUAUUAUUCUGCUAAACAAAACCUCUAACCGAUAGCUCCUUUUCCCUCCCCUUUCACUUCUGUACUGCCUGAUCUUCAUUGCUUCCACCUAGAACCACAAUCACCCUGCACCGCCUUAUGGACCAUGAAGAAGUCACCGAAGAGCAUGCACCACCACCCAAUCAUGAACUACAUGCACCAACACCCAAGAAACCAGUUCCCAAGAAACACCCUGAUUUUGAGGUCGGCUACUGCCUUCUCUGUUCUGAAAACAAGCAUACUGAAAAUGGCCUCAAAGAACACAAUAAAUGCAUUCACACCAAGUACCUCAAGAAUAAGUGCGGAACCUGCCAGAACGUCUUCAAAACCCAGGCCAGAAUAAAUGCAUUCACACCAUGUUUUUUUGUUUUUUGGGCCAAGAUAGGAUUUAUUAAUGCAAUGGUUUCCCUUUUUUUCUUUUUUGUUGUCCCCUUGAAACAAGUUUGUUAGAAUUAGUUAACUUCGAUACAAUCUUUUCUUUUGUAGUUGCUCGUUAAUGACCAUAAGGAUCUGGUUUUAUUAAGAGAACUAGUUCCUAUGCACUGGUCAUUUUGCAUUCAGUGGUACAAUUAAAUACUGCAACAUAAAAUUUAAAAAUCCAAAUAUUCAUUUAAAUUGAUAAACUAUUUUUUUGAUUAACUAUUUAAAUAUAGUUGGAGAAUGAAAAAAGAAUAUGCUACAUGUAGAACUUAAAAUGAGCCAAAUUUUGAAAAGGAUAUGCAAUGUACUAAACAAAAUGAGAGUUAGGUAAGAGCACUAAACAAAAUGUUGUAAACAUUGAAUAUAAACUACUUUCUCCUUUGUAAAUUGGUUGAGGUUUAGAAGUUUUAAAAAAUCAGGAUUAUUUGAAUUAAUAUAUUUUCUAAUCCUAUAGUCAUAAACCAUUAACUUUCAUUAAAUGUGUUCCUUCAAUUUGCAGUAAAUGACUACUUUGGUCAAGUUUUUAAAAUUUAAUUCAGGGAGUUAUACUGACUAAAACCUCAAAAAAUCGAAAUUGUUCACCGAUGUAUUGUUUUAAUGAUGCAUGUGCAGCUUCGAUGGCUUCUUCUUUUAAUUUCCCUCAAUUAUCCGGUACAAUAGUGAAUUAUGAAGACAAGGGAUCAUAUUGAUGCGCGAUGAUAAAUCUCGGACCACAUCAGCAACACCUAAAAGAUGAAGGACUGAAUGAUAAUUUUCUCAAAUCUUCUAUAACUGGGUAAUUUCAUUCUUUCUUUUUUUUUCGUGUAAAGAUUUCUAGCCAAUUUACGUACAAACGUCCCAUUGCAGCUCCUCAUCAUUUUAUCGUGGAACCAUUUUAUCACAAAAAUCAGGAAUUAAACUACAAAGGUUGAUGCGAUGGAUGAUAUCAAGAAGGUUAUCACUCCUCAUCAUUGAACUUUGUGUAAACACUAAGAAAAUUCACCAAUUCUGAAAGAUUUUAAUUGGUCCAAAUUUUGCAUCUCCAUAUAGUUGUGACCAAGUCUUGAUUGACUUAAAUGUAUAGUUGUUGUAUGAGUUUGUUAAUUACCUUUCGCCCCAAAAACUAAUUUCGAUAGAAGUGUGCAACAAAUUUAAUUUAGAUAUUAAGUUCCUGCUCUCAAUUUUUUUUUUUGCCAUUACGAAUCAAGAUUCACUUUAAAAAACAAAAAACAAACAACUAUAUAUUAUUCAAACAAAAGAUGUAGCUAGUAUUACAAAAGAUUCUACGAACCUAUGACAAUAACAGAUUUUGGUCCAAAAAUUUUGUUUCAAAAUUUUCAUCUCCACAGUUGUGCCAAAUUCUUGUUGACCUUUUUAAAGGUUUAAUUGUUGUAUGUGUUUGUUAAUUACCAUUCUCCCCAAGAACCAAUUUGGAUAGAAGUGUGCAACAAAUUUAAUUCAGUUAUGAAUUACUUCUCUCAAUUUCGUUCCUGUUACAAAUCAAGAUUCACUUAAAAAAACAAAUAGCAAACGACUAUAUAUAAUUCAAACAAAACAUGUAGCUAGUAUUGCAAAAGAUUCUACAAACCUAUUACAACAGAGAAAUUGUCUCUAUUUGCGUGGACGAGUAUCAUGAGGGUCAGCAGUAUUAGUACUGACCCUAGCAACAUCCCUAGCACUUGCUUCAGCCUUUUUCUUAGCAUACAAAGUGAAGUAAAAGAUAGAACCAGCAAUAGCAAAGCCAAUAACAGCCAUAGUAGUAGGACUAUACGGCAAAUUUCUCCUUUGAUGCAAAACACCACCAGGGCUAUGGCCUGGUGGCCUUUUUGAGUUGUCUACUCCUGCUUUUCUCACAUCUUCCGGGCUCAUUUUGUGGGUGUCUGCAUUGUUCCUCCAAUCUUCACCUCCUGCCAUUUUUGAACCUCUUUCUUUAUUCUUCUUGUUUUUCACAAUUACAAAGUUGGGAAUUUUGUAAAAUCUGAAGUUGGGAUUUGAUUAUAUGGUCUAUAACUUGUAGUGUGUGACUUUGUGUAAUUGGGGAAGGAGGGAGGGUUUUUUUUUUUGGGGAGCCACGUUCUUUUGAAUAUUGACGGUUUUUGGGGUGAUGAGAUUCGAGUUGGACAUGUGUCAAUUUAGAGAGGAUUUUGUGGUGACAUGUUUAACAAAUAUGGCUUGUACAUGCUGAUUCAUUGGCUUUUGUGGACAUCUGUCAUAUUUGAGGAAAUUUAGGUGUAUUUCCUUGAAGGUUUAACCGACUGGACUCACCACCAUAAUAUUUUAUGUUCCAUUAAAUGAUUAUUUUUGUUUUCUUGUAUUAAAGGUUGGUUAUAUUUGUUCAUCUUGAGAUUUGGCUAAACAUCCUCGCAUAAUUUUAGGUUUUUGCUGAAAUUAGUUUUUUUCUUGUUCUCAACUCAAUUUGACAGGACCAGCUCAAACUAUGUUAGUAUUUCUAUAAUUUAUUUUCUUUUAAAACGGUUAUUCUGUCUAUUUUUGUCAUGGGAAGUUAAUACGGAAUUACUCUAAUACACAAAUACAUCAGCAACCUUCUAGCAAAUACUUCUUUUAUCCUUUGAUUCUUUUUUUUUUUUUUUUUACCUUUGUAUGUUAACCUUCUUGUCCUCCCGACCAUUGCAUACCAAAAUCAUGUAUUCUGUUUUUUGAUAUCUAUACAAUAAUAAAGGGAGGGAGGUAGCAAAUGGGAUACAUAUUUUGUGUCAUUUUUGAACUUCCAAUUUUUUCCUUAAAAUUUUGAUUUUUAUCCUAACCACCUAAUCUCAUUGCUAAUAUAAUCUCUCAUAACUCCCUUAAAUAUUGUAACUACCAAAUUAGCUAUAAUUGGAUUAAAGAAAAAAUUACUAAUAAAUUGCAAUUUUUCGAUGAAGAAUUUAUAUAAAAUUUAAUUUUGUAAAAAUAAAAUUAAUAUAUUCAUAAAAAUUAAUAAUUAUUUCUAAUGUGCACACACAUUGGGUGUACCCUAAGCACUAGUAUAAAUACUUCUAUUCGGAUUAAAACUAAGGCUCUGUUUGAUAACAUAAAAAAGUGUUGAAACUGAACCUUUUCAGAUAUUCAGAUGUUUUGAAUGUUUGAUAAAUAAAAAUCCAUCUGCUGAACUUGUUAAGCAAUGUUGUACUUAUAUGUAUUUUUUUCAACACGAGAAUCCUAACUGGAUACUUAAUUCUGAUGAAAAUCAAUAGAAUUAUUUCAACUACCUUAUCUUAUCAACCAAAUGUACCCUUGUUUGUUAAUUAUGUUCAAAAUUCUUAUCUAAUUAAACAACUUGAUAUUCUCUAUCUAAGGGUUUUGUGUUUUUCUUUUCUCCCUUUUAAUGACUUUCACAUCUUCUCCACACUCUUCAUAUAAUAUAUUUCAUCUUUUAUAUUAAUUUGAUUUAAAAGAAAAUAUUGUCAUUUUCAUAUCUAACAAUUUUCAGCUAAUUAAAUCAUAGGUUUUAUUUCUUUUUUGAAUGAAAAGAUAUAAGGGCAAAAUUAUCAAAUUAAACUUAUUAAGCAUUCAAUUAUAAAUAUUUAUCAAACAGUAUAAAUAAAUUUAGCAUUAAAAUUCAGACAUUCAUAUAUUUCUUUUCAAUGCUUAAAAUUCAGCAAAUUAAUUGUUUCAGUAUUCAGAUUUCAGAAUUCAUAUUUAGUUUUAUCAAACGGAACCUAAGAGUUUUUUCUUAAACUUUUUUUUAGUGAAAGUGAGAGGUUUCGAAUUCGGAAUCUCCCACUUAUACUCUGUCUCCCAUACCACCCAAACCAUCCCACCCCUGAUUAAGACUAAGAGUUAUCUUUGAACAAUCUACUCUUUUCUAUAUUUCAACCAUCCUUUUUAAUACUUAAUUUACUUCUUGUUUUAGUUAAAAACUUUUUUUGAAAUUGUAAGUCACAAUCUACUGGUGACUUUUUUUUUAUAUUUUUAGCGGAUCUUUAUAGUACAUUAUAGUUUAAUCUAUGGUACCAAUUCCCCUGGUGAUGCCUGGAGAAACUUGAGGAUAUGUGCAGGGACGCAACCUGAAAUUUUAAGUUGAGGGGGCGAAACUCUGACUCGUUGUUUUUUUUUUUUUUUUGUAAUGACUGCUUAUAUUUUGAUUAAGCAUACAUGGAUAAUUUCAAUGACAAAGCAUGCAUUUUGUAUACCCCACUAGUUUAAACUCUACUUGAACUAACUACCAUCAUUUCUUGCUCUAUUUUCUUCUUUCUUAUAGAUUCUUAUGUGACUUAUGAGACAAAUCAAUUUGUUUCCUUCUAUUUGGAUUUGAUAAAAAUAUUUUUUUGUUCAAAUCUUGGUCAUUGUGAACAUAGGGAGUGGACAAAUCUUAGUACGAGCAAAUUGAGAGCAUUUGAAGGCGUAUUGACUAUUAAUCAUGUUUUAUUUUUAUUUUUCAUGUGUUUUGAAGUAAUUGGAUAUAUUAUUGUUAAAAAAAUAUUGGUUUAUGUACAUUUUAAUGAAUUUUUAUUGGUUCAUAUAUAGUUUUAAUGUUGUAGUCAUGUGGAUAUUAAAUUAACUUUAAAACUUAAUAGUUAUAAUAAUUAUGUUAAGGAAAUUAAACAGCCAUAAGUGAGUUUGAACUAAAUCCAAAUUAAUCUCAUAACUCGAAUAUUUUGUAAGUCAAGUAUGAACUUCACAUUUAUCAACCUGAAACUCAUAGGUUGAAAGCCGAAGUGAUACUAACUAUAUGAGUUGAAUAUGAAUUUAUUAAAGCCCCGCUCAGAUGGCCCAAUUAACAGGACUACUUAGGUCAAACCAUGAUUUUGAUAUGCACUUGAAUUGUAACGGAGACUGCAGUCACAGCACAGGCAAUCUCGCAAGCACAUCCUCUAGCAAAUCCUCGAGAGGAGGCUGGAAAUUGACAUAUCUUUGUAAUCUAAUUUGUGACUAGGAGAUCUUAAACUAGCAAAAAGGGGCAAAAAUUCCAUAUAACUAGUAGCAGCAAAAGAUUUUGUUGUGAUGGACUUAAAUACUACAGAGCAUGAAUGAUGACAGUUCCAAAACCCUUGGUUUCGGUUUAAAAUUCAAUGAUUUUAGUUCUUCUAAAAGGUGGAAGCUAAACGGGCCCUUAUAAAGACGGUUAUAGUUAUGAUUUUUGAACUUUCAGUUCCGGUCCGAUUUCAAUUCCAAUUUUAUUUUAGUUACGGUUCUAAUUUCUUCUAAUUACGGUUCUAGUUCUUUUAAUUAUGUUUAAAUACUUGUUAUUAUAAAAUUAAUUCUAAGAAAAUAUGACAAUGAAUGUAAAAAAAAAAAAAAAGAGAUUUAUUAUAUUAUCAUGUGCAAGGAAAAAUAGAAAAUCAUACAAAUUUUAUGAAAAAUAUUUCAUUGUUGAUUAGAUUAUUUUAGUCUUGAAGUUAGACUAGUUAGAAGGUACAGACUUACUAAUAGAUAGAACAAUAGAUUGUUGGGUUGGGCUUGGAGUUGCUGGUAUUAGGUGUUGACAUAUUGAUAUACUAAACUAGCCAAAUAAGUUUAUAUAGCAAACGUAUUAUUGGACGGUUUGAAUGGAUCCUAAACUAUCGAUUCCAGUUCCGAUUCAAAAUAUCGGUUAACCUGAAACUAAACCUUUAGUCACAGUUAUGGUUAUGGUUCUAAUUUCCAAAAUUCGAUUCCGAUUCUAGUUUAAAAAAUUAUCAGGCUAGUUAUCAGGCUAGUUCCGGUCCAAACUUAAACCGUGGGCACCCCUACUACAAAGUCCGAAAUCCUGAUCCUAGCAACCAUCAGAUUCCGAUUUAGUUUGUAGGGAUAAUUUCGUAAACCUCCCUUGAGGUUUUUGACAAUUUCACCUAGUUCUCUUGAAGUUUCAAAAAUUACCUCCCUUUAAAUUACCAUUUUGGUAAAAAAUUUGUUCAGUGGUCAAAUUUUGACCAAAAUUUUGAAUCAAUAACCUAAAAUGCCCUCAUAAAAUUAUGAAAUUCAUUUCACUUUCUUUUAGAAUUCUUUAAAAAAUUUGGAAUAUAUACAACAUCACAAAACCACUUUUAACCCUCAUCUCUACUAUUCUAAACCUUCCAUAUUUCCACAUCGCAAAUUAGUAUCAUUAUCUCCAUGACCACCACCACUAUCAGUACCUAAGCUCUAAAACCUCAAACUAAAUGUAAAAAAAUCAGCACUAUUAAAUUCAAAAAAAUUUCACCAAUUGGAUUAAUAUAACACCCUAUCUCUUAAAAGUUGGAGUAUAAAUGCCAAUCGUGUCCUUCUUAAACAUUCAUCUCGCAUCUUCUUCUAUUUAUUUCUAGAUCCUCCAAAAAAAACUAAAAUAACUUUGUAAUAUGUUUAAAAUUGUGUUUAUACUUUAUAACAUAGGGUUAUUCCAUGAGUGAACUUUGCUUUUGUUUUCUUUUAAUGCCUAAUUGUGUGAAAUGCAUUUAUAUACACAAGAUUAGGAGCAGAUUAUUUAAUUUCAUGAAAAAUGUUGAUAUGUUAAGGUUGUUAUGGUCAUUUUAUAAAAUUAAGGAAAAUAAAUAUAAUAUUAAAAAUUUCAAGGGUACUAGGUGAAAUUGUCAGAAACCUCAAGGGAGGUUUCCGAAACUAUCCCUAGUUUGUGUCCCAACGCAACUAUCAGAAUUCGAUUCCUAUUGAAACUAGUUUAUAAACCGAUGCUUUGCUUCAUUGCACGGAUCUAUACAAUCUGUGUGUUUUUCUACUUUUUACUCGUGCAAUCUAAUUCUUGUGAAAUAUAUGGCAUUAAUGGAAUUGAACCCUCCAAGCUUUCUUUUGCAGUGGCAAACGGAUCAAGAAAUUAUUAAUCUGACAAACCAUCCAUCCUUCCCUUUCCCAGCAAAUGGUUUAAUUGAUUUAACGUGGAAAAUUGCUCUACAAAAUUUGGUGAACCAUUCGUAUUUUUCUCCUUACUUCACAGGAAAUAGAAAAGCUGGCUGUGAUCGGAAUGCUGCUUUGCUAUUCCAACAAUGGUUUUGCUAUUCCUACUUGUAUCAGAUAAAUUUCGACAAAACUUUGAUGCAAAAAAAAAAAAUAUUAGAACCUUCCCCCGUAAGGUAGAAGUGCCCAAGAAAAAUUGCUCUCCAAUAUCUUGUCUUUGUUAAAACCGAAGAUCCUUCCUUAUAAACUGUCAAAAUUUGCAAAAUACCCAAGAAAGUAAAUGCUUAUAUGAGAUGAGAAUAUACAUUAUUGCGUCGUUAGGAGCAUGGAGAAAAAAAAAAAAAAAAGGUGAAGCUCAGCUAGCUGCAAUUCUUCAAUAGAAGAAGGAGAAGAAGAAGAAGAAG
rnacentral:lncRNA from 1 species